rnacentral:lncRNA from 1 species
CGAAUUAUAUGUUAUGGUUUACAUUCUAGCAGGUGCACCUCAACAAAUUCAAACUUGGAACUGCACACACAAAGGAGUAAAUCAUUCAAAUUGGAUACCAAUUAUUCUAACCUCACCAUGGUCCAUCAAGGAUACUCAACUUUUAUAUUCAUGUCAAAUAUACUUGAAGAAGGACAAAGUACAUAUAUAAUAACCUUCAAUCUUUUUAAAUGAAACAAAGUCUAUAAUCACCAAAAGAUGCAAGACAACCGAAAAAAAAAAAGAAUGGAUCGAUUGAAGAGCUAAACUUUGUUGAAUGUUUUAGCAAUAUGAAUAUUCACCAAACUUACAACCUGUGAAAGUUCUAAACGAGACCAUUAUGAACACAAACUUAACCAAAACUCCAACAUCUUUCUUUACUUGACAAAAAAAUAUUCUUUCGUAUAAGUAGAAGAAGAUUGUUUUCGGCAUUCAAACUCCUUAAAGAAUGCUAUAGAUUUAUCAGUUUUGCAGUGAAAUUAAAUAUGAACUUGUAUAGUACGCGAUAGACUCCUUAUUCUUUUUUUCCCCCAAGAAUAUUGCUAAUAUCUUUUCUUAACUAGUGCUAGAAUUUGUAUCUGAAAAAAUGCAAAUCUGCAAAUCCAAAAUUAACAAUACCUGUUAUUGCCAAACAGAGAAUAUAAGUUCCUGUAAAAAAACGAAAUAUCAUUAUUUCAAGAGAGCAGCGAAAUAGUAAAAUCAAAGCACUUCUAAAUUCUAAUGAAUUUUGGGAAGCAUACUUCUUGGUAUAGAAUCGUUGACAUCGUAGUAGACAUGGGGGCCAUGGAAAUGGAAAUGUACAAAGCUGUCCAUAUAGUUUCUGAAGGCAUAUUUCAAGUUUGACAAUCUAAAUUAUAUAUGCAACAAAUCAAAGUAAAAUUAAUAAAGGGGUGUAAAGGAAAACUCUAAAUUUGUGUAAAAAAAUCAAUGGUAAUCUAAAACAUUAUAUUCUAUUUUGUGGUAUAUGCUCAAAAAAAUUACAACAAUUCUUUACAUAUUUUUGUUUGCAAAAAGUAUGCAACAUGUAUUACAGUACAAGAGUUUUUAGGUAACAAAAAUUAUUUAAUAUAAUGAAAGGUGAGACAAAAUUUAUUCAAUUAAUUAAUCCAAAUUAAAAAAUAUACAUUAUAGCAUUAAAAGACUGCGAAAAAAAUAAACUCAUCCACAACGGUGGAAUAUUUACGUACUGCCAACUAAAUUGCGAAAAAAAGUAACAUAAAAUAAAAGAAAAAAUAAAGGUAGGUCAUACAAAAAGAAAGGGAAAAAGAUAAUGGUUCAUAAUCAUAAGUAUCAUAAUAAUAAUAUACAGAGCUAAGAGGAAGAGAGUUGCAAUCAUCCGUGUCCAAGCUCGCAUCAACCAUUCGUAUUGUAUAAUUUUCGUAAAAGAUUUAUGGGACAGAGAAUUUCUCUCCUCUCUCAGCCAAAGUGGUGCGAUUAUGGUUCUCACACUCAAAUUCAAAGCCAUAAUGACCACACUGGGAAGGUUAGUUUUUAAAUCGGAAUGAAAAACUGAUAUUCAAAUUCCCACAAAAAGUUGAGCCACAAUCUUGGUUAAUAAGAUGCCGAGCAAAGCAAGCACAGGGAAUAGAAUUACAAAUGAAGCAAAAGCGGCCAUUAGGUGAACAAACAAUGGUAGUAUUGCUUUUAAUUUUGGCAUGCUAAAAUUUUGGGUAGGAUUGAAGAACAACAAUGGGAGCAAGGAAAUAUGUAAGAAAACUUUAUUGUGAGAGGAAGCAUUGUUGAGGACUGAAGACCCCAAUCAAGGCAUAUCAGAUUCCAAGAACAGAGCCAGGAUUACGUCACCAGGGAGACCAAGGGAGCAAGACUUUUCAAUAACAAAAAAAUCUUUUGUUUUAAGAAUAAAACUUCAUAAAUAAAAAAGAAAACUUUUUCUUUUGUAAUUUUUAAAAGGUACAAAUACCAAAACUUGAAUUUAAAAAUAGAUUUAGAGUUAGUUUCAUUUUAAAUGAAGCCAAUUUAGCAUUGAAUUGAUCAUAGAUCAGGUCAGGCUGAAACAAUAUUUAAUUCUAAAAAAAGUUUUAAGUCUUAGGCUUGUUUUCGACCCAACUCUCAAGAGCACAUUUUUUCUUAUUCAAAAAUAAUAAAAUAUUUAAAAUAUUUUUAAUUGAUAUUUUAUAUGUACUUUAUAAUUAAAUUUAAAUUUAAAAAAUAUUCUUUUUAUUAUUUAAAUUAAAUUUGAAUUGAGCCGAUCUAGAUACGAAAAUACUUAUCCAAGCCUAACUCAAAUUGAAUUGAGUUGUAUGGGGUCACAGCUGUAGUUUAGCAGAGUUUGUUUAAAUUGAAGGUGUGUAAAGUUGAAUGAUUAGAUAGGGAUUUAUGAAAAUGAAAUCGAAGGUAAGUUUAAUUUUUGAACUAAUAUAAGAUGUGAUUGAAGCCCAUUCUUUUACGAACUUUGGGCUCGUUGAUUUCUGUAUUCCCGAUUCAGCACCCAUUCAUUUAUUUUAAUUCUACAUACCUUCCGUAUUGUUAUUUAGGGAUAAUAUAGUUAAGUGCACUUGUACAUAUUUGUUUUGGUCUAUUUUCACACUUGAAUUUAACUAUUAGGUAUAUUUUAAUUUUUGAAAUUGAAAAAUAUGAAAGUUUUAUGAUGCGACUCUAUGAGAUUGUACUACAUCAUCACUUGAAAAUUAAAAAACUAUUUAUAUAAAUUUUUAGAGGAUGACGUGGUACAAUCUCUAAGUGCCACGUGUAUUAUUUAAUAAUCGGAUUGGUGGUUAAAUCAGUCAAACCACUAGUUCUCCAUUCAACCAGUUUGAUUAGUUUGACUGCCGGACCAACAAUAAUUAAAUAAAUCAUUAAACAUUCAUAAAAAUCUAAAAAACAAUAAAAGAAAUUUUUGUUAAACCGAUUAAUCAUGGUCAACAGUUGGGGGUUUUCUCAAUUUUCAAUUUUUACCAAUUUCAAGCAAUUUCUUAUUAAAUUGAUUCAAUUUCUUUGUUCAAACCAUCAUACCAAUCGAGUCUCAGUCCAAUCAGUCUGAUCAUUAUUCCAUGUGAGAUAUUAAAAUAAAAAAAUUUACCCUCUUUCAAAUCACUUGUAACAAAACUCUAAAAAUUUGGGAUAAAACACAAAAAAUUUAAGAUCCCAAAUAAAAUAAACGCAUUAAAAAUAUUAUUUGUACAGGUAGUAAUGCAGCCAAUUAGUCUAGAUAUGUUUCAAAUCAAUUGGUUUGAUUCAAUACAAAGCCUAAAUUAUAGUAAAUUUUAUUUGCUCGAUUAAUAGAAUUUAUUUAAAAAGAGCCAAAUGAAAACCACUAUACAACUUUAUGAAGUCGGCAACACAUCCAACACUCAAAGCACAAAGAAACUAGAUGUCAACAAUAAAACAAUAAUGCCAACAUUCUCAAACAUGUCAACAAAAAUAUUCUAAAAAAAAGGAAAUAGGACAUCCCACCUGGAGUGUUGAAAUUCUUGGACUCAGUCGUUAUAACAACAAAAAAGGAAAUAAGACAUCCAACAUUCUCAUCACAAUGCAUUUUCCUCUUACUCACCAACAACCUCUGCAGUGCGAUAACACAAUUAGAGGCUAUUGUGAUAGCAACUUUUAUAAAUAUUCAAAAAUUAACUUUUAAACACAUCUUGUCUUAAUAUAAGGUAAAGGGUUGAUUCAAACAUAAAAAUUUUAACCAAUUCAUCUCACCUCAAUUCAAUUGAUCACAUAACUAAAUUGAUACGAAAAUCUAUUCAUACAAUGUACAUUUAAUUUAUAUAUGAUUUCAAUUAUGGUUUAAAUUUAAAUAUUUUUUAACAAAAAUUUUAAAUAUUUAAUAUUGAACAAAUAGUCAAAUUUCGAAAUUAUGAACAAUAACUUAACACAUAGGUAAAAGUUUUUUUUUUACUUAAUAAUAUUAUUAGCAAUCGGACAUUAUUAAAUUGUAUAUGAAAAUAAUUAAGCUUAAAAAUUAAAAUUUAAAGGUAAUAUCAUUGUGAAAUUUACUCAAAAUUUAUAAUAUAGUUAUUUAUGUACAUAUGUGACACACAUAAUAAGAUAAUUAUAACACUCCUAACCCGUAUCUAUCACUGAAACAAGGUUACGGAGCAUUACCAGAGUUUACAAAUCAAAUAAAUAGACAUUUCAAACAUUUCAUAUCAUAUAAUAUUCAUGUCAGAAAUCAAUCGAAAACAAAUAUAUUGUUAUUUAUACGAGCCCUCGAGGCCCAAAAUAUGCGAUAGAAACAAGUUGGGAUACUCAAAGAAUUUUUUAGAAAACAUUGAAAUUUUUCAAAGUUGUAAGGGUCACACGCCCAUAUGGGCAUUCGAAAUAGGGGCAUACGGCCGUGUCCCAGCCCGUGUCUGUGCUCGUGUAACUCUCUGACUUGGGUCACACGGCCAAGCCACACACUCGUGUACUAGGCCGUGUGAGCAUACUGACUUGCAUUAUUAAGAAGAUAUAGGGGGCACACGACCGUGCCACAUAGCCGUGUGUCACAUACGGUUGAGACACACGCCCAUGUCCCUACUAUAGGUGUCCAUGGGCCGGGUGGCCCGGCCUGACCUGACGGCCCGCCCCGAAAUAUGGGAGGGUUCGGGCAAAAAUAUAGGCCCGAAAUAUGGGUUUAGGGAAAAAAAUGAGGCCAGUUUCGGGCCUCGGGCACCACUUUUUUGGCCCGGGCCCGGCCCGAAUAUAAUAAAUAUUUAUUUUUUUAUUCUUUCAAUUUUAAAAUAUUUUUAAAAUACUUUUUUUAAUUUUUAUUUUUAAAAUAAUUUUUUGGUGUUUAUUAAAAAAUGGGCCGGGCCAGACUUGGGCUUAGGAAUUUUUUCCUGGCCGGGCCUGGACAAAAUUUUAUGCCCAUAUUCCGGGCUAGACUGGGCCUAGGCCUAGGUCACGGGCAAAAAAAUUUCUGGGCCCAGCCCGGCCCAUGGACACCUCUAGUCUCUACCCGUGUGGACGAAAAUAAGCCAUUUUCCAAACCAUAUUUCUCAUCCAAUUUGAUACUAACCUAAACACAACAAUUUGCAUAUAACCAAGUCAUACUAAAUUAGAAAUGCUUUUUAGUUUUUUAGUUUUUUUUCAUUUGAUUGUUAGAUUUUCAUAAAUUUUAGAUGCAAAAUCAUGAUACUUGAUUAGUAUCAUAAAAUUUAAUUGUGAAAAAAAAAGUAACAUAAAAUAAAAGAAUAAAAAAACAAAGAUAGAUGUUGUAACUAAAAACUCGAGUCUGACACUUAAAAUGCAAACUGAAAUUAUUAAAGGAACAGACACAUCUUUAAACCAAACUUUGUAAUAGAAACACCCACCCAUCUUAUAUCUUUAAACCAAACUUCCCAUUUCUAUUUGGGAUAUCAAUGGAAACACCCACCCAUCAGUCUGAUGCACACCAAACUAGUCUUUAGCUUUAAUUGGGAUUAAUAUUUUAUUUUUGAUCAAUUUUUUACACUUUUUUUUUUUUUGGGAAACACCUCAAUCAAAGCACAUCUGAUUUUAUAAAAAUACUUUUGAUUGUUGUGUUCUGUCAUACCCGUAUCCUUAUUUUUAAAAAUUAUCAUAUCAUGCCGUACCCUCGUUACAUAUAUGUAUUUGUGCUUCAUAAGUAGGUUUUAAAUGUUAUUUUAGAAUAAUUAUAUAUGUCUUCAUUUAUUUUGCAUGAGUUUAAAAUAAUAAAAUUUAAAUAUAGGAUAUAAGUCCUAAUUAAUUUGUAUAAAAAAUUAUUUAAUUAAAUUAAAUCCAAAUCUAAAAUCUAAAUUUUAAUUUUAAUUAUCACAACAAUCAACUUAAAUUAAUUCAAAAGCUUAAAUUUGAAAAUACAUGCGUUUCAUUUUAAAUGAAGUCUAGCUUAGCACAGUUAAAUAUCAAAAGUCUAUAAAAGUUGAAUCAUUAGAUUGGAUUAUAUGUGUGCUUCGAGUAAUUACUUAUUUUGCCUGACUUGAAGCCCAUUUUUUUUGGAAUUUCGAGUCUCUUUAGUUACUUUUUGAAUAUUAAAUAUUACAAUUAUUUAAAUUUAUUUUUUUAUCAAAAAUAUUUUUUUUUAGAAUAAAACUUCAUAAAUCAAAAAGAUCCUAAGUCACAACGUAUCACUAAGUCACAAUGCAUCAGGCUUACACUAAUACACCUAGUACCGAUUCUUAGUUAUGUCUUUGAAAUAUCUUCACUAAACAAAUUCGAUUGUCUCAAUUUUAUUUAUUUAAAAUCAAAAUUAUAUAUAUAUAUAUUUAUUUAGCUCAUUUAAAUGAUAUUUAUUUAAAAUGAAUUAAAUGAGAAUCAUUAAACAAUUUUAUAAAGUUGACAACACAUCUAAUAUUUAAAGCACAAAAAAAUUCGAUAUGUCAAUUACAACAAAACAAUAAUACCAACAUUCUCAAAUACGGCAACAAAAUUGUUCUAAAAACAAAAGAUAAGGCAUCACAACUAGAAUGUACAAAUAUUUGGAUUCAAUCAUUAUAACAACAAAAAAGGAAACAAAACAUCAAACAUCCUCAUCACAAUGGAUUCUUCGGUGACUCGCCAACAACCUCUGCAAUGCAAUAAUACAAAAGGAGGUUAUUGUGAUAACAACUCUUACAAAUAUUCAAAAAUUAACUUUUAGAUGCAGCAUGUCUCAAUCUAAGGCAAAGGGUUUAUCCAAACAUGAAAAUUUUAACCAACUUAAUUCAAUUCAAUUCAACUCAAACCUCAAUCUAUCUAUGUAGUUUACUUUUAAUUUAUAUAUAAUUUCGAUUAUGGUUUAAAUUUAAAUAUUUUUUUGACAAAAAAUAUAAAUAAAACAAAUAGUGAUAUUAAUGAAAAUUUGUAAUUAUGAACAAUAACUUAACGCAUAGGUAAAAGCUUUUUUUUUUUUACUGAAUAAUAUUAUUAGCAAUAGUACAUUAUUAAUUGUAUGUGAAAAUAAUGAAGCUUAAAAAUUAAAAUUUAAAGAUAAUAUCAUUGUCAAAUUUACUCAAAAUUUAUUUUUAACUAUAGUUAUCUAUGUACAUAUGUGACACACAUAAUAAGAUACUUAUAUAUAUAUAUAUAUAUAAUAAUAAUAAUAAUAAGGCAAAAUAAUACAAAACCAAAAGGUAAGACAAUGAAGUGAAAUAUUUCUAACCUUAUGCAAUAUUUGAAAUUGUUAUAAUAACAGUAUCCAACGAAAAUUAGACAUCAACAGAAUGAUUACGUAAAAACUUAAAUCCAAUUGUUACAUAAUAUGAAAAAUAAAAUAAUUAUAUUAUGUAAAUAGAUCAUUCCUGAUUACAAUGAAUAAUAAUCCUUACAAAAAAAUUUAAUAAUUCAAAACUAUAAACAAUAAUUUAUAAACGAUAUUAAAAUAAAAAUAUUAGAAUUUUAAUAUACAAAAAUUUAUAUAGAAAUAUUUUUUGAAGUUUUACAUCAAUUUAAAAAAAAUUGAAAUUGGUAAACGUCCACACUUCAAAAAUCAUUUUUGAUUUUAUCCUUGUUAAUAAUUUUCUAUCGAUUUACAAAAAAAAAAAAAUAAUGAAAAUACAGACAAUAUCUCACAAAAACAUUUUGUAUUAAAAUAAAGAUUUAAUUCUUGUUUUCGAAAUCGUAACGGGUUUGUUUGAUCAAAAACCUGUUAAAGUAUCGGUUCAAAGAGAGGUAAAAAUUUGAUUGACUCGUGAGUCAGUAUGAACUAGUUGAAUCAAUUUAAAAAUCAAUUGAAUAGAUGAUUGAAUCAGUUGAACUAUAUUUUAUAAUUUUUAAUAAUUUUUAAUUAUUUAAUUUGAACCAGACGAAUUAAAUGGUUUGACUAGUUUGGCCAAGGUUGCUCAAAUGGAACUAAACAGAUUAGUCAUAUCAAUUAAAUUGGAAACUUAUAAUAGUGUUGAUUCAAAAAAUAAAAUAUUGAAUCAAUUAAUUUGAGAACUGAUACAAACCUAUUGAACCAAAUAAAAAAAUUAAUUAAACUUAAUUUUAGUAUUUUUAUUUUAAUAAUUUAUUUAAUCAUUAAGAUUAAUUAGAACAAUGAACCAAUGAUUUAAAUUUCGUCAUAAUCUAAUUCUAAAAAUUGUGGAUUUGAGCGCUCCCAAAUUUCCCUUCGCUUUCUCUCUCUCUCUCUGUUCUUCAACAUCGUGUUUAGAUCCGUCCCUCCCAUCCUUGAAAGAUUCCAUCUUUGACCCUUCUUCGUUGAAUCUAUCAAACAAAUUAGGGUUCCGAUCUGUUACUUGUUGUGUUCGUUUAAAAAAAAAAUUUCUUUGCCUCAAAAUUUCAUCUUCAGAAAAAGAAAAAAAAAGGAGAGAGAGAGAGAGAGAGAGAGAGUUUUCGAUUUUCCUUGAUUUUGCUUGAGAUUUAUGUUCUAAUCUGAAAUUCAUUACCUUAAUGAUUUGCUAUAUCGGUUCGAUCUCCAUUACGAUUGCUUGAUUUUGUGUCGGAUUUGGGGUUAAAUCCAAGCUUGGGCGUUUUUACAUUAAAUCAGUAACCAUCGGCCCAAACUCUACGCCUCUUUCUAUCUGGAAAAUUUUUACAUUAAAACAAACGGAGUUUGAAAGUUAAAAAUUGACAUUCCAUUGAAUUUAAGUUUGAAAGUUUGGCUCAACUCACCGAUUACACCCGCUUACAUGAAGUAGAAGCCCUUAUUACAUCGAUACAUCUGUGUGUGUGUGUGUUUUCCGCUUCCUCUUCUUUCUUUUGGCCCUUUUUUAUUUUUCUCAAAAAUCCUCACCUACAGCUUACUCCAUUCCCUGACAUUUUCUCUUAAAAUUACACUGAAAAAGCUCACAUGUUCCCCAAACUUCAUCUAUUACUCAAGUUUCGAUUCCUUGUCUCCGCAUCCAACCGCCACUGUACACAGUCAAACUCUGUUUUUCGAAUUACCGCCACCUAUUCGACGAUAUGCCCAAACCAAGUUGAAAGCCCGAAUGAAGAAGCUAUAGAGCAUCCGAGAGACUCCAUCGAGAUUUUCAAGCAAUGGGGUUGCUGUGAAAACGAUUUGUUGAAGAUCUUUUCACGCCAACCUUCUUUGCGCAACGCUCAAGCUACUUCCCUUUUAUCCAAACUCAACUUGCUGAGUAGCUUGGGACUCAGCGGUUCCGACAUUGUCAAGAUGGUCAAUUGUCGUCCUCGUUUCUUUUGUUCUCGUAUCAAUAAUUGCUUCGACGAGCGGAUUGAGUUCCUCGUUAACCUGUUCGGGUCGCGAGAAAUGCUUCGUAAAGCACUUGUUAGGAACCCUUCACUCUUGACCUAUGAUUUUCACAAUACCAUGAAACCAGUCAUUGCAUUGUACGAAGAGAUUGGCAUUAGUGGAAGUGAUUUGAUUGCUAUGCUCAUCUCACGUCCCACAUUGAUCCCAAGGACUUCUUUCAAUGAGGAGAAGAUGGAAUACAUAAAGAAAACAAGGGUUUCAAAAGGUUCCAAAAUGUACAAGUACGUAGUUUCACUCAUCGGAAUAUCGCGGAUCGAGACUACGUGAAAAGGUGACUAACUUGGAGAAAUUCGGAUGUUCAGAGGAAGAGAUUUGGAGUUUGUUGGGACGUUCUCCUCUUAUUUUGACACUCUCGGUUGAUAAGGUUCAAAGGAACAUGACAUUUGUUUUGGGAACCAUGAAGCUGUCUCCAAGAGUGGUUCUUGAGCACCCGUUUUUGUUGUUCAGCAACCUCGAAGCCGUAUUGAAACCGCGGAUAUCGUUGGCUCGGAAACUAAAGGAAAUGGAGCUUGAUCCGCAGAUUAAAGGAUCGAUCAUGUUGACAGCAUUGAGGAUGACGGAAAAUCGAUUCUUGAAUGUGUUUAUUAAAUGCCAUCCACAAGAUGUGGCAAAUGAACUGUUGGAGUUCUAUAAACAUGCCAAAGGUCUCAAGCCAUUGGCCGAAUCAUCGAAAAAAAUACUGCGUAAAGGAUUUCCAUUUUGAACAUUUUCGUUUGUUUGUUUGGUGCUGUCUUCGUUUUCUUUUUGUUCAUCCAUGUCAAGGGAUAUUUCGGUUAAAUUUUCAGAUUUAUAACUUUUAUUCUCAAAGGGAUAAUGUGAGACUCAAAAUUUUGGGAUAUAAAAAGGGAUGCCUCUUCGUGUUUCAUUGGUGUUCUCUCUCUGCCUAUAUCCCUUGUACUCCUCGUGAUGAAGAGUUGAAAUUUUUUCUAUGUAUGAUGGCUGGAGGGAAUAUAGAUUAUGAAACUCCACCAUUAUUAACUUUGUACGCUCAAUUGGCACCGGUUAAAGCGUGUUUAAAGGCGUAUUUUCUUUUUAUUUAAGAGUUUAAAAGAGAUUAUGAUUUGUGAACAAUAAUUUUUUAAGGUAAAUCUAAUUCUAUAUAUUUUGACCGAUGAUUAUUUUUAUCCUUAAGGUAAAUUUGUGUUAAUUUUGGUUUGGAUGAUGUUUAUUAUUUUUAUUAAUUACUUUUCAACACGGAUAAAAUCUUGCACCAAUUAAAAUUCAUAUAUUAUUAUUAAUAAAAGAUAAAUAAACAAAUUAAAUCUUUUUAAAUGUCUUUUAUAAAUUAGUUUCUUAUUUAUUUUUAAAGUUUAUUAAAUAAUAUUAUUUUAUUUUAUAACUAAUGUAAAGUAAUAUAUAAGGUAAAAUAAUAUAAAGCUAAAAUGAAGUGAAAUGUGUUAAGAAAUGGCUUAAAAUUGGUAGUGGAUUGUUGUUGUUGGUAGUGGGUUGUUGGUGGUAGUGGAUUAGUGGAUGGUUGUUGGUGUCCAUUUUCAACCACAAAUCUUUGCCAAAGUUUUGGACAAUUAUGUCCUUGAACUCUCUUAUAAAUAGAGAGGUUCAUUAGCCAUAUAAAUCAUCCCAAACCAAGAGAGAGCAAAGCUUGUUCUUUGAAAGCUAGGAUUUUAGCUUUCGGAUUUUCUAUAGGGGUUGAGAGUUGUGAGGUUCUCGGGUUGUGUCUUGAGUGUAAAACACUUGUAAUCUUCAUCUUGUUAUAGUGAAAUUUCUUUUCGCCUCUGCCCGUGGACGUAGGCAUUAAAGCCGAACCACGUAAAUCCUUGUGUUCACUUUAUUUUUCGUUUCGGUCAAUUUACUUGUAGUCAUAUCGGAGUUCUCGAAUCGAUCCUUUCCGCAACAAAUUGGUAUCAGAGCGUAGUUGAAGGAGUGAUAAUAUUUUCUGAAUUGCCCUGUGACUGCAGCUUUGUCUGAUCUUUCACAUCAGGAAGAAAAUAUUAUCAUUCAUUCAAAGGUUCCAAAUUAUGGCUACAAGUGUUUCAUCGACUAAGUAUGAUGUCGAGAAAUUUACCGGAAAAAAUAGUUUCAGUUUAUGGCGCAUCAAGAUGCGGGCAGUGCUGGUUCAACAAGGAUUGCUAAAAGCAUUGUCUGGUAAAGAUAAAUUACCAAGCACGCUUUCGGAAGAGCAAAAGGAUGACAUGCUAGAAAGAGCACAUAGUGCUAUUCUGCUAUGUCUAGGAGAUGAAGUGCUACGAGAAGUAGCGGAUGAGAAAACCGCGUCCGGUUUGUGGCUCCGGUUAGAGAGCAAGUACAUGACGAAGUCAUUGACGAACCGGCUCUACCUCAAGCAAAGACUCUAUGCCCUGAAGAUGGAGGAAGGUACACCUGUUUCCCAGCACCUGGAUAAAUUCAAUUCCAUUAUCAUGGAUUUGAAUAAUAUCGAUAACAAAAUCGAUGAUGAGGACCAAGCAAUAAUUGUUUUGUGUUCUUUGCCUCCCUCGUAUGAGAAUUUUGUUGAUACAAUGAUGUACGGUCGUGAUGACCUGACUCUAGAGGAGGUGAAAAAUGCCUUAAGUUCCAGUGAGUUGAGGAAGAAAAUCACUGGUAAGGUGGUCGAAAACAAUGAAGGCGAAGGCUUGGUUGCUCGAGGAAGAUCCAAGGCAAAGGGUGGAAGUUCAAGUAAAAGCCAUCCUAGAUCGCAGUCCAAGAAGAGAAUACAGUGCUACUACUGUAAGAAGUACGGGCACAUGAAGGUAGAUUGUCCGAAAAGGAAGGAGAAAUCAGAAUCACAGGAGCAACAAAAUGAUCGUGCGAAUGUAGCUGAUGCAGAUUCUUCAAGUGAUGCCGAGAUCGUUCUUGCAGUAUCCGACUCUUACGCUGGUGGGAGAUGGAUUCUUGAUACGGGAGCUACAUUUCAUAUAAGUACUUCGAAAGAUGCAUUCUCAACAUACGAGAAGCAUUCUGGUUCAGUACUAAUGGGAAAUGACCACGCAUGUCAAGUCAUGGGGAUUGGCACAGUUCGUAUAAAGAUGUUUGACGGUAUUGUUAGAACUCUAACUGAUGUUCGGCACAUUCCAGAAAUGAAGAAAAAUUUGAUCUCUUUGAGUACGUUGGACAAGAAAGGCUUUCGGUACUCUGCUGAAGGUGGAGUUCUCAAGGUAUUCUCGGGUGCUUUGACUGUGAUACGUGGUAAUUUGGAGCGGGGCCUUUACUUCCUCGAUGGUUCCUCGGUUACAGGUGUUGCGGGAGUGUCAUCAUCAGAUGAUCUAGAUUCUGACACCACGAAGUUAUGGCAUAUGCGGCUCGGGCAUAUGAGCGAGAGAGGCUUAUCGGUGCUAAGCAAACGAGGAUUAUUGUCUGGGCAGUGUACAGGAAAGUUGAAUUUCUGUGAGCACUGCGUCUUCUGUAAGCAGACUCGGGUAAAGUUCAGCACUGGGAUUCACAAGACAAAAGGCACAGUGGAUUACUUCCAUUCUGACCUUUGGGGGCCUUCUCCGACAAUUUCUAAAGGUGGUUACAGAUAUCUGCUUACCUUUAUCGAUGAUUACUCGAGAAAGGUUUGGGUGUAUUUUCUGAAGAGCAAGUAUGAGGUUCUCAUCAACUUCAAGCAAUUUAAAGCUUUGAUCGAAAAUCAAACAGGAAAGAAGAUCAAGCGAUUCCGGACGGAUAAUGGCUUGGAGUUUUGCUCAGGUGAAUUCAAUGAGUUCUGCAAAAAUGAAGGAAUAGUGAGACACCGCACUGUUCGUCGAACACCACAACAAAAUGGAGUUGCAGAACGCAUGAAUAGAACUCUCUUGGAGCGAGCUCGUUGCAUGCGAUCAAAUGCUGGGCUCGGUGAAGAAUUUUGGGCUGAAGCUGUUAAUACUGCUUGUUAUUUGGUUAACAGAUCUCCGUCAACAGCUAUUGAGCUGAAGACUCCUGAGGAAGUAUGGUCUGGUUCUCCUGCUGAUUACUCUGGUUUAAGAGUGUUUGGCUGCCCUGCGUAUGCUCAUGUAAAUGAGGGAAAACUCAAACCGAGGGCGAAGAAAUGCAUAUUUCUUGGAUACGGCCAAGGGGUGAAAGGAUACAGGUUGUGGUGUCCUGAUCCGGUUUCGUCCAAGUUCAUCAUCAGCAGAGAUGUGACUUUUGAUGAGUCAUCCAUGCUUCGAUCCACCACAAAUUCCCGGGAAAAGGAGGAGUCAGAUAGAAUGGGAGAUCACGGUGUUGAGAAGCAGGUGGAGUGUCAGGUGGACGCUCCAAUUCCUACGGAAGGUACUUCAGUCCAGGAUGAUCAAGUUGAGGUGCAAGAUUCCGAUGAAGAUGAGUCACCUCAAGAAAAACCAUAUAGCAUUGCCACUGGAAGAACGAAGAGACAAAUCAAACCAAAUCCGCGUUACGCUAAUCUGGUGUCUUUCGCGCUCAGUGUGGCGGAGUCCAUUGGUAUAGAACCUUCCAGUUAUAAUGAGGCUGUCACGUGUGAUGAGUCGGCACAGUGGGCAAUUGCUAUGAGUGAGGAGAUAGAAUCUCUUCACAAGAACCAUACUUGGGAGUUGGUUAAGCCGCCAAGUAACCAGAAGAUAGUUGGUUGCAAAUGGGUCUUCAAGAAAAAGGAAGGCAUCCUAGGGGUUGAAGCAACUAGAUUCAAGGCACGAUUGGUUGCUAAAGGCUUCACUCAGAAAGAGGGGAUUGACUACAAUGAAGUUUUCUCCCCAGUCGUAAAGCAUUCUUCCAUUCGUGUAUUACUUGCCAUGGUGGCCAAGUCUGAUCUAGAACUUGAGCAGCUUGACGUAAAAACGGCGUUCUUGCAUGGUGAGCUCGAGGAAACAAUCUACAUGCGUCAACCAGAGGGUUUUACAGUUCCUGGUAAAGAAGACCAUGUCUGUCUAUUAAAGAAGUCUUUAUAUGGAUUGAAACAAUCCCCAAGGCAGUGGUACAAGCGGUUUGAUAGCUUCAUGAUUCAGCAUGGUUACACAAGAUGUGACUAUGAUGCUUGUGUCUAUCAUCGGAAGCUCUCAGAUGGUUCGCACAUUUAUUUGUUGCUGUAUGUUGAUGACAUGUUAAUUGCUUCCAAAAACAUGUCGGAAAUCAACAAGUUAAAGUCGCAGUUGAGUGGUGAGUUCGAGAUGAAGGAUCUGGGUGCUGCCAAGAAAAUUUUGGGCAUGGAUAUUCACAGAGAUCGCAAGGCGGGCAAGCUUCGUGUGUCGCAGAAGAACUACAUUGAAAAGGUUCUUCAACGCUUCGGCAUGGAUAAAGCGAAAACUGUGAGUACUCCGUUGGCACCACAUUUCAAACUCUCUGCAGAGUUGUCACCACAAUCUGAUGAAGAAAAGCAGCAAAUGUCUCACAUUCCAUACUCGAGUGCAGUUGGAAGCGUGAUGUAUGCAAUGGUUUGCACUCGUCCAGACAUUUCACAUGCAGUUAGUGUGGUCAGCAGAUACAUGAGUUGUCCUGGCAAGGAACACUGGCAGGCCGUGAAAUGGAUUCUCAGGUACUUGAGAGGUUCUGCAGAUUUAUGCUUGGUAUAUGAUCAGAGUGACUGCACUAGCAGUGUCACGGGCUAUGUGGACUCUGAUUAUGCUGGAGAUCUGGACAAAAGAAGAUCUCUGACGGGUUAUGUUUUCACUUAUUCUGGAGGAGCCAUUAGUUGGAAAGCUGUGUUACAGUCUACCGUAGCCUUAUCUACGACUGAGGCGGAAUAUAUGGCGUUAGCAGAAGCAGUGAAAGAAGCAUUGUGGAUGAAAGGUCUAGUAAGCAGUUUGGGUUUACAACAGGAUUUCACUGUUGUAUUUUGCGAUAGCCAGAGUGCCAUACAUCUGACUAAAAAUCAGAUGUUUCAUGAACGGACCAAACACAUUGAUGUCAGAUAUCAUUUUGUUCGGGAACAUGUUACGCAAGGUGACAUUGUUAUCAGCAAGGUUGCUACCGAGAAGAAUCCUGCAGAUAUGUUAACUAAGGUGAUCCCUGCAUAUAAGUUCAAGCAUUGCUUGGACUUGAUAGGUAUUCGGGAUUGAUUAGCGCCAGAGAGGCGUUUGGAAGAGGUGAUCCAGUUCGAGGAAUUCACUAUGAUGUUCAGCUUGGUAAAUUUCAAGCCAAGGUGGAGAUUUGUUAAGAAAUGGCUUAAAAUUGGUAGUGGAUUGUUGUUGUUGGUAGUGGGUUGUUGGUGGUAGUGGAUUAGUGGAUGGUUGUUGGUGUCCAUUUUCAACCACAAAUCUUUGCCAAAGUUUUGGACAAUUAUGUCCUUGAACUCUCUUAUAAAUAGAGAGGUUCAUUAGCCAUAUAAAUCAUCCCAAACCAAGAGAGAGCAAAGCUUGUUCUUUGAAAGCUAGGAUUUUAGCUUUCGGAUUUUCUAUAGGGGUUGAGAGUUGUGAGGUUCUCGGGUUGUGUCUUGAGUGUAAAACACUUGUAAUCUUCAUCUUGUUAUAGUGAAAUUUCUUUUCGCCUCUGCCCGUGGACGUAGGCAUUAAAGCCGAACCACGUAAAUCCUUGUGUUCACUUAUUUUUCGUUUCGGUCAAUUUACUUGUAGUCAUAUCGGAGUUCUCGAAUCGAUCCUUUCCGCAACAAAAUGUUUCUAACCUCGUACAAUAUUUCAACUUGUUGUAAUACCAGUAUCCAGUGNNNNNNNNNNNNNNNNNNNNNNNNNNNNNNNNNNNNNNNNNNNNNNNNNNNNNNNNNNNNNNNNNNNNNNNNNNNNNNNNNNNNNNNNNNNNNNNNNNNNNNNNNNNNNNNNNNNNNNNNNNNNNNNNNNNNNNNNNNNNNNNNNNNNNNNNNNNNNNNNNNNNNNNNNNNNNNNNNNNNNNNNNNNNNNNNNNNNNNNNNNNNNNNNNNNNNNNNNNNNNNNNNNNNNNNNNNNNNNNNNNNNNNNNNNNNNNNNNNNNNNNNNNNNNNNNNNNNNNNNNNNNNNNNNNNNNNNNNNNNNNNNNNNNNNNNNNNNNNNNNNNNNNNNNNNNNNNNNNNNNNNNNNNNNNNNNNNNNNNNNNNNNNNNNNNNNNNNNNNNNNNNNNNNNNNNNNNNNNNNNNNNNNNNNNNNNNNNNNNNNNNNNNNNNNNNNNNNNNNNNNNNNNNNNNNNNNNNNNNNNNNNNNNNNNNNNNNNNNNNNNNNNNNNNNNNNNNNNNNNUAGUGUGGUCAACAAAUGCAUUCACAUUCUUUCUCCUUCCAACUAUUUCCAUCAAUAACAUUCCAAAACUAUAAACAUCGGCUUUGUAUGAGAUGCCUCCAAGAUUUUUGUAAACCAAUUCAGGAGCAAUAUAUCCUAUUGUUCCUCGUGCUGCAAUGAGAGAGACAAUGCUAUCAUCUACUGAAUACAAUUUAGCAAGGCCAAAAUCGAGAACUUUUGGAUUAAAAUUCUCAUCAAGAAGAAUAUUGUGUGGCUAGUUAUCAAAAUGUAGAACUUACCCAAAAGCUCGUUUUUUAUUCGAAAAUAUUAAUAAUGUUUUUAAUUGAUAUUUUACAUAUUUCUAUAAUUAAAUUUAAAUUUUAAAAUUUUUGUAUUAUUUAAAUUAAAAUAAAAAUAUUUAUCCAAGCCUAACCCAAAUCGAGUUGGGCCGGGUGGGCGAUCCGGUCAUGAUAGGAAAGGAAAAAAAAGGAAAGACGAAGCCUAAACAGGCAGUGUGCAGCCCACUAAAUUUAUUUUAAUUUUACAUACAUUCCAUAUUAUUAUUUAGGGAUAAUAUAAUUUUUGACCCCUAAUCUUGAUAGUUAGGUGGACUUUAGUACAUAUGUCUUUUUUGUUCUACUUUGACACUUGAACUUCACAAUUAAGUAUAUUUUGGUUCCUAAACUUAAAAAUUUUGAAAGUUUUAUGAUGCAACUCUCUGAGAUUGUGUUACAUCAUCACUUAAAAAUUAAAAUAUAUAUUUAUAUAUCAUCUAUUGAGCCUGCCCAAUCAUUGUCAACAAAACCAAGGAGCUUCAUGCUGUCAACCUUGAUAAACAUCAUCCCAAAGCUUAGAGUACCUUUGAUGUACCUGAUAACUCUCUUACCAGCUUGAAAAUGGCUCACAUUGCAGCAAUGCAUGACCCUGGACAGGAGGCUGACUGCAAACAUUAUGUCUGGUCUUGUGGCUGUCAAGUACAGAAGGCUACCUUCUCGAAAUCACCCUGGCUGGUCAACUUUUCUCCAAUAGCAACUGGUGUGCUAGUUGCUUUACUGUUCAACAUGGAGAACCUGUUUAGAAUUUUCAAGGCAAAAGCCUUUUGGCUUGGGAAAAUCCCUUGUUUAUUCUGAGAUACUUCCAUACCAAGGAAAUAGGUCAUUUCUCCUAAGUCUGACAUCUCAAACAUGCUCUCCAUUUUUCCUUUAAAGUCUGUCAACAUAGCAUUGUUACUUCCUGUCACUAGCAAAUCAUCCACAUCGCUUUUUCAUCGUCAGAAGGCAAUAAUUGUAUACACCAAAAGGUUGUUAUUAUCAUCUUCUUCACCAUUGCUUUUUCAUCGUCAGAAACAUCUCUUAACUCCAUGUCCCCUCCUUGAUCCAAUCUGUCAUCAAUCCAUGAUGGAAAAUAUAUCUGACUAGUGUCGUCAACAAAAGCAUUUUCAUUCUUUCUCCUUCCUAUCAUUUCCAUCAACAACAUUCUAAAACUAUAAAUACCGGCUUUGUAUGAGAUGCCUCCAAGAUUUUUGUAAACCAAUUCAAGAGCAAUAUAUUCUAUUGUUCCUCGUGCCACAGUGAGAGAGACAAUGCUAUCAUCUAUAGAAAACAAUUUAGCAAGAUCAAAAUCGAAAACUUUUAAAUUAUAAUUCUCAUCAAGAAGAAUAUUGUGUGGUUUAAUACCAAAAUCAAAAACUUUUGGAUUAUGUUGAUAAGUAUUAGUCCCAUAUGCAUGGGAGAGUAUUAAGUUGAAAUAUUAAAUUUAGAGUUUAUUAUAAUAAUUUUUUAUUCAAACGGUUUAUUCUAACAAGAGCGGAAACUUUUAUAAUUUAAUACAAUUAAUUUUAUUAUUUUAUAAUGAAAAGCAAAAGAAAAAGAAGAUUUUAAAUUGUAAAAAAAAUUUAAAUAAAUUUGGACCUUAUACUUGUAGAUAAACCUUUAUCAAUUUAAUAAAUUCCAACUAUAAUGUGGAUGACCAAGAGAAUGCACGUCUUAAGUCUUCAUUGAAACACAAAAGCAUUUAAGUCUUUGAGUUUUUAUAUCAUCGCUUUGGUCCUUUUGUGUUAUGUAAGUCGAGCUAGGCAUAUUCCACCCAACCCAUGGAUCACGCUAGACGAGAUUUCAUGUCUAAUUGUAUAGAUCUUUUAUUUUAGUCGACAACUACUCAAGUAUUUUUAAAAUAUUUUUUAAUAUAAUUACAUAGGUUGUUGAUUUUAUUUUAUAAUCUCUUUUUAUUUUGCUUAAUUUUAAUUUUAUUUUUCAAUUCUAAACUCCUUUAUUUUUAUUUUACAUGUUGAUUAAAGAAAUAAAAUUAUCGCCUUUCUUUAUGGAUAUGACCUUACUUGUUGCUAUCUACUAAUUUUAUAUUUUUUAAGUAGGUUUUUAUUGUUAUAGAUCUCCACAACUUAACAAAUAAGAAUUUGAGCCCAAAGAGAUAUUGAAUUUGGUGGUGCAAUAGAAUAUUUUCAUUGCUUUUGUGCAAUUCUAAACAUUCAUAACACUACUACGCCUAUUAGGAACAUAAAACAAAAAUAAAGAGAUCCCAUUGAAAAAUCCAAGUCCAUGGAACAGAGAGUAGAUUUCUUGGAUAUUCUCAUAUUCAAGUUCACACCUACAAUAACCACACUGGCGAGAUUGUUUUUUCAAUCGCACGGCAUAAAUGUUAAUUAAGUUCCCAAGAGCGGCAAAGCAUGAAAGAAUAAAUUUAGAAACAAAUCAAAAGCGGCCAUUAGGUGGCUAAACAAAGGGAGUUUUUUCCUAUAAUUUGGGAUGCUCGCUGCAAACUUUGAUAGGGAACAAAAAUAUAAAUCUGCCGACAUAUACAACACACAUGAUAAGAUACUACAUACGUAUAAAAGAAAAUUAAUAUAAAACUAUAAAGGUGAGAUAAUGAAAUGAGAUAUUUCCAACCUCAUUAGACAUUUGAAUUAAUUAUAGUAACAGCCGAGGAUGAUGUACUUGGCUUAUCAACAGAGCUCUCACAACCAUGGACUUCCAUCGAUGUCUCAAGAGGAAGUUGAUGGAAUGGCUUAGGAGGUAUCUCACAGAGUUCAAUAUCUCCUUCAAGCAUCUUUAGUACUUUGCUCAUUGAAGGACGAUCAAUAGGUAAUAAUUGUAUGCACCAAAAGGCUGUUAUUAUCAUCUUUCUCACCAUUACUUUUUCAUCAUCAGAAACAUCUCCCAGCUCCAUGUCCUCUCCUUGAUCCAAUCGGUCAUAAAUCCAUGAUGGAAAAUAUAUUUGACUAGUGUGGUCAGCAAAUGCAUUCACAUUCUUUCUCCUUCCAACUAUUUCCAUCAAUAACAUUCCAAAACUAUAAACAUCGGCUUUGUAUGAGAUGCCUCCAAGAUUUUUGUAAACCAAUUCAGGAGCAAUAUAUCCUAUUGUUCCUCGUGCUGCAGUGAGAGAGACAAUGCUAUCUUCUACUGAAUACAAUUUAGCAAGGCCAAAAUCGGAAACUUUUGGAUUAAAAUUCUCAUCCAGAAGAAUGUUGUGCGGCUUGAUAUCAAAAUGUAGAAUUUGCAUGUCACAUCCUUGAUGCAAGUAGUGAAUUCCUUGAGCCACACCAAGCACAAUAUCAAACAAUUUUUUCCAACCCAAAGUGUUCUUAUUUUCUUCUGUAAAUAUGAUUUUAUCUAAAGAUCCAUUAGGCAUGAAAUCAUAUACCAAAGCUUGCUUUGAUCUCCCUACGCAAAAUCCAAUAAGUUUAGCCACAUUAGCAUGAUGAAUUCUCCCGAUAGAAGCAACUUCAUUUAUAAAAUCUUGGCCGUUCCCCUUUGACUUAUCUAACAGUUUUAUAGCCACAUGAUGUCCACUACGAAGCUUUCCCUUAAACACCGAACCAUAGCCCCCUUCACCUAGUUUAUUUUUAAAAUUUUUAGUCAUUUUUUUAAUUUCUUUGAAAGAAUAUCUAAUUGGUGCUAGAUUGUGGCUUUGAAGAAACUCUUCAAUCUUAUCAUCCAUGGAUAAAUGUCUUCUUCUCCAUUUGUAGAUAACAAGGCCAGACAAACAAAGUAUCCCAGUCAAAACCCUCAAUAUGAUGACCCCAACUUCAAAAACAAGAAAGUAUUGUAGAACAUUAGUACUUUGUGAGGUCAAAAACGAAUUAUCUACAUUCUCAAAAUGUCUAUACACGUGACAAUCGCGUGCUCCCUUAAAAGAUAAAAUUAAGAUAGAUUUAAAUUUUUUAAAAAGUGGUUUGUAGUUUUUAUAACUUAAAAUCAAAUUAUUAAUAUAAAGAAUCUUUCAUUUUUUUCUCAAAUUAAAUGUGGAUAUAUAUAUAGUUUUUUUUCCCCUAUUUCUCAAUGUCUUGGAUAUAUAUAAAAUUGAGGCCAUAAGUAUACCUGUUACAACAAAACAAGUAUGAUCGGUAUCUGUGGAAACACAAAAACAAAAAGAUACAUCAAUAUUACCAGAGAGUAAAAAGUUCAAAGAUCAGUAAAAAACAAAUAAAACCUGCAAAUCACACCAUCUCAUCAGCCGACCCAAAAAAAAAAAAACCAUACCAUGAUAGUAAUAAAUUACAGCUGAAAUGCACCCAAAAUAGACACUGAUGUGAUAUGACACCGCGCACAAUCUGCAGUAUUCAGCACACCUAAAUAAGCCAAGCUAUUGUAGAUGGGACCAAUGAGUUAAACAUAAGAGUAAAUUUUAUGCAACACUGUAUUAACAUUUCUUUUUAAUGUAUUUUAUAUUAAAAUUACAAUAUAUAUAAAGUUACAAAUUUUAUUGUGAAAAAAAAAAGUAAAAGGGAUCAAAUUAGCUUAUUAUAAAAGUAGAUUAUGUUAUAUGUACCCAAAAGAAAUUUUGGCAGAUUGUCUUCUAAGAUUAUACAAAAAUUAUUAACAACUGAGUAUUAAUAACAUAUCAAAUAUUACAACAGUUAAUUUACGUAUUUUUAUAGUAAGAAGUAUGCAACAUCUAUUGCAUACAAAUUUUUUGUGUUUCGAAAAUAAAAGAUAUUAUCUAAACUAAAAAUUGUAAAAGAAAGAAAUGUUUGUUUAUAAUUUAAAAAAUUAAUUAUUUUAAGUAAUUUAAAUAAAGCUAAAUUAAGUUGGAGAAGAUAGUAAAUAUAAUUGAAUGUAUAAUAAUACUUUGUUAUUUUUAAAAUUUGUUGAUGUGACAUUAUUUUACUGGUGCAUAAAACUAUACUUUUUAGAAUUGUACUAAUAUUUAAAGAAGGUAUAAUUACCAAAUAAGUUAAUAGAAUAAAAGAAGACAAAACAGCAGAGGCAGUUGCAUUCAAUUUAAAGAAAAAUGUUUUUUUAAUAAAAAUUUAAAUUUACAAAUUUAAUAAAAUUAUAUAUUUAAUUUUUAUUAAUAUAUAUAGUGAAACAGGCCAUUAAAUUUCUAUUAAUAAAAGUUGUUGCCGUAAUUAUAGUAAUUACUACUAAAAAGCUAUGAAGGUAUUUUUUUCUAUGAUUGGGAAGUGCACAGAUUUUACGAACAAAAACAUCAUCUUUAAUUAGCUAAUAAAAUUUAAUUGCGAAAAAGAACAUAAAAGAAAUAGGUAGGUCAUACAAAAAGCAGAGGCAGAUACUAAAUUAGAAAUGCUAUUAGGUUUUUUUUUUUUUUUCAUUUGAUUGUUAUGUCUUAAUAAAUUAUAGGUAAAAAAAACAUGAGAAUUAGCAUGAUGAGAUUUAAUUGUGAAAAAAUAAUAACAUGAAAUAAAAGAAAAAUAAGUAAGUCAUACAAAAAGCAAAGGCAAAUGUUUUAACUAAAAAUAUCAGUUUGAUGAUGUAAAGAGCGAUGCACACUCAGAAUAUAAUUGAAAUCGUUGAAGAAACCUACACUUCUGUAAACCAAUUUUUGUUUUCAUUGCACUGGUAGUCAUGCCAGUAUCUAAUUGUCCAAAAAGAAGACAAAACAGCAGAGAAAGCAGAGGCAGAUACUAAAUUAGAAAUGCUUUUAGUUCAUUUGAUUGUUAGAUGUUGAUCAAUUUUAGAUGCAAAAUCAUCAUACUUAAUUACCAUCAUAAUAUUUAAUUGUGAUAAAUGUAACAUAAAAUAAAACAAAACAAAAAGUAGAUGUUGUAACUAAAAAUUCCAGUAUGAUUCACACUCAAAAUGCAAACUUAAAUUAUUAAAGAAACUUACAUAUCUUUAAACCAAACUUUGUUUUUAUUGUAGUAGCUACUCUCGCUAUCCCAUCCACUCCAUACGACCCAAAAACCCUCUGAUAGUUUUUUGUAGAUAUCCAGCGUAGACAUGCCUGUUAUACUAUUAACCAUAAUUGGAACCUCCGCUUCGAUAGUGCAAGCUUGAUUGAUAUCAGAUGGGUGGGUGUUUCCAUUUAAAAAAUAGAAAUGGGAAGUUGGAAGGGAAGAGGAGGUAUUGGAUUUGAUGGUACAACGAGAAGCCUCAAUAUAAAGUGAUGAUUUUAUAGGUUUCGUGCAAUUCAUAACAUAAAUAAUGCUACUCUCUAACCUUCCAUAAUCAUUAUGAUAAUAAUAAUGAUAAUUAUAAUAAUAAUAAUGAUAAUAAGUAUUAUAAGAAAAAUAAUCUACAGAAGUAAGAGGAAGGGAGUUGCAAUCAUCCGUGUCCAAGCUCGCAUCCACCAUUUGUAUUGUAUAAUUUUCGUAAAAGAUUUGUUGGACAGAUAAUUUCCCUCCUCUCCCAACCAAAGUGGUGCGAUUGUUAUUCUCACACUCAAGUUCAAAGCCAUAAGGACUACAGUGGAGAGGUUGGUUUUUUAAUCGGAAUGGAAAACUGAUAUUCAAAUUCCCACAGAAAGUAGAGCCGCAGUCAAGAUGCCUAGCAAAACAAACAGCAGGAAAUAGAAUUACAAAUAAAGCAAAAGCGGGCAUUAGGUGACCCAACAAUGGCAGUUUUGCUUUUAAUUUUGGCAUGCUAAAAUUUUGGGUAAGGAAGAAGAACAAUAAUGGGGGUUAAUGAUUAAGUUUCUAACUAAAUCAGGGAAAUAUAUAAGAAAACUUCAGUGGGAGAAGAAGCAUUAAUGGGGACACAAGACUUUGACUACUCUUCAGCUUUAUUUGGGAUGAAUAUUUUAUUUUCAAUAAAUUGUUUACACCUUUUAUUCUUUUAUCUUUUUUCUGGGAAACACCUCAAUCAAAUCACAUCUAAUUCCAAGAACAGUGCCAUGCAAGCAAAAGAAAAAGAAAUUUUAAUAUUAUUGAAAAAAUUUUAAAUAAAUUUGGACCAUAUGCUUGUAGAUCAACCUUUAUCACCUUAAUAAACUCCAAUUACAAUGAGGAGGACCAAGAGAACGCAAGUCUUUAGUCUUUUUUGAAGCACAAAAACAUUUAAGUGGCUGGGAACAACCUUUUGUGUUAUGUAAGACAACUAUUUGUUGCAUCUUUCUAAAAAGUAAGUUCAUAGUUAGAAGUGUCAAGCAAGGCGGCUCAAUGCCCAAUUGUAUAGAUUCUUUUUAUUUUAUUCCACGAAUACUUAACUACUUUUCAAAUAAUUACUUGAAUUUAAAAUAAAACAAAUUAAAUAUAAGAUAUAAUUUCUAUUUAUUUAAGUUUAAAUUCAAAACUAAAUUCUAUUUCUAAAUUUUAAUUAUCUAAAACAAUCGACUUAAAUUAAUUUAAAAACUUAAAUUUGAAAAUACAUGAAGAGACUUCAAAUUCCGUUUUAUUUUAAAUGAAAUCAGUUUAGCAUAGAGGUGUCUAUGGAUCAGGUCAAGUCGAACCGAAGUUCAGCUUCAAACAAUUUCUAAGUCCUAGCCUGUUUUUGAUCCAACUCACCCAAAAGCUCGAUUUUUAUUCGAAAAUAUUAAAAAUGUUUUUAAUUGAUAUUUUACAUAUUUUUAUAAUUAAAUUUAAAUUUAAAUUUAAAUUUUUUAUUAUUAUUUAAAUUAAACUAUAAAAAUAUUUAUCCAAACCUGAACUAAAUCGAGUUAGGCCGGGUGGGCGAUCCGGUCAACACAGGAAAGGAAAAAAAGGAAAGACGAAUCCUAAACAGGCAGUGUGCAGCCCACUAAAUUUAUUUUAAUUCUACAUGCAUUCCAUAUUAUUAUUUAGGAAUAAUAUAAUUUUUGACCCCUAAUCUUAAUAGUUAGGUGCACUUUAGUACAUAUAUCCUUUUUGCUCUACUUUGACACUUGAACUUCACAACUAAAUAUAUUUUGGUUCCUAAACUUAAAAAAUAUGAAAGUUUUAUGAUGCAACUCUCGGAGAUUGUGUUACAUCAUCACUUAAAAAUUAAAAAUAUAUAUUUUUAGAGAAUGGCGUGGUACAAUCUCUAAGUGUCACAUUCAUUAUUUUAAUAAUCAAAUUGAUAAUUGAACCAGUCAGACCACUACUACUCGAUUCAACUAGUUUGAUCAGUUCGACUGUCGGACCAAUAAUAAUUAAAUAAAUCAUUAAACAUUCAUAAAGUUCGAAAAAAAUAGAAAACAAGAUUUAUUAAACAGAUUAAACAUCGUCAACAGCUGGGGUUUUUCUUAGUUUUUUUUUACCAAUUUCAAGUUUUUUUUUAUUUAAUUGAUUCAACCUCUUUGUUCAAACCAUUAUACUGAUCGACUCUCAAUCCCAUCAGUCUAACCAUCCAAUCCACUCCUAUACUAGUAACACUGAUCACAUUAUCAAAUCUUAAUAGAAUUCAAGUUUAAGAGACCAUAAUAGACUUGGUUGCCAAGUCUAGAUGCCACAGUGGACCAAAAGAUUUACAAGUACCAAAGUAAACCUAAUUGUCAAGUUCAGGGCCAAAAUUUAUAUUAUCCUUUAUUUUUAUUAGUUUCACUACAAAAAUUAUAAGAGUUUUACAAAUUGCACAAAAAGAAAACCUGAAAAACAGAAUAGGUGCUUGAGGUAGAGUUUAUAUAUAAUUGGUAAAAAUACCAAGGAAGCUCCUGUACCUAGUGGUAAAUUGUAUUUCGGUUCAUCUACUGAAAAAUGGAAAAUUUAGUUUUUAUACAUUUUGAAAUGUGAAAAUUCUAUUAAAUGAUGACUUGGACAAGUGGAAAAUUAUUAUUUACUAGUAAACUAUAAAAAUGGUCACUCAACUAUUAAUUUUUUCGAUUUAGUCGCUAAACUUUUCAAAAUUAAAUAUUUUAAUUACCUUGAGCUUAUGUGGUUUUUUUUAUUAGUCUAGUAACAAAAUUAUCCCACUAAUAUUUACAUAUUUUAUCAAUUUGGUCUUAAACAUAAAAAAAUUAAUAAAUUUGGCCCUCCAUAUUUACAAAAUUGACCAAUUUAAUCCUAACUAUAAGAUUUUCUUAAAUAUUUCUUAAAAAAAAUAUUUUUAGCCAUUUAUAACACAUCCCAUGUGAGAUAUUAAAAUAAGAAAAAAAAUUAUCCUCUUUUAAAUCACUUGUAAAAAAAUUCGAAAAAUUCAGGAUAAAACACCAAAAAAUUUAAGAUCCAAAAGAAAACAAAUGCAUUAAAAACGUUAUUUGUACAGGUAGUACUAUAGCCAUUUAGUCUAAAUAGGUUCAAAAUCAAUUGGUUUGGUCCAAUGUGAAGUAUAAAUUAUAGUAAAAGAAAUUGUUACAAGUGACAUGAAAGAGGAUGCUAUUUUUCUUAUUUUAAUAUCUGACAUGGAUUAUCCCGGUGAAUUAUAAAAGACUAAUAAUGAUUUUUUAAAAUAUAUACAUUUAAUUUUUAAAUAUAUAUAAUAAAUUUUCUAACUGCAAAUAUAUAUAUAAAAAGUCAACAACAUUAAAAAUACCAAAUUAAGGGAAAACUUUGCAAUUUUAUGAAGGUUGAGGUGUAGCAUGCUAUGUUCCUAGCAUUUAAAACAAGUACUUGAACUUCAUACCAUGGUAUGUUCCUUAUGAUAUUGCAAACACCGUCUUAAUUAUAUUUAUGGCAUUUGUGGUAUAAUAUGAUACCAGGGAAGAAAGUUAGGUAAGAAAUUAAAAUUUUAUAUAAAAAUUAAAUAAUACUUUAAUUGAAAUGGUAAUAUUAAAAUUUUGAUAUGUAUAUGUUUCCGGUUCAAAUUUUAUCAUAGUAUUAUUUUAUUAAAAAGAUAUGAAAAAAUAAGAACACUCUCAUAUUUAAUAUUUCUUACUUUGUAUAUGAAAUGAUAUUUUAGUAAUAUCUCAAUUGAUUUCAUGACUAAUUGACUCAUGAUACGAACUCAACCAAAAAUUUAAUUUAAGUAUAGAUUUAACAAGUACUUAAUAGUAAUAUCCCUAACUAUGUAACUUGAAACCCAAUAAAUCAAACCUAGACCUACCCAUGGGUCGGGGCCACUAAGCCUAGUCGAAGCCCUACCUGAAAAAUGGGUUUGGGAAAAAAUAAUGCAUGUUUAGAAAACAAGUCGAGCCUUAAGUAAGACUUUUUUGUUUAGGCUCAGCCCAAAUUUGUAAAAAAAAAUUGUUGUUUUCUCACUGCCUUACUGUCAUUUCACUAUUAUGUUGCUACUAUUUUAUUAUUAUUGUUUGGAUAUUAUAUAAUUCUUAUUUUAUUGUUAAUUUUGCUACUAUUUUAGAGUCAUUUUCUUGUCAAGUUGCACAUAUUUUAGUGUUUUUUAAGUACAAAUAUUUUUAAUUUAUUUUCAAUUUGUUGAAAAACAUUUGUUUUAAUGUUUUUAGUGUUCUUGAUUAAUUAUAUAUUUUUAAAUGAUAUAAAAAAAUUUAAUACGGGUGAGCCGGUCUUGACUUGGGUUUUAUCAUUUUUAUUUAGGUUAGCUUGAACAAAAUUUUAGGCUCAUUUUUUAGGUCAAGCCGAACCCGAACCUAUCAAAUAGGUCUAAAAUUUUGUCAAAACCCAACUUGACUCAUGGACAGAUCUAAUCAAACAUACGUAAUUUCCAUUUCUUUAAAAAAAUCUUUCAUUAAAAAUUUUAAUUUUACUAAAUUCAAUUUAAAAAAAACAAGUUUAAUUUAAUCUCAUUCAUCAUUUCCUUUAUAGAAUAAUACUUAAUAUACUAUUAGAAUAUGAGUCUCAGACACUAUAAAUGAAUAGUAAUAAUAAAAUAGAUUAUUAUUGGGUAAAAAUAAUAAUGAAAAAUUUAUAAAUAAAUAUUAAAAAUCUUGUUAAUAUUAAAUAAGAAAAAUAAUAUAACAAUUAUACUACAUUUGAUUGGAGUAUUAUUUUCUUUCACAUGUUUUAGUCAUCUGUUAGAUAUAAAUUAAUCACAAUUGGUAAUUUUUAAGGGUAAUUAUACCAACAGUCAUUCAAAUUUGAUACAGCUGACAAAACAGUAACUUAGGUUUUAAUUCAGUCACUCAACUUUCAAAAAAUGACAAAACUGUCCUUUUAACCAUUUUUAUUAUAGACAUAACAGAAAAGUGACAUGGCAGUUGACGGCUUCCUUGUUGUCAUUAACCAACCAGUUGGACACUAAGCAACAAUUUAAACAACCCCUUUUAGCAUCACUUUAGGGUUUAGGCAAUAGAAGAAGAAGAAGAAGAAGAGGAAGAAAAAAUAGAAAGUUGCACCAAUUUGGGGACCUAAGUAAUACCAGAAAUCCAUUAGAAUUUCUGGAUUUGGCAUCAUGAUGACUGAAGCUCCUCAAAGUUGCAAAGUUCCUUUGCCUUCCUUGACUAGGAAAGUCCCUUUCCAGUAGCCGCUUUAUUUCAAGCUUGGAUUUUGCUUCGCCUAUAUCAAUAGAUGCAAACUUGAGCAGAGUGGAGAUAAAAAUUUGGGUUUGUGGGCAUUGUAUUAAGACCUUGGUUGACUCCAACUCAGUUUAAAUAGGAAAGACACCACGGUAGGGAUCGAGAAUUCGACAGCUUAAGGUUGUAGUCAAUGCAACAAGCAUUUGAAUGCUUAUCAAGGGUCUAAGUAACCUCUUCAUGAGAACAGUCACAUUGGAGGGAUGAUAAAUAAAGUUUGCUAAGUAUGGCCAAAAUAAGAAAAAAAAGUACAGAUCUUGGAUAAAUUUGUAUCAGAUUUAGACCUAUCUUCAGGUUUAGUAGACCUAUAUUCAGAUUUAGACCUAUCUUCAGGAUUAGGACCUUGGUUGACUCCAACUCAGUUGAAAUAGUAAAGACAUCGUGGUGGGGAUCGACAAUCCGACAGCUUAAGGUUACAGUCAAUGCAACAAGCAUUAAGAAGGAAAAAAGUACAGAUCUUGAAUAAAUUUGUAUCAGAUUUAGACCUAUCUUCAGGUUUAGUAGAUUUUGACAUCCCAAAUAGAGAAAGGCGUUUAAUCACAAAAAAGAUGUUAUCUCAGUAUUGGAUUUUACAGGAAAUGAAGAAAAAAUAUCAGAUCUUCCUCAUGAAAUGAGAAAUAAUUUCUUAUUUUUGAAUAAAACCUAGAAAGAUGAAAAGAUGAAAUCUUGAAGUGAGAAAUCUCGCAACAAAGUGAAAUGAAAAUUGCAGAUGAAAAAUACCAAUCAAUUUCUAACCCUUAACCCUGUUAAUCGAUUUUUAAUUUGAUUUUUUAAUCCUUAACCAACCUUGAACCCUGAAAUUGAUUUCUAACCCAACACUCUGGUUUGUUAACUAUUGUUUCUAAUCCACAAUAGCAACAACUAAAGGAAGAAGAAAAAGUAUAUCGGGGAAAAAAACGUUAACGGUUUUACAGUCUCUUCUUCUUCUUCUUCUUCUUCUUCUUCUUCUUCUGUUAUUAGGGUUUUUUUCUAUUUCUUCUUAAAUUGGGAAGGUUUCCACGUGGACAUAUCCAACGUGGGUAGUUCGUUGGCCAUGUUAGCUAGUUAACUGGUCACAUCACUUGUCUCCUUAGGUCUGUAACGGAAAAUAUUAGUAGGUGACUGAUUUGUCACUUUUUGGUAACGUUAGUGACCAGUUUGUCAAUUUUUAAAGUUGAGUGACUGAAUUUAAACCUAAGUGACUGUUUUGUCAACUGCAUCGAAGUUGGAUGAUUGUUGGUGUAAUUUACCCAAUUUUUAACCACUCUAUGACUUGUUUAUGAUAAAAAAGAGCAAAAUUUUUUGCUUAUUUUGAAGGGAUCUUAUUUUUUAAGUUUUUACUCUCUUUUUUAAUUCCUAUAUAAUUUGUACUAAUUAUUUUAAAACAUGUGUUAAAUAAUUUUUUUGUGAAAAUAGAAUGUUGGUAAUGACAAUAAAUCACAAAGAAAAGAGAAAUAAAAAUAAAGAACACAUAGAUUUUUACGUAGAAACCCUUUCGGGAAAAAACCACGAGCAGAGGAGAAGAAAGUUUAUUAUGUCGAAUUUGAAUGAUUUACAAGAGGAGUUUCGACUACAUCUAUUUAUAGGUUGAAAAAAAACUAAUUCUAAUCAAAGUCAAAUAUAUUAUGCUAAUAAAUGCUAAAUAUAUUAUGCUAAUAAAUGCUAAAUAUAUUAUACUCAUAAAUACUAAAUUUUCUAAAAAGAAGAUAUAUUUUGUUUAACUCGACUUGCAAGCAAUCUCUUAGAAUUUGGGUCACACAACUCUAGUAAUCUCCACCUUGACACGAAUUCUCAAUGAACAAUUUCUUCAUCGAGAACUCUCAACAAACAAGUUUUUCACCUCUUCUAUAAAACCCCUUAAAGGUUUAACUUCAACAAAGAACACUAAUCAAGUCUAAGCAAUGCUCAAACUUGGUUAUAGGAAGUGACUUAGUCAUCAUAUCUACAGGAUUUUCAUGAGUACUAAUUUUGCUCACAACAAUAUCAUCACGAGCAAUAAUAUCACGAACAAAAUGAUACCGAACAUCCAUGUGUUUUGUUCUCUCAUGGAGCAUUUGAUCUUUUGUAAGGAAGAUGGCACUCUGACUGUCACAAAAUACUAUAUUGAUUUGAAGGUCUUCAUUGAGAUCACUAAAGAGUCUCUUCAGUGGUUGAUAAAGUAACUGUAGUUUGCAAAGUGGCUUUCCAAUUGAUUGCACAACCUCCAAUUAUAAAGACAUAACCUAUGAGAGAUAUUCUUCUAUCAAGGUCUCCAGCAAAAUCAGCAUCAACAUACCCAAUGACUCCAUCUCUAGUUCUUCCAAACUGUUAGGAAACAUCAGCAAUACCUCGUAAGUAUCUUAAAAUCUACUAAACUGUUUUCCAAUAUUUUUUACCGAGAUUCACCAUGUAUCUGCUAACUGCACUAACUGCAUAUGAUAAAUAUGGACAUGAACAAACCAUAACAUACAUAAGAGAUCCUACUGUACUAGAGUAUGGAACAUGUGACAUGUACUCAAUCUCAUCAUCUGAUUGUGAAGACAAAGCUGAUGAAAGUCUGAAAUGGGCUGUUAAAAGAGUACUAGCAGGCUUAGCAUUCUGCAUAUUGAAUCUGGUAAGAACUUUCUCAAUCUACCCCUUUUGACUUAGGUACAAUUUACUUGCUUUUCUAUCUCUGAGAAUCUCCAUAUCAAGUAUCUUCUUUGUUGGUCCCAAAUUUUUCAUUUUAAACUCUUCACUUAGUUAGGCUUUGACCUUUCUUAUCUCUCCUUUAUCUUUUGUUGCUAUCAACAUGUCAUCAACAUAAAUGAGUAGAUACACAAAAGAACCAUCACUGUUUUUCUUAAAGUAAACACAACUGUCAAAGCUACUUUUUUUAAAAUCAUGAGAAGUUAUAAAGGAACCAAACCUUUUGUAACACUGUUUUGCUAACUGUUUCAAACUGUAAAGGGAUUUUUUUAGCAAGCAAACAUAGUCCUCUUUUUCUGAGACUGUAAAACCCUCUGGUUGUUACAUGUAAAUAUCCUCCUCAAGUUCUCCAUGCAAAAAUACAGUUUUUACAUCUAACUAUUCAAGCUCUAAAUCAUGUAUAGCCACAAUGCCAAGCAAAGCUCGAAUCGAACUAUGUUUCACAAUUGGGGAGAACACAUCUGUGAAGUCCACUCCUAAAAUUUGACUGUAACCCUUUGCAACAAGUUUUGUUUUGUAUCUAGGUUCUUCAACUCCUGGAGUCCCUUCUUUCUCUUUAAACACCCAUUUACAAUGAACAACUUUUUUACCGUUAGGAAGUUUCACAAGAUCGUAUGUUUUGUUUUUGUGGAGUGAUUUCAUCUCCUCUUGCAUAGCAAACAUCCACUUUUUUUAGUCUUCAUAGCUAAACGCAUCAGAAUAAUUAGAUGGCUCUUGAUUUGCAUCUAUAUCUUCAGCCACAUUUAAAGCAUAAGCAACUAGAUCAGUCUUAGCAUACUUCUUUGGAGGUUUAAUUUCUCUUCUAGUUCUGUUUUUAGCGAUAGAGUAUUAUGGUGAAGAAGCAGCUCUAUUUUAAAUUUUUUUGUACUGGCUUGAGGAGUAGACUCUGUUGUAGAUUCUAGAUUAAUCUAAUGCUCUACCUGCUUUUGAUUUUCUUUAUUUGAAGAGUCUUUAAGAGAUAAGUUAGGUCACAUGUAACAACCCGGUUUGACUCUAAUCGGAAUAGUAGUUUUGGGACCACAAAUCUGAGUCCUAAAAAUAUUUCAAUAUUAUUUUGUGUGUUUACUUUGUGUGCAUUUGAUUGUGUGAAAUUUUCGUGUUUUAGUUUUGUUGUUUGAGUGUCCGAUUAAAAAAAAGGAUUAAAUCGCGAAAAAUAAAAAUUUAGGGGUUAAUUAUAAAAGCACCUAAUUGUUGUUGUCUUUUUAAAUGGAAGGAUUUAUGAUGCAAUAAGACCAUAAAGUAGUGAGUGGGUGAUAAUGGUCAAAAAUGACCUUAUAUUAUAAGGUUUAUAUAAUUUGUAUUAAAGGUUAAUAUAGUAAACUAAUAAUUAAAUAAACAUAUGAUAUAAUAAAUCAAUUGAAGCCAUUAUUUUCAUUCUUCCUUUGCUGAAAGUUAGAAAAACAAAUAGGGUUUAAAAGCUUUGAGGUAUCCGGUCAUUAACAAGCUUAAUUCAAGGUAUGUUUUACUUCGGUUUUUGAUAAUUUUUACGUUUUUGAGAUCGUUGCUUCGUGUUCUUCAAAACCCAUAUCUUAAUUUUGUGAAUUGUGGAUGAUUUUGAAAUGUGCCAUUGAUGAAUGCUUGAGUUUUAUGAUGUUAGUAGGUGAAAUAUGAAAUAUAUUUGUUAGAUUAAUAUAUUUUGUAUUGGAAUUUUUAGUGAAAUUGAGUAAAUAGGGCUAAAUUGUGAAAUUAAAUUUUUGGGGAACUAAAGUGUGAAAUAAAUGCAAUGUGUGGACUUGUAUGAGAACCAUGAAUAUUCGGCCCUUGUGUGGUAUGGGCAAAUUUUGUAUAAAUUGUGUUUUAUGCAAUAGGGACUAAAUUGCAAAAAGUGUAAAUAUUAGGGGCAAAAUAGUAAUUUUCCAAAUUAUUUGUUUUUGGAUUAAAUUGAAUGUGUUAAUAAAUAAAUUAUCUUAUUUUGAAUAUAUUUAGAUCGAGAACCAAAGAAAUCGGAGUUAGAUCGGCGAAAAGCCAAAUUAGUCGAAUAAUCGUCCGACUUCGAUUUUCCAUCGUCCGAGGUAAGUCUAUUAGCUAUUUAAUGUUAUUAAAUCAAUAUAUAUAUGUAUGAAUAUCUAUUAUGUUGUUGUUGAGCUAUAAUUAAAAGUAAUUUAAUUGAAUAAAUUCAAAUUAUAAAUGGUAUAAAUAUGUAUAUACAAUGUUCAAAUAUAUAGGUAUAUGCUUAUAUAAAUUUUUGAACUAAGUUAAAGUAUGAAUGGUAUAAAGUUAUAUAUAUAUAAAUUCAAAUAAUUAUAUAUGUAUCUAUAUGUAUACAUAUACUUGAAUUUGGUUGGUUGUAUGAGAGUUAUAUAUAUGUGCACUUAAGAUUCAAAUAUAUGUAAGUAAAAACAUGUAAUUCUUGCUUAAAUUAAAGAUAUGUAUAAUACAUAUGUAUACAUAAGUUUCGAACAUAUAGAUGUAUGUAAAAACAUUUGGGUUUGAUUAAAAGUAUGUAUGUUGUAAUUGUACAGAUAAUUUCGAAUAAGUAAGUAUAUGGAGUUGGAACAUCUAUAUAUAUAUGAAUAAGUCUUGAUUAUAUUUUAAGGUAUAAAUGUUAAAAACGUACGUGGGAGUUCGAAUAUAUCUAAAUGUAUAUUUGUGUACAGAUUCUUGAAUUGAAUCGAAUGUAUGAUUCGCAAACUCUUUUGUGAUUGAAUAUGGACUACAAUGAAUGUGUGUUUGCUGUUAAUAAGUAUUUGAGGAAAUUAUUCUGUAUAUGGGAAAAAUUGAGAUUUUCAAGCAUAGCGCUUAGCAGGCUUAUUGCCGGUGAAACACUUCAGACUAUAUGUCUAGCAGGCUUAAUGCCGGUGAAAUAUUUCAGACUAUAUGUCUAGCGGGCUAAGUGCCGGUGUACUGAAUCAGGCUUAAAGCCUAGCAGGCUAAAUGCCGGUGAAUCUGUUUUAAGUAUGUGAUUAGGUGUACAAUUAUAUGAUUUUGGAUAUAUUUAAUUGAUAAGUAUAUUUAUAUAUAUACAUUUGGCUAAGUGCGUUUGAUGAUUAUAUAUAUAUCCGGCUUAUACAAUUGAGAAAUAUAUAUAUGCUCUGGGAUUAUGCAUUUGAUAAAUAUAUACUUUUAAAUAUUCGGUACACAUAUUUGAUUAGUAACUAUAUAUGCAUUCGAGAUAUAUAUAUACCUUGGUUUAUAAGUAUUUGAUGAAAAUGAAUGCAUUCGUUCAUAUGUAUUAGAUUUGUAUUGGUUUAAAGUUUAAAAUGAGUAUUCAUACACAUUCGGUUAUGAUAUGUGUAUAAUAUAUAUAUGCUCGGUUGUAUACAUUCGUUGUAAUGUUGUUUGGUAUAAAAAUAUAUAUUCAAUUGAUCGCUUUCGACAGGUAUGCAUAUCUGUCUAUAAAUGAAAUGGUCUGAGUACAAUAAUAUAUAAAUAUUAGUUAUUCGUGUUAAUUGAAAUCUCAGUGAAAUAGAUUAAAAAGUAACUUUAUUUAUAUAUUUAUAUACAUUUAGUUAUGCUGUAGACUUACUAAGCUAUAAAAGCUUACUUUGUUUGUUUUCGUCCAUUUGCUUUUAUAGAUUUUGGAGACGCGUUACGAGCUCGGGGAUCAUCAACAUAGUCCAUCACACUAUCGACUUCUUUUGGUAUUUUGUUAAAUAUUUGAACUCAAUCUUAUGGCAUGUAUAGGUUUGAGUAUGAUGUUAAUUACAUUUUGAUUGUAAAUUAUAAUAGUUAUGCGAAAGUAAUUAAAUUUUUACGUUGUGAUCAGUUUGGUUUUAACAUUGUUGAAUUUGUUCGGUAAUGCCUUGUAACCCUAAUUCGGCGACGGAUACGGGUUAGGGGUGUUACAUCACAUAACAGUUUCAUAAAAAACAACAUCUCUACUAAUCACAACAUUUCUAUUUUUAGGACACCAUAACUUAUACCCUUUUACACCAGCUUUAUAACCAAGAAAAACAUAUUUAAUGGAUCUCAAUUCCAAUUUUCCAUUAUCAACAUGAGCAUACGCAGGACACCCAAAGAUCUUUAAAUCAGAAUAGUCAGCAGGAUUACCAAACCAUACCUCUUGUGGAGUCUUUUUCUCAAUGGCAACGGAUGGAGAUUGGUUGAUCAAAAAACAUGCAGUAGAGGCUACUUCGGCCCAAAAUGACUUUGGUAAGUUGGCAUUUGACAACAUACAUCAAACCUUCUCCAUGAUCAUUUUGUUCAUUCGUUCUGCAACGCUAUUUUGCUGUGGAGUAUAACGAACUGUCAGGUGUCUCACAAUCCUUUCUAACUUGCACAAUUUAUUAAACUCAUCAGAGUAGAACUCUAAGCCACUGUUUGUGUGGAGGUAUUUUAUUUGUUUUCCAGUCUAUUUUUCAACCAUAGUUUUCCAAGACUUAAAUGCAAAAAAGACAUCGCUUUUCUGCUUUAAGAAGAACUCCCAAACUUUUCUGGAAAAACCAUAAAUAAAAGUUAGCAUAUUAAUUAGCUCCAUCUCUCGAAGGCACUCUGGAUGGCCCUCACAGAUCAAAAUGAAUAUACUCUAAUGUUUCUUUCGUGUUAUGGAUUCCUCUAGUGAAUUGAAUUCUCUUUUGCUUCCCAAAAACGUAAUUCUCACAGAACUUCAGUUUGUAAAAUCCUUGCCCAAGAAGAAGUCCUCUUUUUCCCAAUUAUGCCAUGUCAUUCUCACUCAUAUGCCCUAGGUAUAUAUGCCAAAGUUUAGUAAUAUCAUCAUCUGACAAGGAAGAGGAUGCGACAACUGUAUCACCAGUAACAAUAAAACUUUGCAAAACAUAUAACUUUGCAGUUUUUCUCUGCCAUUUCAUUACAACGAGGGAACCUUUGGAAAUCUUUAAAAACUCCACUUUCAGUUGUGUAUUUGUACCCUUUUGAAUCAAAUGCACUCAACGAAAUUAACUUUCUCUUCAAUUUUGGAACAUGUCGUACGUCACUAAGUGUCUGACAAGUCCAUCAAACAUCUUAACUUUAAUUGCUCCAACACCUGCAAUUCUACAUGAAGCAUUAUUUCCCAUCAAAACAACACCUUCAAACACUGUUUCGUAAGUUGUAAACCAAUCCUGAUUGGGACUCAUGUAGAAGGUGUAGCCCGAAUCAAAGACUCACUCCUCGCUCACUUUAGAAUUGUAGAUAGAAACGACUAAAAGUUCACCAUCGCUAUAGUCUUCUACAACAUCAAUUUUACCAAAAUUUUCUGGUUGUUUUCCAUUUUGAUUCGCAACCUCCCUUUUGAUAUUGUUUUGUAGCUUAUAGCACUCAGAUUUAAUGUGCCCUUUCUUCUUGCAGAAGUUACAAGAUUUACCUCUGUUUGAAGACUUUGAUCUACCUUUAGAUUUACCGUGAGGAUUCCAUUCUUGUGUCGUUCCAUGAUCAUUAUCAACAUUCCGAUCUUAUCUUCUAUGAACAAUGUAACCCUCUCACUGAGAGUUAGUUUUAACUACAAGAUGCUUCAUCUUAUCAUAUAAGGUUAAAGAAUCAUAAACCUCAUCAAUUGUGAGAGACUCAAGGCUAUAUAAAAUGGCAUCUCUAAAGGUUGAAUAAAACGGGGACAACAAACAAAGUAGAAUCAACUCUAGAUCUUCCUUAUCAUACUGAACCUCCAUGGCUUCCAAGUUUGAGAGAAUUUCUUUAAACAUUGUUAAGUGUUCGUGCACAGACGCACCUUCCUCCAAACGAUGAGCAUAAAAACGCUGCUUCAUAUGCAGCUUGCUAGUUAGAGUUUUUGACAUAAAUAUUUGUUCCGGCCUCUUUCAUAAUCUAGCGGUGGUAUUCUCCUUUAUCACAUCCUGUAAAAUUUCAUUAGACAAGUGCAGAUGUAACUGUGUUAACACGUUUCGAUCCUUGCGGUUCUUCUCUUCCACCGUCAAUGUUGAAGGCAUCUUAUCUAUCCCUAGCAGGGUUUCCUCUAAGUCUAUCUGUGCAAGAACUACCUGCAUCUUUAUCUACCACAACGCGAAUCUGGUUUUGCGAUCCAACAGCGAAAUUUCAUACUUCAAAUACGCCAUUACCGUGAUUGAGAUGAACAAAUCGAAAGCUCUGAUACCAAUUUGUGAAAAUAGAAUGUCGGUAAUGAUAAUAUAUCACAAAGAAAAGAGAAAUAAAAAUAAAGAACACACAGAUUUUUACGUGGAAACCCUUUCGAAAAAAACCACGGGCAGGUGAGAAGAAAAUUCACUAUGUAGAAUUCGAAUGAUUUACAAGAGGAGUUUCGACUAUAUCUAUUUAUAGGUUGAAAAAACCCUAAUUCUAAUCAAAGUCAAAUAUAUUAUGCUAAUAAAUGGUAAAUAUAUUAUACUCAUAAAUAUUAAAUCUUCUAGAAAGAAGAUAUAUUUUGUUUAACUUGACUUGCAAGCAAUCUCUUAGAAUUUGGGUCACAAAAAUAACAUUUUUAACCAUACUGAAAACCAUUUUUUAAUUAAAUAUAAGUACUUAAUAUUUAAUUAAAUUAAAAAGAAAAGAGAUCAAUUCUAAAAUUAUGUAUGGACUUUGAUUUAAUUUGCAAUUGUAUAUAUAAAUUUUAAUUUGGUGUAAUUAUACACGUGUAACUCUAAUUGUGGUUCAAAUAUAUACUUGAAACUUUAAUUUUAAUUUAACCAUAAACAUUUAAAGAAAUAAAAACAUCAAUUUAUUUUUAUAUUGAAUAAAUAUAAUUAUUUAAGUGUGCAAUAUAUAAAUAUAAAAUGAUGUUAUAUCAAUAAUUGUGUUAAUAAUUUAUAAGAAUUGGAUCAUAUCAAAAUUUCAUAUAUAAAAUUAUUAAAAUUUAUAUAUAGAAUUGUACAUUAAACCCAGAGUGCAUGUAUACAUAAUUAAUAGAUUGUACAUAGGAAGUAAGUUUUGCUUAGUGUAAUAUAACUGUCAUUCAAGAUUACGCAUUCAUUUCAGACAAAGCACACACCCUUUGAAAUUCAAGUUUUGAUUCAGAUUCUUUCUUCUUCUUUUUUUAAUAAAAUCUCUAUGAAAGGUUUUUUUUUUUUUUAAUUCCUUAACGGUAGUGAUUUUGGGUUAUGGAGAAAAAAGGAGUGAAAAGUUGUGAUUUUUGUGGAAGUAGGGAUUUUUCUGUUUUAAUAGUUUUAGAAAUGGGUUUGAUGGAGAUUUCAAUAAUGCUUCAUGUUGGAUUAGUUUUGUUGCUACUUUGGAUGCUUUCUCAAUUCAAUCUUUGCCAUCCACUCCCUUAUUUCCUGUCUCUCAUCUACCUCUAUUUGGUUAUUCAUUCAUCUUCUGCUGAGAAUAAAAAAUGAAUCUUUUUUUUCUUUAUUUUUGAACUUGGAUUGAACUUUUUUUUUUAUUGUUUUUGUUACAAAAAUUCCUUUUAUUUCUUUGUUCAUCAAAGGUUCAUGAAAUGUAUGUGACGAGAUUGAGGAAGAAAUUGGAGUUGGAGGAAAUAAUGCACAAAGAAACUAGACAUGUCAACAACAAAACAAUAAUGCCAACACUCUCAAACGCAACAACAAAAAUGUUUUCGAAAAGGAAAUAGGCAUCACACUUAGAGUAUAGAAAUACUUGGAUUGUAACCAUGAAAAACGAAAUAAGAUAUCUGUUGCGGAAAGGAUCGAUUCGAGAACUCCGAUAUGACUACAAGUAAAUUGACCGAAACGAAAAAUAAAGUGAACACAAGGAUUUACGUGGUUCGGCUUUAAUGCCUACGUCCACGGGCAGAGGCGAAAAGAAAUUUCACUAUAACAAGAUGAAGAUUACAAGUGUUUUACACUCAAGACACAACCCGAGAACCUCACAACUCUCAACCCCUAUAGAAAACCCGAAAGCUAAAAUCCUAGCUUUCAAAGAACAAGCUUUGCUCUCUCUUGGUUUGGGAUGAUAAAUAUGGCUAAUGAACCUCUCUAUUUAUAAGAGAGUUCAAGGACAUAAUUGUCCAAAACUUUGGCAAAGAUUUGUGGUUGAAAAUGGACACCAACAACCAUCCACUAAUCCACUACCACCAACAACCCACUACCAACAACAACAAUCCACUACCAAUUUUAAGCCAUUUCUUAACAAAUCUCCACCUUGGCUUGAAAUUUACCAAGCUGAACAUCAUAGUGAAUUCCUCGAACUGGAUCACCUCUUCCAAACGCCUCUCUGGCGCUAAUCAAUCCCGAAUACCUAUCAAGUCCAAGCAAUGCUUGAACUUAUAUGCAGGGAUCACCUUAGUUAACAUAUCUGCAGGAUUCUUCUCGGUAGCAACCUUGCUGAUAACAAUGUCACCUUGCGUAACAUGUUCCCGAACAAAAUGAUAUCUGACAUCAAUGUGUUUGGUCCGUUCAUGAAACAUCUGAUUUUUAGUCAGAUGUAUGGCACUCUGGCUAUCGCAAAAUACAACAGUGAAAUCCUGUUGUAAACCCAAACUGCUUACUAGACCUUUCAUCCACAAUGCUUCUUUCACUGCUUCUGCUAACGCCAUAUAUUCCGCCUCAGUCGUAGAUAAGGCUACGGUAGACUGUAACACAGCUUUCCAACUAAUGGCUCCUCCAGAAUAAGUGAAAACAUAACCCGUCAGAGAUCUUCUUUUGUCCAGAUCUCCAGCAUAAUCAGAGUCCACAUAGCCCGUGACACUGCUAGUGCAGUCACUCUGAUCAUAUACCAAGCAUAAAUCUGCAGAACCUCUCAAGUACCUGAGAAUCCAUUUCACGGCCUGCCAGUGUUCCUUGCCAGGACAACUCAUGUAUCUGCUGACCACACUAACUGCAUGUGAAAUGUCUGGACGAGUGCAAACCAUUGCAUACAUCACGCUUCCAACUGCACUCGAGUAUGGAAUGUGAGACAUUUGCUGCUUUUCUUCAUCAGAUUGUGGUGACAACUCUGCAGAGAGUUUGAAAUGUGGUGCCAACGGAGUACUCACAGUUUUCGCUUUAUCCAUGCCGAAGCGUUGAAGAAUCUUUUCAAUGUAGUUCUUCUGCGACACACGAAGCUUGCCCGCCUUGCGAUCUCUGUGAAUAUCCAUGCCCAAAAUUUUCUUGGCAGCACCCAGAUCCUUCAUCUCGAACUCACCACUCAACUGCGACUUUAACUUGUUGAUUUCCGACAUGUUUUUGGAAGCAAUUAACAUGUCAUCAACAUACAGCAACAAAUAAAUGUGCGAACCAUCUGAGAGCUUCCGAUGAUAGACACAAGCAUCAUAGUCACAUCUUGUGUAACCAUGCUGAAUCAUGAAGCUAUCAAACCGCUUGUACCACUGCCUUGGGGAUUGUUUCAAUCCAUAUAAAGACUUCUUUAAUAGACAGACAUGGUCUUCUUUACCAGGAACUGUAAAACCCUCUGGUUGACGCAUGUAGAUUGUUUCCUCGAGCUCACCAUGCAAGAACGCCGUUUUUACGUCAAGCUGCUCAAGUUCUAGAUCAGACUUGGCCACCAUGGCAAGUAAUACACGAAUGGAAGAAUGCUUUACAACUGGGGAGAAAACUUCAUUGUAGUCAAUCCCCUCUUUCUGAGUGAAGCCUUUAGCAACCAAUCGUGCCUUGAAUCUAGUUGCUUCAACCCCUAGGAUGCCUUCCUUUUUCUUGAAGACCCAUUUGCAACCAACUAUCUUCUGGUUACUUGGCGGCUUAACCAACUCCCAAGUAUGGUUCUUGUGAAGAGAUUCUAUCUCCUCACUCAUAGCAAUUGCCCACUGUGCCGACUCAUCACACGUGACAGCCUCAUUAUAACUGGAAGGUUCUAUACCAAUGGACUCCGCCACACUGAGCGCGAAAGACACCAGAUUAGCGUAACGCGGAUUUGGUUUGAUUUGUCUCUUCGUUCUUCCAGUGGCAAUGCUAUAUGGUUUUUCUUGAGGUGACUCAUCUUCAUCGGAAUCUUGCACCUCAACUUGAUCAUCCUGGACUGAAGUACCUUCCGUAGGAAUUGGAGCGUCCACCUGACACUCCACCUGCUUCUCAACACCGUGAUCUCCCAUUCUAUCUGACUCCUCCUUUUCCCGGGAAUUUGUGGUGGAUCGAAGCAUGGAUGACUCAUCAAAAGUCACAUCUCUGCUGAUGAUGAACUUGGACGAAACCGGAUCAGGACACCACAACCUGUAUCCUUUCACCCCUUGGCCGUAUCCAAGAAAUAUGCAUUUCUUCGCCCUCGGUUUGAGUUUUCCCUCAUUUACAUGAGCAUACGCAGGGCAGCCAAACACUCUUAAACCAGAGUAAUCAGCAGGAGAACCAGACCAUACUUCCUCAGGAGUCUUCAGCUCAAUAGCUGUUGACGGAGAUCUGUUAACCAAAUAACAAGCAGUAUUAACAGCUUCAGCCCAAAAUUCUUCACCGAGCCCAGCAUUUGAUCGCAUGCAACGAGCUCGCUCCAAGAGAGUUCUAUUCAUGCGUUCUGCAACUCCAUUUUGUUGUGGUGUUCGACGAACAGUGCGGUGUCUCACUAUUCCUUCAUUUUUGCAGAACUCAUUGAAUUCACCUGAGCAAAACUCCAAGCCAUUAUCCGUCCGGAAUCGCUUGAUCUUCUUUCCUGUUUGAUUUUCGAUCAAAGCUUUAAAUUGCUUGAAGUUGAUGAGAACCUCAUACUUGCUCUUCAGAAAAUACACCCAAACCUUUCUCGAGUAAUCAUCGAUAAAGGUAAGCAGAUAUCUGUAACCACCUUUAGAAAUUGUCGGAGAAGGCCCCCAAAGGUCAGAAUGGAAGUAAUCCACUGUGCCUUUUGUCUUGUGAAUCCCAGUGCUGAACUUUACCCGAGUCUGCUUACCGAAGACGCAGUGCUCACAGAAAUUCAACUUUCCUGUACACUGCCCAGACAAUAAUCCUCGUUUGCUUAGCACCGAUAAGCCUCUCUCGCUCAUAUGCCCGAGCCGCAUAUGCCAUAACUUCGUGGUGUCAGAAUCUAGAUCAUCUGAUGAUGACACUCCCGCAACACCUGUAACCGAGGAACCAUCGAGGAAGUAAAGGCCCCGCUCCAAAUUACCACGUAUCACAGUCAAAGCACCCGAGAAUACCUUGAGAACUCCACCUUCAGCAGAGUACCGAAAGCCUUUCUUGUCCAACGUACUCAAAGAGAUCAAAUUUUUCUUCAUUUCUGGAAUGUGCCGAACAUCAGUUAGAGUUCUAACAAUACCGUCAAACAUCUUUAUACGAACUGUGCCAAUCCCCAUGACUUGACAUGCGUGGUCAUUUCCCAUUAGUACUGAACCAGAAUGCUUCUCGUAUGUUGAGAAUGCAUCUUUCGAAGUACUUAUAUGAAAUGUAGCUCCCGUAUCAAGAAUCCAUCUCCCACCAGCGUAAGAGUCGGAUACUGCAAGAACGAUCUCGGCAUCACUUGAAGAAUCUGCAUCAGCUACAUUCGCACGAUCAUUUUGUUGCUCCUGUGAUUCUGAUUUCUCCUUCCUUUUCGGACAAUCUACCUUCAUGUGCCCGUACUUCUUACAGUAGUAGCACUGUAUUCUCUUCUUGGACUGCGAUCUAGGAUGGCUUUUACUUGAACUUCCACCCUUUGCCUUGGAUCUUCCUCGAGCAACCAAGCCUUCGCCUUCAUUGUUUUCGACCACCUUACCAGUGAUUUUCUUCCUCAACUCACUGGAACUUAAGGCAUUUUUCACCUCCUCUAGAGUCAGGUCAUCACGACCGUACAUCAUUGUAUCAACAAAAUUCUCAUACGAGGGAGGCAAAGAACACAAAACAAUUAUUGCUUGGUCCUCAUCAUCGAUUUUGUUAUCGAUAUUAUUCAAAUCCAUGAUAAUGGAAUUGAAUUUAUCCAGGUGCUGGGAAACAGGUGUACCUUCCUCCAUCUUCAGGGCAUAGAGUCUUUGCUUGAGGUAGAGCCGGUUCGUCAAUGACUUCGUCAUGUACUUGCUCUCUAACCGGAGCCACAAACCGGACGCGGUUUUCUCAUCCGCUACUUCUCGUAGCACUUCAUCUCCUAGACAUAGCAGAAUAGCACUAUGUGCUCUUUCUAGCAUGUCAUCCUUUUGCUCUUCCGAAAGCGUGCUUGGUAAUUUAUCUUUACCAGACAAUGCUUUUAGCAAUCCUUGUUGAACCAGCACUGCCCGCAUCUUGAUGCGCCAUAAACUGAAACUAUUUUUCCCGGUAAAUUUCUCGACAUCAUACUUUGUCGAUGAAACACUUGUAGCCAUAAUUUGGAACCUUUGAAUGAAUGAUAAUAUUUUCUUCCUGAUGUGAAAGAUCAGACAAAGCUGCAGUCACAGGGCAAUUCAGAAAAUAUUAUCACUCCUUCAACUACGCUCUGAUACCAAUUUGUUGCGGAAAGGAUCGAUUCGAGAACUCCGAUAUGACUACAAGUAAAUUGACCGAAACGAAAAAUAAAGUGAACACAAGGAUUUACGUGGUUCGGCUUUAAUGCCUACGUCCACGGGCAGAGGCGAAAAGAAAUUUCACUAUAACAAGAUGAAGAUUACAAGUGUUUUACACUCAAGACACAACCCGAGAACCUCACAACUCUCAACCCCUAUAGAAAACCCGAAAGCUAAAAUCCUAGCUUUCAAAGAACAAGCUUUGCUCUCUCUUGGUUUGGGAUGAUAAAUAUGGCUAAUGAACCUCUCUAUUUAUAAGAGAGUUCAAGGACAUAAUUGUCCAAAACUUUGGCAAAGAUUUGUGGUUGAAAAUGGACACCAACAACCAUCCACUAAUCCACUACCACCAACAACCCACUACCAACAACAACAAUCCACUACCAAUUUUAAGCCAUUUCUUAACAAUAUCCAACAUCCUCAUCACAAUGGAUUCUCCUCUGAUUCAUUAGUAGCCUCAACAAUGUAAUAACACGAUUAAAAGUUAUCGUAGCAGUAACUCUUAUAAAUAUUAAAAAAUUAAUUUGUAAAUACAUCGAUCAUGUCUAAAUCUAAUCUAAGUCACGGUUGAUCUAAACAUGAAAAUUCUAACCAAUUCAUCUCAAUUCAAUCCAACUAAACCUAAACUAAAUUGACACAAAAAUCUAUUUAUAUAAUUUACUUUUAAUUUAUAUAUAAUUUUAGUUAUGAUUUAAAUUUAUACAUUUAAUAUUGAACAAAUAGUCAAACUAAAGAACAUUGGCAAUUAUGAUCAAUAACUUAACACAUAGGUAAUUAAAGAAAAUACUAAUAUAUAUUUAUAUUUAUAUUUAAGCCAAAAUAAUAUAAAGCUAAAAAGUGAGAUAAUGAAGUAAAAUAUUACUAACCUUAUGCAAUAUUUGAACUCGCUAUAGUAACACUAUCCAAUGGUGUACUUGGCUCAUUAUUAAAGUUCUCACAAUUAUGAACCUCCAGUGAUGUUUCAAGAGGAAGUUGAUGGAAUGGCUUAGGAGGCAUCUCAAAGAGUUCAACAUUAGAUUCAAGUAUCUUCAAGAUUUUACUCAUUGAAGGGCGAUCAGAAGGUAGUAAUUGUAUACACCAAAAAGCAAUUAUUAUCAUCUUCUUCACCAUUACUUUUUCAUCGUUAGAAAUAUCUCCGAACUCCAAGUCUUCUCCUUGAUCCAAUCGGUCAUAAAUCCAAGAUGGAAAAUAUAUUUGACUAGUGUGGUCAGCAAAUGCAUUCACAUUCUUUCCCCUUCUAACUAUUUCCAUCAAUAACAUUCCAAAACUAUAAACAUCGGCUUUGUAUGAGAUGCCUCAAUAUAAAGUGAUGAUUUUAUAAGUUUCGUACAAUUCAUAACAUAAAUAAUGCUAACCUCUAACCUUCCAUCAUAAUAAUUACCAUGAGGAUAAAUAUAAGAAUAAGAAUAAGAAUCUACAGAAGUAAUUAAGAGGAAGAGAGUUGCAAUCAUCCGUGUCCAACAAUCAACCCCUCCCAGAGUAGGCUGUCGAGGAGCCUCCUGCACAUCAUAAAUAGCACGAGUUGUACGCCCCAAAGCAUUUGCCAAGGACCAUCAAGAUGAAGGUCAAUAACAUUUGUGUAAAUUUGGAGUGCUACCUUACAGCCAAGACUAACAGAAUAGUGACUGUUUGGAUUGAAAUGCCAAAUGAGUCAGUUCGGAGUCGGAUACAAGCAAAGUAGCAUUCGAAGCAUCCGUUGCGCAUCAUAGGAGAUAGAAGACCUUGAGUUACAUGAUUUCAUUUUGAGUAUUGAAAAUUGAAAAUAGGAUAAGUACCAACCACUAAUAUAUUAUCAGCAAAAUCUCCCAAUUGAAAGAACAAAAGAUGCAUCUAUACUAUGUUUAAAAGUUUAAUAGAGUUUAUGGUUAUCUAUCAAUGAGGUAUCAACUCAAUUGUAAAAUCAUUAAAAUCUUAUUAUUUUGUUAAAAUAAAAAUAUUAUAUUGAGAGUAUUUUAUUUUUUAUUAAACUUUAUAAAAUUCAUCCAUUUAAUAGAAUUUGAACCCAAAACAUCAUAAUCCUUAUUACCUAAAUUUUACCAUAUUAAACAAAGCCACAUUUAGCUUUUAUAUCAUUUUUUAAAUAAGCUUGUUAUAUCAUUUUUUUUCACCCAUGUGAGGGUGCCAUAAUCUAAUAUAUCUUUAUUUAAUAAGUAAUAAUCCCAUAUGCAUUAGAGAGUAUUAAGUUGAGUUAUUAAAUUUAGGGUUUGUUAUAUUCUAACGACUAAUUUUCAAUUCCAUUGAAAUGAUUUAUAGGUGAUAAAUUUUACAAUUUAAUACGAUUAAUUUUAUUAUAUUACAAUGAAAAACAAAAGAAAAAGAAGAAUUUAAUAUGGUUCAAAGUUUUUAAAUAAAUCUGGACCAUAUACUUGUAGACAAACCUUUACCAUUAAUCUAUUCCAACUUCAAUGAGAACGACCAAGACAAUGCAAGUCUCAAUAGUCCUGUUUGAAACGCAAAAGCAUUCAAGUGGUUGAGAGCAGCAAGCCUGAUCCCUUUUGUCCUUUUGUGUUAUGUAAGUCAAUUGUAGAGAACGAUUGUUGGAUAUUUCUAAAACGUAAGUUAAUAGUUAGAACCCUUGAGCAACGCACAUUCCACCCCAACCCAUGCAUAACGUUAGACAAGACUCAAUGACUAAUUGUAUAUAUUUUUAAUUUUAUUCAACAACUACAUAAGUAUAUUUUUAAAUGAUUGUUAAUAUAAUUACAUGUAUUUUCAUCUAUUUUAUAUGAAUUUAAAAUAUUACAAAUUAAAUAUAAUAUAAGAUAUAAGUUCUAUUCAAUUAAAUUUAAAUUUAAAUUCAAAUUUUAAAUUAUCCAACAAUAUAAAUAGUAGACAUAAAUUCAAAGAAAAAAAUUUGGGGUUUAGCUGGAAAAUUACCUCUCAAAUUCCACUAAAAUAAAUAAAUAGAGUUUAACUCGAAGAUUACCUCUCAAAUUUAACUGAAAUAUGAAACAUACUCAAUAAUAAAGGUAUCAAUUCAAAGGUAUAAAGCUACAUAAAUUCUUAGUUAUGUCUUUGAAAUAUUUUCAUAAAGGCACGUGCAAAAACUUUUUGAUUCUAAACAAAUUCAUUGUCUCAACAUUACUUGUCGAAACCGUUUUUUGAAAACAAAGAUCUAGUUGUCGACUUUAAAAAUAAAACAGCAGUCGCCACCGAUCCUUUAUUAAGGUGUGAUCGGCUCACCUUUAAAAAUUAUUUUGGUCUACGAAUUUUGAGAAAACGAGUUCGGGAGUCAGUUACGCACGAGGAAGGGUUAGCACCCUCGUAACGCCCAAAAUCGGUACCAAAUUGGUUAUUUGAUGUCUUAGUGUCGAAGGUUAAAAAGAUUUUUAAAAUAAACUCAAUUGAUGGAAUUUGAAAAAGGAUAAUCAAUUGUUCAAGUCAUGUAAAGAAAUCGAGUCCCAAUACGUUAGGGUACAAUUCCUCAUAAUCCCCGAACUUUGAAUAUCACUUUAUUUUAUGUGAAAAUCUUCCUUUUGAGAAAGUAACAUGCCACACCAAAUACGUUAGGACACGACAUGUUAAGUUCCAAAAAAUGAUUUUUAUACUCAUGCAUUUUGAAUAAAGAAUAUUCUCGGUUAUUUUAGAUUGACAAAGAAAAUCGGAACCCAAUACGUUAGGGCUCAAUUCCCUCGAAAAUCCCAAACUUCGAAUAUUGCUUUUAUUCAAAAAAAAACUUUGAAUCAAGAGAAUAAUUUCAAUGUUUUGUCAAAAACCAAAAUAUAUCUUCUUGUUCAAAAGGAAAUGACAUAAUGUUAAUAGACAACAUGGAAUACAUACAUUAAUUUAAAUUAUACAUGUACAUGUAUUAUGAAAUGUCAAUGCAUAUAUAUACAUGUAUGCAAAAAGUUAUGGAAAUAAAAUAAUAAAAUAUAUAAAAUAUGGACAUGUAUUUACCAAAUAUGUAUAUAUAUACACACAUAUAUUUAUGAAAAAUAAAAACGUAUUUAGAGUCAUACAGAUAUAUAUAAAUCAUUAAAUAUAUGGAAAAAAAUGAAAAUAUGUAUAUAAAAGAUGUAUGUAUAUAGGUAUAUAUUUACAAAAUAAAAAAAAUGUAUAAGUAUACACGUAUUGGUAAAUCAUGAAAAUACAUAUAUGUAUAUUAAAAUACUUAUAUAUAUGUACAAUAUAUGUAUAAAUAAUGGAGUAUAUAUAGAAUAAUAAAAUAUUUAUAAUAACUCAAAAAUACAAAAAAAAUGUAUAUAUAUAAUAUAAAAAAUGUGUAUUUUGAAUUGUAAAAUAUGAGAAACAUGUGUGGAUUUUAAAAUGUAUAUGUAUACAUACAUAUAUAUAUGUUUGUAAAAAAAAUAAAAAUUAUGAAGAAUAAUAUAAAAACAUACAUAUACACGUAUUUACAAAAGUAAAAAAAAAUUUGAAGCUGAAAUAUAAAAGUAUAUAUAUAACUGUCAUUGAAGGGCGAUCAGAAGGUAGUAAUUGUAUACACCAAAAAGCAAUUAUUAUCAUCUUCUUUACCAUUACUUUUUCAUCGUCAGAAAUACCUCCGAACUCCAAGUCCUCUCCUUGAUCCAAUUGGUCAUAAAUCCAAGAUGGAAAAUAUAUUUGACUAGUGUGGUCAGCAAAUGCAUUCACAUUCUUUCUCCUUCCAACAAUUUCCAUCAAUACAUUCCAAAACUAUAAACAUCAGCUUUGUAUGAGAUGCCUCAAUGUAAAGCGAUGAUUUUAUAGGUUUCGUGCAAUUCAUAACAUAAAUAAUGCUAACCUCUAACCUUCUAUCAUAAUAAUUACCAUAAGGAUAAAUAUAAGAAUAAGAAAAGAAUCUACAAAAGUAACUAAGAGGAAGGGAGUUGCAAUCAUCCGUGUCCAACAAUCAACCCCUCCCAGAGUAGGCUGUCGAGGAGCCUCCUGCACAUCAUAAAUAGCACGAGUUGUACGCCCCAAAGCAUUUGCCAAGGACCAUCAAGAUGAAGGUCAAUAACAUUUGUGUAAAUUUGGAGUGCUACCUUACAGCCAAAACUAACAGAAUAGUGACUGUUUGGAUUGAAAUGCCAAUUAUGAGUCAGUUCGGAGUCGGAUACAAGCAAAGUAGCAUUCGAAGCAUCCGUUGCGCAUCUUAGGAGAUAGAAGACCUUGAGUUACAUGAUUUCAUUUUGAGUAUUGAAAAUUGAAAAUAGGAUAAGUACCAACCACUAAUAUAUUAUCAGCAAAAUCUCCCAAUUGAAAGAACAAAAGAUGCAUCUAUACUAUGUUUAAAAGUUUAAUAGAGUUUAUGGUUAUCUAUCAAUGAGGUAUCAACUCAAUUGUAAAAUCAUUAAAAUCUUAUUAUUUUUAAAAACAAAAAAAAUUAUAUUGAGAGUAUUUUUAUUUUUUAUUAAACUUUAUAAAAUACAUCAAUUUAAUAGAAUUUGAACCCAAAACAUCAUAAUCCUUGUACAGACCCAAUUUCUGCCCGGCCCACUAACAAAAAGAACCCAAUACCCACAAACCCAAUAACCCACCUAAACACUAACCCAUACCAGCAGACCCAAUUACCAGGCCCAGUGGCCCAAAAUUUUAAAAUCAUUUCAGAAACCCUAAUCCCCUUAACCCUAGCCGCCUCUUCUGAUCUUUCUGCUACUACUGCCGCCAUCACCUACCCUCUGCCACCGCCACUGUUUCGCCCACUUGCACCACCUGCUCCACCUGCAAAACAAAGGAGAACACGCAAACAAAGAAGGACAAAACAGUAGAAACAAUAAUAAAAUAAAUUGUGUAAAAAUGGCUAUAUAAAGGCCAUUCAAACGAAUUGUAAGGGGUUCGGCCCCUCUUUCACUAUUUCAAGAAAUAAAAAGGGCAAAGAAAACGGAUUCAAGAAAUUUUUCUUUUGGUAUAAACUCUAUUUUCUUUUAUUUAUAUUUUUCUCUUUAUUUUUCUUCCAUCCGAAACUGUUUGAUCCUUUAUUCUUAUUUUUAUUUUUCUUUUAUUUUUAAAAACAUAUAUAUAUAAAUAUAAUAUAUAGAUUUUAAAAUAAAAAAUAAUACCUUUUUUGAAUUUUUUGGCCACCAUACACGGUGGCCGGCGCGACGACGGAGCGGCGGCGACGUGGUGGCCAAGUUCGUCGGAUUCUGGGCAGUGCUGGAGAGGGGGAGAGAAUAUUUUUGAGAAGAAGAGUUUUUUUUUUUUAAGGAAAGCUGAAAAUGAUUUUUUUGGGGGGAAACCUUGACUUUUAUAGGCCCCCCAAAACGACGUCGUUUUGGGCAAGCCUCUUAGGUACCAAAACGGCGCCGUUUUAAGGCCGGCCUGAAAACCGACCCGACCCGCCUGAAGGAUCCGCGUGUUUUCGACGGAAGGGAUAAUUGCGUUUUCAGGCCUUCCGCUUUUAAAUAAUUUUGCAAUCAAGUUCUUUCCUUUUUUUAAAAUUCGCCCUAUAUUUUAUUUUCAUUCACAAUCUGGUCCACUUUGAAAUGCAGUGUUUUGGAGGGUGGGGAUUAUUUCCAUUUUGGUCCCCCUCUUUCCGAGCGUGUCACAAUUUAGUCUUUUCAGUCUUUUUUAUUUGAAAUUCGCUCAGUAUUUUUAUUUUUACUUCGAUUUAGUCCCUUUUUUAGUAGUAUUAUUAUUAUUAUUAUUAAUUAUUGCUAGUUUUAUUUUCCUUAAACCUAUUCGUCACUGCUUUGAUUAGUAUGUUAACUUGUUUCAUUAUUAUUAUAGCUUUCUUUUUUAUAAUAUAUGUACAUAUACCUAUGAAUAUUUUAUAUAUAUAUAUGCAUACAUAAUUAUAUACAUAUAUAUACCUUAUAAUAUUAAUGCGUACAUAGUUUUAUUUAUUAAAUAUUUUUAUACUCUAUAUUUUUAUACACUUGUAUAUAUACAAACAUCUAUGUUUCAAUUCAUAUAAAUAUAUGUACGUAUACAUAGUUAUGUGCUUUAUGUACCUAUUAUAAUUUGUUUACAUGUUUAUAUAUAUCUAUACAUAUAUUUUUAUAUUUCGUGAUAGUUAUAUGUACACAUAUACAUGUAAAUACUUAUAUUUUAUGCCUCAUAAUAUAUAUAUUUUCAUAUUUUCAUAUUUUAUGAUUUUCAUCUAUUUUCCUUUAUUGUUAUUGUAAUUUUCAUGUGUAUUUGUUUAUUUAUUUAUAUGUCUAUUUUUUUAUGUUUUAGUUUUUUUUAUUUGUUAUGAUAUAUGCACAAUUAAUUUAGUUUAUUAUUUGUUUUGUUUUUUUUUAUUCACACAAUCAUGUUCAAUAUUUCAUUAUGCAUAUAAAUAUCAUAUUUCAAAAGGAAAAAUAUUUCUAAAUGAGGCAAUGUUUUGCGUUUGGAAGUUCGAGAAAACAUGCCCUAAGGUGCUGGGUGUCGAUUUUUCUUGUUCAACCAAAUAGCUUAAUAUCCUUUUAAAUUUUUAAAAUAAGGCAAUGUUUUGCGUUUGGAAAUUCGAGAAAACAUGCCCUAAGGUGCUGGGUGUUGAUUUUUCUCGUUCAACCAAAUGGCUUAAUAUCCUUUUAAAAUUUUUAAAAUAAGGCAAUGUUUUACGUUUGGAAAUUCGAAAAAACAUGCCCUAAGGUGCUGGGUGUCGAUUUUUCUCGUUCAACCAAAUAGCUAAACAUCCUCUUGAAUUUAAAUUCAUGCCAUUCGAGUUUUUAGGAUCGUAUUUUAAAUUUCUUUGAAGUUUUCAGUUUUUCGACACUAAGACAUUAAGUAAUCAACUAGGUACCAAUUUUGGGCGUAUCGAGGUUGCUAAUCCUUCCUCGUGCGUAAUCGACUCCCGAACCCGUUUUUCUGAAUUUCGUGGACCAAACUUGUUGUUUUAAUAAAAUCAAAUUGUUUAUUAAAAACAACCACUUUUUGAGGUGAUCCGAUCACACCUCAACAAAAAGGAUCGGUGGCGACUCCCGUUUUCGUUCUCAUUUUUCAAAACCCAAGUCGACCCCAUUUUCCAUCCAAAAAAAUGGUGUCAACAGCUUGGCGACUCCACUGGGGACUUUAAAUAAGAGAGUCAAGCCACGAGUUGAUUAUUUCUUGUCUUUUUUGUCGAAAGUUGAAAAUUUGAUUUAAAUAUACGAUCCUCUCAUUGCAUUCCAUUUGUUUUGAGUUAUAGUUUUCAUUAUGUUUUGUAUUUUAAAUUUUUAUAUCUUUCUGCACAUUGCAUUGCAUGACCGUUAGUCACACCUUUUAAGUGGGAGUGAGAAGCUACUCCUUCGUGAGGUUUUCACCUCCGUACAGGAUAGUGGAUCGCUUUCGGGAUACAUCCGUACCUGUGUCUUCGUGAGAUUUUCAUCUCCGUGCAGCCAUAGGGAAAUGUAUUCCCCUGAAUUGAACUCGGUCUGUAUGAGCCUAUAAUGGGUGAAGAUCGAGGAAUAUGCUGGUUCGGGUACCUUAUCUUUAGAACCAACCCACAUAUAGUGGACUUAGGAACUUAACCUAGGUAGAGCCACUCCAAAUCCCUAGUAUUUACCUGAUUAGGUUUUUUUUUUGUUUUCCGUGCUUGCUUAUGUUUUGUUCUAACCCUUCUUGUUGUGUUUUGAUUAUGAUUGCAUUACAUUGCAUUUGCAUCUUAGGAAAGAGAUAUUGAUUCAAGUUCGAUUACUAAAUUAGAAAGCUUGUCAUGGAAUACGGAUUCCUUGAUAAAGUGGAAAACAAUACGACUGCCCGAAUAUAUUCUGAGAAACACAAGAAUGGCGAUGUAAGAGUUUGUGAUCCUACUUCGUGGCCUAAGGAUUCAAGGAAAUUGUCUAAGAGCCUUCAACAUUCCACUCACUUAAAGAAGCUGACGAGCCUUAUGAAGAUGGGCAGAUGAUGGAUCACGACCAAGAUCAAGAAAAUGAGCUAGCAGUGACAUUUAUUGAAAAUUGGCGAGAUUACCUUAAACAUGCGGAUAAAGAAAAAAGGACCGAUGUUUCUUGGAAUAUGACGGUGAGGCCGUACAUAUAUCCGUUUUAUGUAAGGGAAUUUGUUUUCUAGAAAAGUUUCCUAAAUGUAAUUGAAUCAGAAUCAACGUCUCUUUAGGCAUUCAUUUCAUGCAUUUGCAUUACAUUGCAUUACAUGCAUUGAAAGAGUCUAAACGAGUAAAUUUAUUUCAGCUAACCUGGAAAACCAACCAACCAAACAAAGACUAGAGAAAUGGAACGAAGGUUGGAAAAAUUAGAGCGAAUGCAGAUUCAGAUGCAGGAGCAAUUAACUGAAUUUCAACAGGAGACGAGAGAUCAGAUGCUAGAAUUACGGAGAACUAUGAUAAACCAGUUUAACCGAUUGCUAGCUGGAAAGUCAAAAGAAGUGAAAGACCCGGUGGUUUACUUUGGGGUUGAUAAUGAGGAUCUUGUCUAUUCCUUAGAUUGUACUCCGACAAGUGUCCAGGUUCAGCUAGAUGGGCGUCCACAAUGAGCACUUUUUACUGUCGGAUCCCAAUAUUAUCAGACUGGUACAUCGACACCAGUGAAUUGCCUGACAGGCUUAGAAUCCAAUUUGAGGAAUGAUUUAGCUAGUCCUGUUGCUAAUCUAGCCGAAAUAAAGAAGAUGAGGAUAGAAUACCCAGAUACUAAAAAGGCACUAGGGAAGAAGGCGAAUAAAGAGGAUAAUGCAGGCAGAUAUAACAAGGGCCACUCAAAACCAAUCACUACAGGCCGGCCAAAGACAGAAACCACCAGACAUCGGAAUCCUUUAAAGCAAGAAUCUGGAGCGAAACCAGGUACUGAGAAGCUCCAGUUCAUACCAAUUCUGAUGUCAUAUAGUGAGUUAUACCGAAGCUUAUUUGAUGCACGUGUGGUGUCCCCCUUCUACUUAAAACCCAUACAGCCUCCGUAUCCCAAAUGGUAUGACACGAACGUAUAAUGCGACUACCAUGCGAGAAUUACGGGGCAUUCAAUAGAGAACUGCAUUGCCUUUAAGAAACUGGUUGAAAAGCUCAUUAAUAUGGGGGUUGUCAGAUUUGAUGACUCGUCUAGCGCAGAAAAUCUACUACCUAGCCAUAUUGAUAAUGGGGUAGACAUGAAGGUAGGAAGGGGAUCAGUUAUUUCUGAUUCAGGAGGAAAUAAGGGAAAGACACGGAACCAUUGCGAUUUCCAUCAUGAGAGAGGGUUCGAGACCCAAGAGAGUGUGGAAUUCAAGGCCUUGGUUCAGGACAUGAUGGACGAUAAGGGGAUGAAGCUUCGUGAGGAAAUUAAAGAGGAGGAAAACAUACGUUCAAUGUUGGCAAGCGUUCACACCAAUGACAUAUUUGAAGACACGAAUGAAAAGGAACCUUGUUAGAUAUCUGCCCUUAUAAAUCUGGAGUGUUCUAAGCAACUGGGCUGCGAAAAAAAUCCCUUUAGUUUUUAGGGCUUAUCUAGAGUAAUGUUCAGAACAUUUUGUUGUUUUAGCCUAAAGCGAUAUAAAUUCCUUUGUGAAAUAGGUUAAUGUAUGAACGUUAUUAUUCUAAUAAAAUACAUCUUUGCAUUCCUUUUUGAGCUAAUAUUCUUUCAUUUAUUUUGAAUAAUUAUUUCUGAUUCUUUCAUUCUUUUGAAUUUUCUUCCAAACCAUCAUUCAUUCAUUCAUUCAUAAUUAUAUGAUACAAAUAAUUAUUCAUGAAUCUAUACAUUCUUUUGUAUAUUCUUUGGUACUUGCUAUGGGUCCCCGGAUAUCAAUUACGUGAAUGACUGCUACAGACCCAGAUUUUCCUUUUGAGUGAGGCAUGUGUUCAGAGGGAUCUCAAUGCUUUGAAAAUGAUAAAGAUUGUAGUUUAUCUCCUAACUUGUUAAGGAUGGUUGAACAAGAGGAUAGACAGAUCCUACCUCACAAGGAAUCAUCAGAAAUUGUGAGCUUAGCGAGGAUUAGAAUUGACCUGAUCGCAGAGACGAAGCAACACCUUGUUGAGGCACCUCUAGAUUUCGAAGAGAUCUUUGUAGGAUCAUACCAGGAUAUGCCUGGGUUAAAUGCCGAUAAUGAAAUCUGCACAACAGCACGAUGUCAGAAAUUUACAGUAUGAAUGAUGUAAUUCUUUACCGGGGCAAUGUCUUUCUCGUGGAGUCAGCAUAGUUUUGCCCAUUUGAAGUUGAAUUUCCGUCUCUUCAAGUUGUUGUUGGGUCCAUCCUGAUUAAAGAGGAAGAUCCAAAGUUUUUUGUCGAAGUUGCAUCCCAAAAGGCUCAGAUCAAAAAAGUGAAGAAAAAGAAAAAUCAAAAUCAAAGUCAAAAUGAAAAUGAAAAUGAAAAUGAAAAUGAAAAUGAAAAUGAAAAAAUCAAAAAUCAAAAUAAAAAAAACAAAAAGAAGAAAGAAGAAAAAAAUCAAAAUCAAGAUCAAAAUAAAAAUGAGAAAAAGAAAGAAGAAUGAAAAAGGAGAAAUCUAGAUGAAAAAAUCAGAAUGAAAAAGAAAAGAAAAAAGAAAAGGAGAGGCUAAAGCGAAAACUCGCAAAGGGCGCUUUGUGACCAAAUGAGGUUUUGAAUUGAAAACCCGAAAAGGGCGACUCAAAUUUCGAGCACAAUGAGGCAUGAACAUCACCAUUAUCAGAGACUUCUAAUGGGCAUUGCUUCAUUUUGAGAGGCUACUUCAUGAGCCAAAGUCAUCGUAUACCGAUACAGAAUUUCAGAGAAGAGGUUAUUGGAGAAUGCAUUGAGCUUAAACAAUAGCACGAUCGCUGAGGUCUCAAAUUAACUCAGAAGUGGACACCACGAUUCGUCACUGAAUUGCCUAGAAUUGAACAUCGAAAAUUGAAGGAAAAUGACUGAGACUUAGGGUCUGUUUGAUUGCCAGUAAAAUGUUUUCCGUAAAAUGAUUUCUGGAAAAUGGUUUACUUUUCUGUAAAAUGAUUUACUGGAAAAUAUUUUCUGGUGUUUGACUGAAUCUGUGUAAAAUAUUUUUUGCUGUUUGGCAGAUUUUCUGAAAAUAUUUUCGAAAAAGUUGUUUUUACAUAUAUUAAUAUAUAUUAAUAAUUUUUUAUAUUUUAAAUUAUUUUUACAUAUAUUGCAAUGAUUUAUUUAUAAUAAUACUCAAUUAUUAAGCUACAAUAUUAGUCGUUAUAAAUUGAAAAAAACUAAUAUCAAAUAAAUUAUUUGUAAUUGUGUUAAAAAAACAAGUAUUGAAUAAUUAAAAAAACAAGUUAUUGGAAAAUCGAUAAACAGAAGCAGUUUUCUACCGGAAAUGAAGGAAGGAAUGAAGGAAGCGAUAAAGAGGAGAGCACGGAAAAUGUCUUACGGAAAUUGAAAGGGUAAGACAUUUUCCCUAAAAUGUAACCCAUUUUCCCUUGUUUUGGAGUUCAUUUUCCAAAUGGAAAAUGUUUUCCGCCAAUCAAACGCUGAAAAAGUUGAAAAUGAUUUUCCGGAAAAUCAAUUCCGUCAAUCAAACAGACCCUUACAAGGAUUGGCAUGAGAAAUUACUAUUUGCCUUCCUUGCUUGUCGAACAUCUGUACCGGGGCAAUACCUUUCUCUUUGGUUUGCGGGGUUUAGGUAGUUUUACCUAUUGAAAUCCUUUCUCUCCAGGUAUUAUUUGAGCUAGAAUUGGAUGAAGCAGAAUGGAUCCAAUCGCGAUGAGAUCAGUUGAACCUAGAAAAAAGGUUAAAAGCUAUUCUUCAGGGUCGGAUGUACCGGAAACAAGUGAUACGAGCCCAUAAUGAACAGUGUCAUAUCAGAGAAUUCCACGAGAGGGUUGGAUGUCGAAAAAGAUCAUUCCUCUCUAAAAAUGAUUCCAGAGGGAAAUAAAUGCCAAACCGGGAAUGUCCCUACGUUGUAAAGAAGACAUUCUUCAGAAGAGCACUGAUCUUGAGUAAGAUUGCUAGUCCUAUAAACUCGGAUCCAGUCAAGAAAUACUUCGUUUAAAGAAUGAGGAAGGACCAAGGUGAAAACCCGCAAAGGGCACUCUAAGUCAAAAAAAAUGAAAUGAAAAAUGAGAAUGAAAAAUAAAAAAUAAAAAAUAGAGAGGCUAAGGGGAAAACCCGGAAAGGGCGCCUUAGGCCAAAGGGGAUUUGAGUUGAAAACCUGAAAAUGGCGGCUCAAAUAUUUGUUCAGAAUGGGGCAUGAGGCGAUCAGAGCGAUUCGAAUUUUGAUCAUAUUGGGGCAUGUGGUGAUCUUGCUAUGCCUGAAUCAACAGGAAAGGAUAGACGACAUCUUGGGGCAUCGACAGAGCACUGUAGAUCUCCUAAACACAUGUCCAACUCAAAAUGGUCUUCAGAAAGUUUGUACAGAGAAGUUCAAGUAGCGAUAUCUGGAGCACCCAAUCCUCACAUUAUUUGUUAUUCUUGGAAUAUUUUUUCUUUCCAAGAUAUACAUCCCCAAUUAAUUUCUUCGUCAUCCUUCUUUACAAUUUUUGGUAAUUUAUUCCUUUUGAGCUAUGCUCAGAAUCAAUUUUAUUCUUAUCCAUUGUUAUGACCCUUUUUGCAAAGCAUGUUGCAUUAGAAUAAUGAUUAAUGGACUAAUAAUACUUUCACAAUGGAAGUUUUGCAUAUUACUCUAGAAGUUUCUAAAUAAUAUAGGAGCCUAAAGCAGUACUAUUGUUUAGAACACACCAAUUUUUAAAGGUUGGAAAUUUGAGAAGGAAUAGUCUAAAUUUAGACUUUCUCUUUGGAUUUUUGUUUUCAAGUGCACUGAAUGAACAAAAUGACAAGAUGCCAUGUCAAUGGCAAAGCUUAAACGAACAAACAAGCAAUGAUCAUCAGGCAAUAGGAAGAGGUUACCUCGGAGAAGAGAGCCUUCAUUUGUGCAUGAGCAUUUGGUAUGACACCUUGGGGAUGAGGUAAAGGACCAAAGAGUUUCACAUUCAAUAUCAUUGAAUUGCGAUAGGAGAAGAUUGAGAAAGGCCAUACAUUUCUACCCUUUGGUUAUAGUGGGAGAUUGAUGGUGCAAAUUUUAUGUCCCAGUGGAUUGAACUUUGACGUUCAUAGUGGGGGGCAAUCAGAUUAAGUGAUCCUUUGGAUAUGCUAGCCGAGCAAGAAGGUGGUAUAGCACGUCAGUAAUAAAGCCUUAAUAUGCUUUUGUGUGAUGAUAACCUAAGCAUUAAGGAAUCAUUUUCAUGACAUUUUGCAUGUCAUUCAUACACAUCUAGUUAGGAGCAUUUGAUUCGUUCUGAUCAUGUCAUCCUAAUCUCUAGGCACAAUUAGGUUCAUAAAAUAGAACAUACAGGUCAUGUUCCCUAGAGAACAAAUCAGUGAACAUCGAAAACAAAGCCUUGCCUUCAUUGGUUACAGUGAAGCUGGUUAAAGAAGCAGAUCUUGCCUUCCAGCAUUAACAGCGAAGCAGAUCGAAAACAAAUCAUUGCCUUCAUUGGUUACAGUGGAGCUGGUUAAAGAAGCAGAUCUUGCCUUCCUGCGUUAACAACGAAGCAGAUCGAAAACAAUCCUUGCUUCAUUGGUUACAGUGGAGCUGGUUAAAGAAGCAGAUCUUGCCUUCCUACGUUAACAACGAAGCAGAUCGAAAACAAGCCUUGCCUUCAUUGGUUGCAGUGGAGCUGGUUAAAGAAGCAGAUCUUAUCUUCCUACAUUGACAGCGAAGUAGAUCGAGGACACAAGCCUUGCCUCCCUUAGUUGUAGGGGAGCAGAUCAAAGACAGCAAAUCUUAUCUUCAAGUGUAAGGAAGCGGAUUUAAGCCACAAGUCCUAUGUCCCUGACCAGCAGUGGAAUAGGUUGGAAAUUUCAGAUCUUAUCUCCCUGAGGUUACAGCGGAGCAGAUCGAAGACAUAAUCCUAUCUCCCUGAAGUUACAGUGGAGCGGAUUAAAAUAAAGGAUCUUAUCUCUCUGAAGUUACAGUAGAGUAGAUCGCAUCAGGUCUUAUUUCCCUGAGGUUACAGCGGAGUAGACCGAAAAAUUUCAGAUCUUAUCUCCCUGAGGUUACAGCGGAGCAGAUCGAAGACAUAAUCCUAUCUCCCUGAAGUUACAGUGGAGCGGAUUAAAAUAAAGGAUCUUAUCUCUCUGAAGUUACAGUAGAGUAGAUCGCAUCAGGUCUUAUCUCCUUGAGGUUACAGCGAAGUAGACCGAAGAAUUGCAGAUCUUAUCUCCCUGAGGUUACAGCGGAGCAGAUCGAAGAUAUAAUCCUAUCUCCCUGAAGUUACAGUGGAGCGGAUUAAAAUAAAGGAUCUUAUCUCUCUGAAGUUACAGUAGAGUAGAUCGCAUCAGGUAUUAUUUCCCUGAGGUUACAGCGGAGUAGACCGAAGAAUUGCAGAUCUUAUCUCCCUGAGGUUACAGCAGAGCAGAUUAAAGACAUAAUCCUAUCUCCCUAAAGUUACAGUGGAGCGGAUUAAAAUAAAGGAUCUUAUCUCUCUGAAGUUACAGUAGAGUAGAUCGCAUCAGGUCUUAUUUCCCUGAGGUUACAGCGGAGUAGACUGGAGAAUUGCAGAUCUUAUCUCCCUGAGGUUACAGCGGAGCAGAUUAAAGACAUAAUCCUAUCUCCCUGAAGUUACAGUGGAGCGGAUUAAAAUAAAGGAUCUUAUCUCUCUGAAGUUACAGUAGAGUAGAUCGCAUCAGGUCUUAUUUUCCUGAGGUUACAGCGGAGUAGACCGAAGAAUUGCAGAUCUUAUCUCCCUGAGGUUACAGCGGAGCAGAUUAAAGACAUAAUCCUAUCUCCCUGAAGUUACAGUGGAGCGGAUUAAAAUAAAGAAUCUUAUCUCUCUGAAGUGGCAGUAGAGUAGAUUACGUCCAAGUCAAAUCUCCCUGAAGUUGCAGUGGAGUAAGUUAAAAUCCCAAACCUCACCCCCUGAAGGUACAACAGAGUGGAUUGAAGCUACAAGUCUUGUCUUUUUGAAGUUGCAGCGGAAUGGAUAGAAGCAACAAUGUACAGUGGACUGGAGUGAAGCUACUUGAAGAGAAGCGUCAAGAGAAGUCAAGACUCGGCGAAACCGGGCAAAAAAUUGGUCUUUCUUAGUCUUUGCUCUGUUAUCGUUACACGACAAUGAGCAAAGAGGGGCAGCUGUACAAACCCAAUUUCUGCCCGGCCCACUAACAAAAAGAACCCAAUACCCACAAACCCAAUAACCCACCUAAACACUAACCCAUACCAGCAGACCCAAUUACAAGGCCCAGUGGCCCAAAAUUUUAAAAUCAUUUCAGAAACCCUAAUCCCCCUAACCCUAGCCGCCUCUUCUGAUCUUUCUGCUACUACUGCCGCCAUCACCUACCCUCUGCCACCGCCACUGUUUCGCCCACUUGCACCACUUGCUCCACCUGCAAAACAAAGGAGAACACGCAAGCAAAGAAGGACAAAACAGUAGAAACAAUAAUAAAAUAAAUUGUGUAAAAAUGGCUAUAUAAAGGCCAUUCAAAUGAAUUGUAAGGGGUUCGGCCCCUCUUUCACUAUUUCAAGAAAUAAAAAGGGCAAAGAAAACGGAUUCAAGAAAUUUUUCUUUUGGUAUAAACUCUAUUUUCUUUUAUUUAUAUUUUUCUCUUUAUUUUUCUUCCAUCCGAAACUGUUUGAUCCUUUAUUCUUAUUUUUAUUUUUCUUUUAUUUUUAAAAACAUAUAUAUAUAAAUAUAAUAUAUAGAUUUUAAAAUAAAAAAUAAUACCUUUUUUGAAUUUUCCGGCCACCGUACACGGUGGCCGGCGCGACGACGGAGCGGCGGUGACGUGGUGGCCAAGUUCGUCGGAUUCUGGGCAGUGCUGGAGAGGGGGAGAGAAUAUUUUUGAGAAGAAGAGUUUUUUUUUUUAAUGAAAGCUGAAAAUGAUUUUUUUUGGGGGAAACCUUGACUUUUAUAGGCCCCCCAAAACGACGUCGUUUUGGGAAAGCCUCUUAGGUACCAAAACGGUGCCGUUUUAAGGCCGGCCCGAAAACCGACCCGACCCGCCUGAAGGAUCCGCGUGUUUUUGACGAAAGGGAUAAUUGCGUUUUCAGGCCUUCCGCUUUUAAAUAAUUUUGCAAUCAAGUUCUUUCCUUUUUUUAAAAUUCGCCCUAUAUUUUAUUUUCAUUCACAAUCUGGUCCACUUUGAAAUGCAGUGUUUUGGAGGGUGGGAUUAUUUCCAUUUUGGUCCCCCUCUUUCCGCGCGUGUCACAAUUUAGUCUUUUCAGUCUUUUUUAUUUGAAAUUCGCUCAGUAUUUUUAUUUUUACUUCGAUUUAGUCCCUUUUUUAGUAUUAUUAUUAUUAUUAUUAAUUAUUGCUAGUUUUAUUUUCCUUAAACCUAUUCGUCACUGCUUUGAUUAGUAUGUUAACUUGUUUCAUUAUUAUUAUAGCUUUCUUUUUUAUAAUAUAUGUACAUAUACCUAUGAAUAUUUUAUAUAUAUAUAUGCAUACAUAAUUAUAUACAUAUAUAUACCUUAUAAUAUUAAUGCGUACAUAGUUUUAUUUAUUAAAUAUUUUUAUACUCUAUAUUUUUAUACACUUGUAUAUAUACAAACAUCUAUGUUUCAAUUCAUAUAAAUAUAUGUACGUAUACAUAGUUAUGUGCUUUAUGUACCUAUUAUAAUUUGUUUACAUGUUUAUAUAUAUCUAUACAUAUAUUUUUAUAUUUCGUGAUAGUUAUAUGUACACAUAUACAUGUAAAUACUUAUAUUUUAUGCCUCAUAAUAUAUAUAUUUUCAUAUUUUCAUAUUUUAUGAUUUUCAUCUAUUUUCCUUUAUUGUUAUUGUAAUUUUCAUGUGUAUUUGUUUAUUUAUUUAUAUGUCUAUUUUUUUAUGUUUUAGUUUUUUUUAUUUGUUAUGAUAUAUGCACAAUUAAUUUAGUUUAUUAUUUGUUUUGUUUUUUUUUAUUCACACAAUCAUGUUCAAUAUUUCAUUAUGCAUAUAAAUAUCAUAUUUCAAAAGGAAAAAUAUUUCUAAAUGAGGCAAUGUUUUGCGUUUGGAAGUUCGAGAAAACAUGCCCUAAGGUGCUGGGUGUCGAUUUUUCUCGUUCAACCAAAUAGCUUAAUAUCCUUUUAAAUUUUUAAAAUAAGGCAAUGUUUUGCGUUUGGAAAUUCGAGAAAACAUGCCCUAAGGUGCUGGGUGUUGAUUUUUCUCGUUCAACCAAAUGGCUUAAUAUCCUUUUAAAAUUUUUAAAAUAAGGCAAUGUUUUAUGUUUGGAAAUUCGAAAAAACAUGCCCUAAGGUGCUGGGUGUCGAUUUUUCUCGUUCAACCAAAUAGCUAAACAUCCUCUUGAAUUUAAAUUCAUGCCAUUCGAGUUUUUAGGAUCGUAUUUUAAAUUUCUUUGAAGUUUUCAGUUUUUCGACACUAAGACAUUAAGUAAUCAACUAGGUACCAAUUUUGGGCGUAUCGAGGGUGCUAAUCCUUCCUCGUGCGUAAUCGACUCCCGAACCCGUUUUUCUGAAUUUCGUGGACCAAACUUGUUGUUUUAAUAAAAUCAAAUCGUUUAUUAAAAACAACCACUUUUUGAGGUGAUCCGAUCACACCUCAUCAAAAAGGAUCGGUGGCGACUCCCGUUUUCGUUCUCAUUUUUCAAAACCCAAGUCGACCCCGUUUUCCAUCCAAAAAAAUGGUGUCAACAAUCCUUAUUACCUAAAUUUUACCAUACCAAACAAAGCCACAUUUAGCUUUUAUAUCAUUUUUUAAAUAAUCUAAUAUAUCUUUAUUUAAUAAGUAAUAAUCCCAUAUGCAUUAGAGAGAGUAUUAAGUUGAGUUAUUAAAUUUAGGGUUUGUUAUAUUCUAACGGGUUAUUUUCAAUUCCAUUGAAAUGAUUUAUAGGUGAUAACUUUUACAAUUUAAUACGAUUAAUUUUAUUAUAUUACAAUGAAAAACAAAAGAAAAAGAAGAAUUUAAUAUGGUUCAAAGUUUUUAAAUAAAUCUGGACCAUAUACUUGUAGACAAACCUUUACCAUUAAUCUAUUCCAACUUCAAUGAGAACGACCAAGACAAUGCAAGUCUCAAUAGUCCUGUUUGAAACGCAAAAGCAUUCAAGUGGUUGAGAGCAGCAAGCCUGAUCCCUUUUGUCCUUUUGUGUUAUGUAAGUCAAUUGUAGAGAACGAUUGUUGGAAAUUUCUAAAACGUAAGUUAAUAGUUAGAACCCUUGAGCAACGCACAUUCCACCCCAACCCAUGCAUAACGUUAGACGAGACUCAAUGUCUCAUUGUAUACAUUUUUAAUUUUAUUCAACAACUACAUAAGUAUAUUUUUAAAUGAUUUUUAAUAUAAUUACAUGUAUUUUCAUCUAUUUUAUAUGAAUUUAAAAUAUUACAAAUUAAAUAUAAUUAAUAUAAGAUAUAAGUUCUAUUUAAUUAAAUUCAAAUUCAAAUUCAAAUUCAAAUUUUAAAUUAUCCAAUAAUAUAAAUAGUAGACAUAAAUUUAAAGAAAAAAAUUGGGGUUUAGUUGAGAAAUUACCUCUCAAAUUCAACUAAAAUAAAUAAAGAGAGUUUAACUGGAAAAUUACCUUUCAAAUUUAACUGAAAUAUGAAACAUACUCAAUAAUAAGGGUAUCAAUUCAAAGGUAUAAAGCUACAUAAAUUCUUAGUUAUGCCUUUGAAAUAUUUUCACAAAGGCAUGUGCAAAACUUUUUGAUUCUAAGCAAAUUCAUUGUCUCAAUAUUACUUAUUUAAAAUCAAAUCCACAUUUAUUUUUAAACAAAAUCCAACAAUGUAUUUGGCUCAUCCAACAAUUUAUUUUUAAAUGGCAUUUAUUUAAAAAGAACCAAAUGAGAAUUAUUAUACAACUUUAUAAAGUCGAUGACACAUCCAACAUUAAAAGCACAAAGAAACUAGAUUGGCCAACAACAAAACAAUAAUGCCAACAUUCUCAAAUACCGCAACAAAUUUGUUCUAAAAACAAAAGAUAGCGCAUCGCACUUAGAGCGUAGAAAUACUUGAAUUCAAUCAUUGUAACAACGAAAAAGGAAACAAGACAUCCAACAUCCUCAUCACAAUGGAUUCGCCUCUCACCCGCCAACAACGUCUGCAAUGCAAUAAAACAAGAAGAGGCUAUUGUGGUAGCAACUCUUAUAAAUAUUCCAAAAUUAACUUUUAGAUGCAUCAGGUCUUAAUCUAAGGUAAAGGGUUUAUCCAAACAUGAAAAAUCUAACCAACUCAAUUCAAUUCAACCUAACCUCAACCUAUCUAUAUAGUUUACUUUUAAUUUAUAUAUAAUUUCUUUUAUGAUUUAAAUUUAAAUAUUUUUUAACAAAAAUUUUAAAUACUUAAUAUUGAACAAAUAGUCAUAUUAAUGAAAAUUUGUAAUUAUGAUCAAUAACUUAACACAUAGGUAAAAGUGUUUUUUUUUUUACUUAAUAAUAUUAUUAGCAAUAGUACGUUAUUAAUUGUAUAUGAAAAUAAUGAAGCUUAAAAAUUAAAAUUUAAAGACAAUGCCAUUGUCAAAUUUACUCAAAAUUUAUUUUUAACUAUAGUUAUCCAUGUACAUAUGUGACACACAUAAUAAGAUGCUAAUAUAUAUAAGGCAAAAUAUUAUAAAGUUAAAUGGUGAGAUAAUAAAGUGAAAUGUUUCUAACCUUAUGCAAUAUUUGAACUUGUUAUAGUAACAGUAUCCAAUGAUGUACUUGGCUCAUCAUUAGAGUUCUCACAGCUAUGAAUCUCCAUUGAUGUUUCAAGCGGAAGUUGAUGGAAUGGCUUAGGAGGCAUAUCAAGGAGUUCAACAUCAGAUUCAAGCAUCUUCAAAACUUUACUCAUUGAAGGACGAUCAAAAGGCAGUAAUUGUAUACACCAAAAGGCUGUUAUUACCAUUUUCUUUACCAUUGCUUUUUCAUCGUCAGAAACAUCUCCCAACUCCAAGUCCUCUCCUUGAUCUAAUCGGUCAUAAAUCCAAGAUGGAAAAUAGAUCUGACUAGUGUGGUCAGCAAAUGCAUUCACAUUCUUUCUCCUUCCAACCAUUUCCAUCAGUAACAUUCCAAAACUAUAAACAUCAGCUUUGUAUGAGAUGCCUCCAAGAUUUUUGUAAACCAAUUCUGGAGCAAUAUAUCCUAUCGUUCCUCGUGCCGCAGUGAGAGAGACAAUGCUAUCAUCUACUGAAUACAAUUUAGCAAGACCAAAAUCGGAAACUUUUGGAUUAAAAUUCUCAUCAAGAAGAAUAUUGUGUGGCUUGAUAUCAAAAUGUAGAAUUUGCAUGUCACAUCCUUGAUGUAAGUAGUGAAUUCCUUGAGCCACCCCAAGUACAAUAUCAAACAUUUUUUUCCAGCCCAAAGUGUUCUUAUUUUCUUCUGUAAAUAUGAUUUUAUCUAAAGAUCCAUUAGACAUGAAGUCAUAUACUAGAGCUUGCUUUGAUCCCUCCACACAAAAUCCGAUAAGUUUUGCCACAUUAGCAUGAUGAAUUGUCCCAAUGGAAGCAACUUCGUUUAUGAAAUCUUGGCCAUUACCUUUUGAUUUGCCCAACAAUUUUAUUGCCACAUGAUGGCCGCUACGAAGCUUUCCUUUAAACACUGAGCCAUAACCCCCUUCACCUAAUUUAUCUUUAAAAUUUUUAGUCAUUUUUUUAAUUUCUUUAAAAGAAUACCUUAAUGGCACUAGAUUAUUUUGGCUUUUAAGGAACUCUUCGAUCAUAUCAUCCAUGGAUAAAUGUCUUCUCCUCCAUUUGUACGUGACAAAAGCAAGCAAACAAAUGAUCCCAGGAAAUGACCUCAAGAUAACUCCACCUUUAAAGAAAUACAAUGUAACAUGUUGAAAUUAAUCACAUAAUAUAUAACUUACAUUCUCAGAAAAAAGGAUAUAGUGUGAUAGUUUUAUGUUAACUAGUAUUUGAGAGAGUGGCAUAUUUCACUAGUCUAUGGACUUAACCGAGAGUAGUCUGAAUUAUAUGCAUUGUUUUUGUCAUUAGCAGGUAUAUCUCAACAAAUUAAAAUUCAGAAUUUGAAACACAAAAGGAGUAAAUCAUGCAAAGUGGAUGCCAAUUAUUCUAACCUCACACAUUCCAAUAGAUUUGACAGGGUCAUGACAUUCACCCAAAUUAACACAUUCGUAACCCCAUCCAAUUAGCAAAUUCUAAAGAAAGAACAUGAUUCUUAACCAUGAAGGAUACUCAACUGUUGUUUCUAUUCAUGCCAAAUAAAAUUGAAGAAGGACAAAUUAAAAAUAUAAUAACCUUCAAAUUUCAUAAAUGAAACAAAAUCUAGAACCACCAAAAGAUGCAAGAGAACCCCCCAAAAAACAGAUUUGAUAAAUUCAAGAGCUAACUUUGUUGAAUGUUUUAGCAAAAUGAAUAUCCACCAAACUUAUAACCUGUGAAAGUUCUAAACAAUACCAUUAUGAAAACAAGCUUAACUAAAACUCUAACAUCUUUCUUAACUUGACAAAAAAUUUCUUUCAUAUAGAAGAAGAUUGUAUUCUGCAUUCAAACUCCGUAAAGAGUGUCAUAGCUUUCUUAGUUUUGUAGUGAAAUUAAAUAUAAACUUGUAUAAUAUGAUAGGCUCCUUAUUCUUUUUUUCCCCCAGAAUAUAGCUAAUAUUUGUUCUCAACUAGUGCAAAUGCAAAUCUGCAAAUCUAAAAUUAAAUAUACCUGUUAUUAGCAAACAGAGACGAUAAGCUCCGAAGAAUCUGGAUUAUAUAUUCAACAAAUCAAAGUAAAAUUAAUAAAGGGGUGUAAAGAAAAAUUCCAAAUUUGUAUAAAAAAAUCAAUGGAAGGUAAUUUAAAAAAUUAUAUUAUGUUUUGUGGUAUAUACUCAAAAAAGAAAUACAACAAUUCUUUACAUAUGUUUGCUUGUAAAAAGUAUGCAACAUGUGUUACAGUAUAAGAGUUUUUAGGUAACUAAUAUGAUUUAAUAUAAUGAAAGGUGAGACAAAAUUUAUUCAAAUUAAUUAAUCCAAAAAGUAUAUAUUAUAGCAUUAAAAGAGUUUUUGCCAAAAAAAAUAAACUCAUCCACAAUGGUGGAAUAUUUACGUACUACCAACUAAAUUGAAAAUUCAUCAAAAAUAAAGACAAAAUAAAAAGAUAGACAUAAUCAAAUAUAAUUGUCCAAAAAGAAGACAAAACAGCAGAGAAAGCAGAGGCAGAUACUAAAUUAGAAAUGCUUUUAGUUCAUUUGAUUGUUAGAUGUUGAUCAAUUUUAGAUGCAAAAUCAUCAUACUUAAUUACCAUCAUAAUAUUUAAUUGUGAUAAAUGUAACAUAAAAUAAAACAAAACAAAAAGUAGAUGUUGUAACUAAAAAUUCCAGUAUGAUUCACACUCAAAAUGCAAACUUAAAUUAUUAAAGAAACUUACAUAUCUUUAAACCAAACUUUGUUUUUAUUGUAGUAGCUACUCUCGCUAUCCCAUCAACUCCAUUGGACCCAAAAACCCUCCAAUAAUUUUUUGUAUAUAUCCAGCGUAGACAUGCCUAUUAUAUUAUCAAUCAUAAUUGGAACCUCCGCUUUGAUAGUGCAAGCUUGAUUGAUAUCAGAUGGGUGGGUGUUUCCAUUUAAAAAAUAGAAAUAGAAAGUUGGAAGGGAAGAGGAGGUAUUAGAUUUAAUCGUACAACAAGAAGCCUCAAUAAAAAGUGAUGAUUUUAUAGGUUUCGUGCAAUUCAUAACAUAAAUAAUGUUAAAAUUAUAAGAAAAAUAAUAAUGAUAAUUAGAAAAAAGGUAAAAAUAUGGUUUAAAAUAAGGAUAAGUAUCAUAAUAAUCAGGAUAUACAGAAGUAAGAGGAAGGGAGUUGCAAUCAUCCGUGUCCAAGCUUGCAUCCACCAUUCGUAUUGUAUAAUUUUCGUAAAAGAUUUGUUGGACAGAUAAUUUCCCUCCUCUCCCAACCAAAGUGGUGCGAUUAUUGUUCUCACACUCAAGUUCCAUGACAGGAGAACCACAGUGGGGAGGUUGGUUUUUUAAUCGGAAUGGAAAACUGAUAUUCAAAUUCCCACAGAAAGUAGAGCCGCAGUCUUGGUUAAUAAGACUCCUAGCAAAACAAACAGCAGGAAAUAGAAUUACAAAUAAAGCAACAGAGGGCAUUAGGUGACCCAACAAUGGCAGUUUUGCUUUUAAUUUUGGCAUGCUAAAAUUUUGGGUAAGGAAGAAGAACAGUAAUGGGGGGUUAAUGAUUAAGUUUCUAACUAAACCAGGGAAAUAUAUAAGAAAGCUUCAGUGGGAGAAGAAGCAUUAAUGGGGACACAAGACUUUGACUACUCUUCAGCUUUAUUUGGGAUGAAUAUUUUAUUUUCAAUAAAUUGUUUACACCUUUUAUUCUUUAAUCUUUUUUCUGGGAAGAGCCAUGGUUAUCACAAGCAAAAGAAAAAGGAAUUUUAAUAUUAUUCAAAAAAAAAAAAAAUUGGACCAUAUGCUUGUAGUCGUAGAUCAACGUUUAUGACCUUAAUAAAUUCCAAUUACAAUGAGGAGGACCAAGACAAUGCAAGUCUUUAGUCUUCUUUGAAACACAAAAACAUUUGUUGCAUCUUUUGUAACUAUUUGUUGCAUCAUUCUAAAAAGUAAGUUAAUAGUUAGAAGUGUCAAGCAAGGCGACUCAAUGCCCAAUUGUAUAGAUUCUUUUUAUUUUAUUCCACGAAUACUUCACUACUUUUCAAAUAAUUACAUGAAUUUAAAAUAAAACAAAUUAAAUAUAAGAUAUAAUUUCUAUUUAUUUAAGUUUAAAUUCAAAACUAAAUUCUAUUUCUAAAUUUUAAUUAUCCAAAAUUAAUUUAAAAACUUAAAUUUAAAAAUACAUUAAGAGACUUCAAAUUCCGUUUUAUUUUAAAUGAAAUCGGUUUAGUAAAGAGGUGACUAUGGAUCAAGUCAAGCCGAAUCGAAGUUCAGUUUCAAAAAAUUCCAAGUCCUAGAGCCUAUUUUUGAUCCAACUCACCCAAAAGCUCGUUUUCUAUUUGAAAAUAUUAAAAAUAUUUUUAAUUGAUAUUUUACAUAUUUUUAUAAUUAAAUUUAAAUUUUAAUAAAAAUUAUUAUUUAAAUUAAACUAUAAAAAUAUUUAUCCAAAUCUGACCCAAAUCGAAUUAGGCCGGGUGGGCGAUCCGAUCAUGACAGGAAAGGAGAAACAAGAAAGACGAAGCCUAAACAGGCAGUAAAUUCAUUUUAAUUCUACAUACAUUCCAUAUUAUUAUUUAGGGAUAAUAUAGUUUUUGACCCUAAUCUUGAUAGUUAAGUGGACUUUAGUACAUAUAUCUUUUUUGUUCUACUUUGACACUCGAACUUCAAAUAUUUUGGUUCCUAAACUUGAAAAAUAUAAAAGUUUUAUGAUGCAACUCUGUAAGAUUGUGUUACAUCAUCACUUAAAAAUUAAAAAAAUAUAUAAAUAUUUUUAAUUAAUAUUUUAUAUAUCUCUAUAAUUAAAUUUAAAUUUAAAAAAUAUUUUUUAUUAUUUAAAUUCAACUCAGAUUAAAUCAAAAUAAAAUGUAAAAAUACUUAUUCAAAUCUGACCCAAAUUGAGUUGGGCCGGGCAGGCUACCCAGUCAUCUCAAGUCUACUUUAGCACAGGUAAGUAAAGUUGAAUCAUUAGAUUGGGAUAUAUGUGUGCUUCGGGUAAAUACUUAUUUGGGCUGAAUUAUUUGGACUUCAAUUAUGAAUUUAAUUUUUUACUAAUAUGUGUGAGAAGCCCAUUCUUUUAUGAAUUUUGGGCCACUUCGGUUUCGUCUUCAGGAAUUAAACAUUCAUAAAAAUCUAAAAAAAUUUAUUAAAUUAUUAUUUAUUAAUUAAACCAGUUGAUUAUUCAAUCGGUUUGACCACUAGUUCUUGAUUCAACUCAUUUGAUCGGUUCAACUACCCAACUAACAAUAAUUAAAUGAAUGAUUCAACAUCCAUAAAAAUCUAAAAAAGAAUAUUAAAUCGAUUACAUAUGUUCAAUAGCCAAGUUUUUUUUUUACUAAUUUCAAACAAUUUUUUUAAUUUAAUUGAUUCAACCAUUUUGUUCAAACUAGGGUGUUCGCAAAAGUCUCGACUCUCCUAAAAUGGAAAAGUUUUUAUUUAAGUCAUUUAAAAUUUUUAAAAUUUUAAAUUAAUAAAGGUAAAUUACACUUUGGCCCCAUAAAAAUAUAAAAAUUUGAUUUAAUCCUUUAAAAAUUAUAAAGAUAUAGGCUAUUAAAAUGGUGAAAUUAUAUUUUUACUUCGUAAAAAUUACAAUUUAAUUUCGACUCCCUUUUUUUUUUUUGAUUUCGCCCCUAAUUCAAACCAUUAUACCGGUUGGUUCUUAGUCCAAUCAAUCCAACCAACCAAUCCACUACUAUUUCAGUAAAAUUGGUCAUAUCAUCAAAUCUUGAUAGAAUCCAAAUUUAAAGGACCAAAAUAGAUCUAAUUGUCAAACUCAAAUACCAAAAUGGAUCUAACUUAAAAGCAAUAUUGAAACAUGUCUUUCUUGUUUUCUCCGUCUCUUAAAACCCCCUGACCUUUGUUUUUUUUUUUUUUUAGUCUUUGAGUUCCUUAGAGAGUUGGUUCAUAUUUUAGGAUAUUGUUUCAUGCUUUUGGCUUGCGAGUUCUUUGUAUUGUAAUGGUAUUUUUUGUAUUAGUGUGAGGAGUAUUGUGGUGUUAUUUUGCUAUCCAUUGAUUCGUUUUGGGUGAAGGUUUUAUUUUGAGCCUUUGUGUUUGUAUGGGAUACCUUAUCUUCGAGUUCUGGGUUUUUCUUUAAUAUAUUUCUAUCGGUUCGAAAAAGAUGGAAGUCUAGAUUUGAUUUGGAGAUAAAAUUGUGUUUUAAUUUUUGUGUACUUUCCUGAUUUUUCUAAAUAAUAUUUUUUUCUGCUUCAAUCCAACUACAAUACUUGCAUUAUAAACAACUAUUUCAUUGAAUUUCUUUUUUAUUUUAAAAAUACUUUUUAAACUGUUUUUUUUCUAGAGAUUCUCUAAAAUUUUCUAUUAAAAACUUUAUAUAUUUGGUAAAAGGAUUAAAGAAGUUCCUGUACUUAGUGAUGGAUUGCAUUUCAACCCUUUUAUCGAAAAAAAUUGACAAAUUAAUUUUUAUACAUUUCAAAACAUACAAAUUUGUCGCUUCGUUAAAAUUUUUCUACAUUUUAACCUAUUCAUCAUUUCCUUUGCAGAAAAAUAGUUGAUAUACCAUUAGAACAUGAGCCUCAAACAUUAUAAAUGAAUAAUAAUACCUCGGUCUAUGAAGAAGUUAUGUUACAUUUGAUGGAAUAUCAAAGGAAAAUUUUUCGUUUAUUUUAAAAAGAUUUUAUUCAAUUUUCUAAUUGUAUAUAUAAUUGAUAUUAAUUAUUUUUUAUUUUAAGUUUAAUUAUUUUAAAACAUAUUUAUUAAAUAACUUUUUUUGGUGUUAUUAAUUAAACAUCAAAUGCAGCAUUAAUAUUGUAAGUCUUCCGUUAUUUAAUAUUUAAAUAAUAUGAAAUUGAACAUUUAAACGUAAAAUAUAAAAUUAUUCUUAAUAAUUUAUAAUAAAGGGAAUAAUAAAACAGAUGAUUAGAUGAAAUCAAGAAUCAGGUUAAAUUCACACCUGACCAUGGAAAUAUUUGUGUCGAUAUGAUUUAUAAACAGGGUUUAGCCAUGAUACUUUUCUGUGAGAGGCAAAAUCAAAAUUUUUCUUUUCACUUAAAAACUUAAUAUUUUAAUUUUUCCUCAAUUUUGUCCAUUCAAACAUGUUAAGACUGUAUGGUUUGAUUUACCUGUUGGUACGUAAGCUUAUUCAUGCAAAAGUGUCCUUUUAUCAAUUAAAAAGAACAGCAAUAAGGUAAAACGUCAGUUUUUAAUAGAGUCUGACUGCGUCGUCGGCAAAUGAGUGUAGAAUCUUUUACGGUAAGCAAAAGCAUGCUAUCCUAUUUUCCUCCAAUAGCAUAUUUAUUUAUCAUUAAUAAUUACUUUCAUUUUAAUUGUAAUAAAAAUUUAUGACAUAAUUCAUCGUUUACAAACACCAUCUUCAUAUAAUAUUUAAAUUUUCUUUUAGAUAAUUUAUGAUUAUAAUUCUUGAACACAUAUGACAUAAUGGAUGAUUAUUUGGUAUAGCUGAUAGUAAAUUUUUAAUUUCAUAAAUAGAUUUGAAAGUUUGAUAUAUAUUUUAAGUUGUAUUUAAAAAAAAUAGGAUAUAUGAAAAUUUUUCAAUCUCGCUUAUUGAGUUAAUUAAUAAUCCAUAAAAAAAUAUUACUUUGUAUGUUUUAAUUCUUAAUUAAUUUUAGAUAUUUGACUUCUAUUAAUUUAAAUGUUUUAAUGUUUUUUUUGAAUUAAAAAAAGUGUGUAUUUAAUUCUUCAUAAAACAAAUUAUUUGUAAAUAAUCAUAAAUCGGUAUAAGAAGAUCAAACCUAAUAUAUCAAAGCAACUAAUAGCGGAUUGAUUGUUUGAUUUCAAAUGUUUAAAUUUGAUAAUCAAUCAAUUUAAAGAUACAAUGAGAUGUAAUUUUGUAAAUUAGAUAUCUCAAUCUUAGUAUUAAAUGAUUGAUGACUCUAAGCUACUUAAAAACAAGAAGACAAUCAAUCUUCACUUUAAUUUAUAUGAUCCAAAGUUCUUAACACCAUUUCAAAGAACCGUUCAGAAAUUAUAGAUACAAGAUCUAAUCAAAACAUCAAGUAACGGCCAAAUCAAAACCCACCAAAGAGAUAUCCAAAGUCUCAAAUCUGGAAUUAAAGGUCAACGUAACCACAUCAUACAAAGAAAUGCUCCCACCACUCCACUUCGGGACAUGUACAAAAUCUGAUUUCUUCGAUCACUACUUGAAAGAGUUGAUAAUUCUCAUAUUUAGAAUUAUUUUAAUUUAGUUUUUAUAGUAUUUUAGGAGUAAAAUCUUUUUUAUUAUAGUUUAUAGUUUUUGAAAUUAAUUAGAUUUUAUUUAAUUUUCCGGAUUUAUUAGCUAUAUUUUUCUCCAUUGUAAAUUUGAGAUAAAAAAAAUGAAAGAGUUGAAAUAUAAAGUAAGAAAGGAUGAAAUCUUCUACUCCACUUGAUCAACUUUACAGUGAACAUAUUUUUAAAUUCAGAAAUUUUGAUAGCAAUUAUUCCUUCUACCAUAAUUUUUUAUUUGGUGGAGCUCCUAAUAAAAGUCAAAAAGAAAAAAAAAGUAUGGGUUUGACCAAUAUUUUAUGGUUCAUUUUUUAUAUAUUUACUCUAAUCUCUGUUUCUAAAAAAUAUCUUAAAACAUUGAAAAAAUAUAUAGUUUAAUUAGCAACAAAUACGCGUUUUUUAUUCUCAAAUUAUUGGUCCAAUCGGUUGAUUUAGUUAGAGAUUCAAAUAUUAUUUAUGAUUUUAAUAUAAAAUAUGAGAAAUGAUGUUCACAUUUCAAAUGAUGUUCAAAUUGAUGGAAACAGUCAAAAAAGAAAAAAUCCUGAGAUGUCAAGUUUACAUUUUAAAACUGGAAGAAAGAAAUCCUCAAAGCAAAUUGGAGGGGCUGCAAGAUUGUCCAGUCAAAUAGAAAAACUAUGCAAUGCAGCUGACAAUAUGAGUCAAGCCACAUCUAGUUUGACUCCUGUUAUGGAUCCAUAUGGUAUUCCACAAGCAGUCAAAAUGCUUGACAGCAUGUCGGAAGAAGUUCCAGAAGCUAGUCCGCUAUACUUUUUCGCACUUAGAUUAUUGCUCAAUAAGGACAAGCGAAUUAUGUUUUUAUCAAUUAAUCCUAAUAUUAGAGCUUUGUGGCUUAAGACGGAAAUGGAGGAUAGUUGAAAAUUUUUUGAUCUUCUAGGGUUUAAAGAUAUCUAUUUAUGUGUAAUCUUCUAGUUAUAAUGGCUUAAGCGAAUUAUGUUUUUAUCAAUAGUUAUUUAUGUUUAGUUUUUGGAUAUUGAAUUUAUGUGCGAAUUAUGCUUUUGGAUAUUGAAUUUAUGUGUAAUCAAUUAUGUUUUAUUAAUAGUUGUUUAUGUUUGGUCUUUAGAUAUUGAAUUUAUGUUCCACUUAUUUUUUAUUAAAUUAAUUUUAUUAAUGGUUGUUUAUAUGUGAUUUUGGAUAUAAAAUUUAUUCACAGGUGAUGAGUAUAGUUGAGGAUUAUAGCAGUGAUGAAAGUGAUGAUCAAAGGGAAAAGAAAGAGAUGUUACAACGCAUGGAAUGUUUUAACCGAAUAUUUGUUGUUGCAUCUUCUUCCAUGCAAUUAUAUUACGAGAAGUAUAUAUUGAGGCAACCAUGCAUGGAUUCAAAACAGUCAGGUGAGACAUGGAUCCGAGAGAUCCUUGACGGUCACGAAUCACGUUGUAUGAUUAAUUUUAAGAUGUCUAAAAUGGUAUUCACAAGUUUGUUGAGAGUUUUGGAGACAAGAUACAACUUGCAAACUUCAAGAAACAUAUCUUCUACUGAAAUGUUGGGAAUUUUUUUAUACAUCUUGGGCACCGGUGCAAAAGUUUCCCAAUGUCGAGAAAGAUUUCAAAGGUCUGGAUCAACAAUAAGUCGAUACUUUGCAGUUGUGCUUGAGAAAGUUUCAAGGAUGGCCAUUGAUCUAAUUGCACCUGAAGAUCCUUUUUUUAGCUCAAUACCCGAACAAAUACAUAAUGAUUCUAGAUAUAUGCCGCAUUUUAAGGUUAAAAUUUAAUUUCAUAUUAUUAUAUUUUAAUAUAUUUGGUCGACUAAAAAUAUGCACGAGAGUAAUAUGAUUAUUUGUUCAGGAUUGUAUAGGUGCAAUUGAUGGUACUCACAUUGCGGCUAUUCUUCCACCAAAUGAACAAAUUCCCUAUAUUGGAAGAAAAGGUAUCCCGACUCAAAAUGUUAUGGCAGUAUGUGAUUUUAAUAUGUGUUUCACAUUUGUCAUGGCUGGAUGGGAAGGAUCGACACAUGACACUAGAAUAUUUCUUGAUGCAAUUCGAGAUCUAAAAUACAAAUUUCCGCACCCUCCAAAUGGUUAGAUAUUUUAUUUAUAUGUGAUUUUUUAAAUAAUAAAGUAAGUUCUUUAAUUGAUUUUUUAUUAAAAAAAUUCUUGAAUUAAUUGUUUGUUAUAUUAUGACUUGUAGAAAAAUAUUAUCUUGUUGAUUCUGGAUAUCCUCAAAUGAAAGGUUAUCUUGGACCAUAUAGAGGUCAACGAUAUCAUUUACCUGACUUCCGAAGAGGUAGACCGAUUUCUGGUAAAGAAGAGAUAUUCAAUCAUUCACAUUCAUCAUUACGUAGUGUGAUUUAACAAACUUUUGGUGUUUUAAAAAAAAUGGGCCAUUUUAAGGGAUAUGCCAAGUUAUAGUUUUGAAAAGCAAACGGUGAUCGUUGUUGCUAUAAUGACGAUACACAAUUUUAUCCGAAAACAUGUUGGUCAAAAUGAUGUAGAUUUUAUGGAAUACGAAGAUAUUAACUCGGCAUAUGAGAAUAGUAUUGAUUCAGAAAAUGCGCAUGGGCCACAAAGUGAUGAUGAUGACGACGACGACGACGAUGAUAGUAAUGAUGAUGGUGAAUCAAACAUUUUUAGUGGUUUUGAAAUGGAAUUAACAAGAGAUGCUAUAGUUUCUAGUUUAAUGAAUUCAAUUUAAAUUGUAAAUGCUAUUGUAAAAUUUUUAGUAUUUAUAUCUGAUAUAUAAAUAUUAUCCCCUUUUUAAAACUUCAAUCCAAAUAUAUCUAAUAUUUUAAUUUGUUAAGUUUAUGUUUUCUAUGUUAUAUUAAUAUCUAAUAUGAGUUAUAUAUUCAAAUAUAUUUUAAAAUAAAAUAAUACAAGCGUGUUAAAAGUAUUAAUUAAAAAUAAAAAAUAAUUUUUAUAAUAAUACAAUCGUGUCAAUAUCUAAUUACAAAUAUUUAAAUAUUUAAAUAUAGUUUAUAUAUUCUAAUUAAAUUUUAUAAAUAAUUAAUAUUAAUUACUUAGAAAUAUUUAAAAUUAAUAUUAUAUAUUAAAAUAUUAACAAUAAGUUAUAAUAAAUUAUUUUUUUAUAUUUUUGCUAAAAUAUCAUAAUAUUAACUAAUUUGAACAUUAUUUAAAAACAUAUUUGUUACUUUAUAAUCUCAUGUCUAAAAUGGACAUUUUAUUCUUCAAAAAUACUUUUUAACACUAAUAGCAAACACUCAAAUUUUUCAAAAGCACUUCUUAAAAAUAAUUCUCAAAAGCAUUUCUCAAAAGUAACGAAAAACUAGCCCUUAACGCCCCGUUCUUCUGCACGUUUUAGAAGUGCUUUUGGCUGAAAAAUCCUUUUCCUUUAAAAGGAAUGAAGAACAGCCUCCUUUUCUUCUGAAAAUUUCACCAUCAGAAAAGGACUUCUCUCCAGAUGAAAAGUUAAAAUUUCUCUUUUUUUUCAGCUUAAAGUGCUUUUGGCUGAAAAUUGACCAAAUUAACCUAUCGUCUUCUCCCACAAACUUUCUUUCCCCUCCUCUGCUGGUUCUUUGGAACUGUCUUCUCCCACAAACGUGCUUUUGGCUGAAAAGAACAGAAAUUUGAUUUCUCAAAUUUUUCCACAAACGUGCUUUGGAACUGUCUUCUCCCACAAACGCUCUCCCACUCCCGCGACGGGGCGCUGUCAAUCGGCUGUGCUUCAGGGUCGAAGGAAGCAUAUGGAAGGUCUCACUGUCUGCAUGCUCGAUCUCCACAUUCCCUUCCCGAGUAUCUCUCUUUCUUCAUAUCUUUUUUUUUGUGCGGCUUCGUGGUUUUAUUAGAAUGCGUUCAUAGGGGAAUUAGUCUUACGAUUAAUAUUUUCUCUUGUAAAAAGGAUAAAUUGAUGUUGCAAUUUAAUGACAGUUUUUAUGCUAUGGAUUGAGAAUGAGAUUCUAGGGUUUUUCAUUGAAUGAAUUUGCUUUUGGUUGUUUUAUUAACAAACUUCAUCGCUUCGCUUAAGAAAAAAAAAAUCCUUCUUUUAAGAUUGAAUUUAUGAAGUUUUAUCGGUUAAUUAAAUGCUUAGCUCUUUUCUAAUGACUGUAACCAAUGUAGCAAUGAUAUUAAAGAAGGUUUAGUUAUAAAAGUGGAGAGAUAUUAUGCUAAACCGAACUACUAACUUCAAUAGUUUACUUCUUAGUGUUCUUAUAGAGGCAAUUUUGUUUGAAAAGGAUCUUUCUAAACAAUGUAAGAUUUGGUAUUUUUGCUUAUUUUGUGAUGGUUGAAGAAGUUUGUGCGUAUCACUGAUUUAAUAACUUUGUCUAACGUCUCAUCCUAUGUUUUAUUUUUAAUACAUAAAUUUUUGAUACAUUGGAGCAGGCAAAAUUGGGGUUAAGGAAGUUUCAGUCGGAGUUGUUGCAGUUUUUGAUGGUCAUAAUGGUGCUGAAGCUAGUGAGAUGGCUUCAAAACUUUUACUGGAGUAUUUUGCUCUAUAUACAUAUUUCCUUUUGGAUGCAACUUUUUCCUUUGUAUUGAAGAAGCAGUCAAGUAGGUUGCCAAAUGUAGGAGAAGGGGAUAUUGUUUUCUGUUGCGGAAAGGAUCGAUUCGAGAACUCCGAUAUGACUACAAGUAAAUUGACCGAAACGAAAAAUAAAGUGAACACAAGGAUUUACGUGGUUCGGCUUUAAUGCCUACGUCCACGGGCAGAGGCGAAAAGAAAUUUCACUAUAACAAGAUGAAGAUUACAAGUGUUUUACACUCAAGACACAACCCGAGAACCUCACAACUCUCAACCCCUAUAGAAAACCCGAAAGCUAAAAUCCUAGCUUUCAAAGAACAAGCUUUGCUCUCUCUUGGUUUGGGAUGAUCAAUAUGGCUAAUGAACCUCUCUAUUUAUAAGAGAGUUCAAGGACAUAAUUGUCCAAAACUUUGGCAAAGAUUUGUGGUUGAAAAUGGACACCAACAACCAUCCACUAAUCCACUACCACCAACAACCCACUACCAACAACAACAAUCCACUACCAAUUUUAAGCCAUUUCUUAACAAAUCUCCACCUUGGCUUGAAAUUUACCAAGCUGAACAUCAUAGAAACUCCAAGCCAUUAUCCGUCCGGAAUCGCUUGAUCUUCUUUCCUGUUUGAUUUUCGAUCAAAGCUUUAAAUUGCUUGAAGUUGAUGAGAACCUCAUACUUGCUCUUCAGAAAAUACACCCAAACCUUUCUCGAGUAAUCAUCGAUAAAGGUAAGCAGAUAUCUGUAACCACCUUUAGAAAUUGUCGGAGAAGGCCCCCAAAGGUCAGAAUGGAAGUAAUCCACUGUGCCUUUUGUCUUGUGAAUCCCAGUGCUGAACUUUACCCGAGUCUGCUUACCGAAGACGCAGUGCUCACAGAAAUUCAACUUUCCUGUACACUGCCCAGACAAUAAUCCUCGUUUGCUUAGCACCGAUAAGCCUCUCUCGCUCAUAUGCCCGAGCCGCAUAUGCCAUAACUUCGUGGUGUCAGAAUCUAGAUCAUCUGAUGAUGACACUCCCGCAACACCUGUAACCGAGGAACCAUCGAGGAAGUAAAGGCCCCGCUCCAAAUUACCACGUAUCACAGUCAAAGCACCCGAGAAUACCUUGAGAACUCCACCUUCAGCAGAGUACCGAAAGCCUUUCUUGUCCAACGUACUCAAAGAGAUCAAAUUUUUCUUCAUUUCUGGAAUGUGCCGAACAUCAGUUAGAGUUCUAACAAUACCGUCAAACAUCUUUAUACGAACUGUGCCAAUCCCCAUGACUUGACAUGCGUGGUCAUUUCCCAUUAGUACUGAACCAGAAUGCUUCUCGUAUGUUGAGAAUGCAUCUUUCGAAGUACUUAUAUGAAAUGUAGCUCCCGUAUCAAGAAUCCAUCUCCCACCAGCGUAAGAGUCGGAUACUGCAAGAACGAUCUCGGCAUCACUUGAAGAAUCUGCAUCAGCUACAUUCGCACGAUCAUUUUGUUGCUCCUGUGAUUCUGAUUUCUCCUUCCUUUUCGGACAAUCUACCUUCAUGUGCCCGUACUUCUUACAGUAGUAGCACUGUAUUCUCUUCUUGGACUGCGAUCUAGGAUGGCUUUUACUUGAACUUCCACCCUUUGCCUUGGAUCUUCCUCGAGCAACCAAGCCUUCGCCUUCAUUGUUUUCGACCACCUUACCAGUGAUUUUCUUCCUCAACUCACUGGAACUUAAGGCAUUUUUCACCUCCUCUAGAGUCAGGUCAUCACGACCGUACAUCAUUGUAUCAACAAAAUUCUCAUACGAGGGAGGCAAAGAACACAAAACAAUUAUUGCUUGGUCCUCAUCAUCGAUUUUGUUAUCGAUAUUAUUCAAAUCCAUGAUAAUGGAAUUGAAUUUAUCCAGGUGCUGGGAAACAGGUGUACCUUCCUCCAUCUUCAGGGCAUAGAGUCUUUGCUUGAGGUAGAGCCGGUUCGUCAAUGACUUCGUCAUGUACUUGCUCUCUAACCGGAGCCACAAACCGGACGCGGUUUUCUCAUCCGCUACUUCUCGUAGCACUUCAUCUCCUAGACAUAGCAGAAUAGCACUAUGUGCUCUUUCUAGCAUGUCAUCCUUUUGCUCUUCCGAAAGCGUGCUUGGUAAUUUAUCUUUACCAGACAAUGCUUUUAGCAAUCCUUGUUGAACCAGCACUGCCCGCAUCUUGAUGCGCCAUAAACUGAAACUAUUUUUCCCGGUAAAUUUCUCGACAUCAUACUUAGUCGAUGAAACACUUGUAGCCAUAAUUUGGAACCUUUGAAUGAAUGAUAAUAUUUUCUUCCUGAUGUGAAAGAUCAGACAAAGCUGCAGUCACAGGGCAAUUCAGAAAAUAUUAUCACUCCUUCAACUACGCUCUGAUACCAAUUUGUUGCGGAAAGGAUCGAUUCGAGAACUCCGAUAUGACUACAAGUAAAUUGACCGAAACGAAAAAUAAAGUGAACACAAGGAUUUACGUGGUUCGGCUUUAAUGCCUACGUCCACGGGCAGAGGCGAAAAGAAAUUUCACUAUAACAAGAUGAAGAUUACAAGUGUUUUACACUCAAGACACAACCCGAGAACCUCACAACUCUCAACCCCUAUAGAAAACCCGAAAGCUAAAAUCCUAGCUUUCAAAGAACAAGCUUUGCUCUCUCUUGGUUUGGGAUGAUCAAUAUGGCUAAUGAACCUCUCUAUUUAUAAGAGAGUUCAAGGACAUAAUUGUCCAAAACUUUGGCAAAGAUUUGUGGUUGAAAAUGGACACCAACAACCAUCCACUAAUCCACUACCACCAACAACCCACUACCAACAACAACAAUCCACUACCAAUUUUAAGCCAUUUCUUAACAUUUUCCAAGUGCUUAAUUGGGACAAAGAGAUUGGAAAGCAUGGCUUGAACCUUGAAAGGUGAUAUCAUGUGUAACUCAGACCAUAUUUAUGUUUGAGUUCCUUGUUUUAGAAAAUGGAUAUAGCUGUUGCUUGCUGUUGACGAUUCUUAACCCAAAGUAUUAAUGCUUGCUCAGAUUAUUAACCCAAUGUUUAUUUCAUCAUCUUAAAGUUGCUUCCUGUUUGCUUCUACCUGCUAUUCAGCUGGUUGUGGGAAUUAGCCAUCCCUGGUGGAUUUCUCUGACAUUUUUCAUUGGAAGCUGUAUUAGGCUAGUGGAUUGGUCUUUGACUAGCAAUUUUCUAGGACUAUUCAGGUGAUUGCUUCUUGACUCUUUGUACAUUGUUCUAUUUCAUUUUCUUUGUCAAUGAAUUUGGUUUUAUCAUUGGUUAAUGUUUUUAGUAGCUUAUGUUCUGUUUCUUUUUUGUCAAGGUUGUGGAAGGCUCUCCAGUUUUAUGCAGGCUUCAGCAUUUUCAUGCUUUAUGUGUAUCAACUCCUUAUAGAGUUCUCAAGUAUGUUACAGUGGAUAGCUGAUUUUGUUGGUCUAUUCAAAAUAUGUUCAACAUCUGAGUGGACUGAAAUUUGCUCUUCUGUUUCUCUUGUACUUUAUUACAUCAUGGUAUGUACUAGUUUUAUUACUAUAGGUCUGAUUCUGUUUAAAGAUUUUAGCUGAACCUUUUAAUGAAAUGCAAUUCACUCUUCCCUCUUCCUAGAAUCUUAUAUUAUGAAAUUGACUUCAUUUGAGUCUUUCCUGUGUCUGACAUUUGUCUAUCUAAUAGUCUUUUCCCCAUAUUACUAAUUUAAGAUGGUUUGAAGUGUUUUCUUUCUAUAAGAAAAAUUUCCCGAACAGAUAUGAAGUAAUUAGUUGCAAACUAGACUUUGGAGAUUGAUGACAUUUUUGCCAUUCUGGAUGCAAUUUUUAUUCAAUUUGCUCAAUGAAAUUGCAAUUGAAAAUUUGAGAGCUUCCUAGUUAGAAACCACAUAUUUAUAUAAUAUAUGUUUUUAAUAGUUUUGAACAAGUUAAAUUAAUUAUAAAGAAAUAAUAUAAUUGAGAACAAGAUUAGAGCAGCUCGUUUGUACAUCUCAAUCUUAAUAUUAAGUGAUUGAUGACUCUAAGCUACUUAAAAACAAGAAGACAAUCAAUCUUCACUUUAAUUUGUAUGACGCAAAGUUUUUAAAACCAUUUCUAAGAACCGUUAAGAAAUAAUAGAUACAAGAUCUAAUCAAAACAUCAUGUAACGACCCAACCAAAACCCACCAAAGAGAUAUCCAAAAUCUCAAAUUUGGAAUUAAAGGUCAACGUAAACACAAAAUUCUCCAAAAGUAUUAUGAGUUCUAACCUUUUAAUGGGUAUAAUUUUUAAGGUUUUACAAUAGCCUAUUUACAUGCAAAAUUUGUAGCCCAAAUAAUAAUAAAAUAAUAUAAACUAAUCAAUGUUUAACUAAAAUAAAUAAAUAGAGUUUAGCUGAAAGAUUACCUCUCAAAUUUAAUCGAAAUAUGAGGCAAGGUAUCACUUCAAUGGUAUAAAGCUACAUAAAAUCUUAGUUAUGUCUUUGAAAUAUUUUCAUAAAGGCAUGUGCAAAAACUUUUUCAUUCUUAACAAAUUCAUUCCACUCAAUAUUAUUUAUUUAAAAUCAAAACCACAUUUAUUUUUAAACAACAUCUAAUAAUGUAUUUGGCUCAUCCAACAAUUUAUUUUUAAACGACAUUUAUUUAAAAAGAACCAAAUGAGAAUCAUUAUACAACUUCAUAAAGUCGAUGACACAUCCAACAUUUAAAGCACAAAGAAACUAGAUAGGCCAACAACAAAACAAUAAUGCCAACAUUCUCAAAUACGGCAACAAAUUUGUUCUAAAAACAAAAGUAAGCGCAUCGCACCUAGAGCGUAGAAAUACUUGAAUUCAAUCAUUGUAACAACGAAAAAGGAAACAAGACAUCCAACAUCCUCAUCACAAUAGAUUCUCCUUUGACCCGCCAACAGCGUUUGCAAUGCAAUAAAACAAAAAGAGGUUAUUGUGAUAGCAACUCUUAUAAAUAUUCCAAAAUUAACUUUUAGAUGCAUCAAGUCUUAAUCUAAGGGAAAGGGUUUAUCCAAACAUGAAAAAUCUAACCAACUCAAUUCAAUUCAACCCAACCUCAACCUAUCUAUAUAGUUUACUUUUAAUUUAUAUCUAAUUUCAAUUAUGGUUUAAAUUUAAAUAUUUUUUAACAAAAAUUUUAAAUACUUAAUAUUGAACAAAUAGCCAUAUUUAUGAAAAAAUUUGUAAUUAUGAACAUAACUUAACACAUAGGUAAAAGUAUUUUUUUUACUUAAUAAUAUUAUUAGCAAUAGUACGUUAUUAAUUGUAUAUGAAAAUAAUGAAGCUUAAAAAUUAAAAUUUAAAGACAAUGUCAUUGUCAAAUUUACUCAAUUUAUUUUUAACCAUAGUUACCUAUGUACAUAUGUGACACACAUAAUAAGAUGCUAAUAUAUAUAAGGCAAAAUAUUAUAAAGUUAAACGGUUAGAUAAUGAAGUGAAAUGUUUCUAACCUUAUGCAAUAUUUGAACUUGUUAUAGUAACAGUAUCCAAUGAUGUACUUGGCUCAUCAUUAGAGUUCUCACACCUAUGAACCUCCAUUGAUGUUUCAAGCGGCAGUUGAUGGAAUGGCUUAGGAGCCAUUUCAAGGAGUUCAACAUCAGAUUCAAGCAUCUUCAAAACUUUACUCAUUGAAGGACGAUCAGAAGGCAGUAAUUGUAUACACCAAAAGGCUGUUAUUACCAUUUUCUUUACCAUUGCUUUUUCAUCGUCAGAAACAUCUCCCAACUCCAAGUCAUCUCCUUGAUCUAAUCGGUCAUAAAUCCAAGAUGGAAAAUAUAUUUGACUAGUGUGGUCAGCAAAUGCAUUCACAUUCUUUCUCCUUCCAACUAUUUCCAUCAGUAACAUUCCAAAACUAUAAACAUCGGCUUUGUAUGAGAUGCCUCCAAGAUUUUUGUAAACCAAUUCAGGAGCAAUAUAUCCUAUCGUUCCUCGUGCCGCAGUGAGAGAGACAAUGCUAUUAUCUACUGAAUACAAUUUAGCAAGACCAAAAUCCGAAACUUUUGGAUUAAAAUUCUCAUCAAGAAGAAUAUUGUGUGGCUUGAUAUCAAAAUGUAGAAUUUGCAUGUCACAUCCUUGAUGUAAGUAGUGAAUUCCUUGAGCCACCCCAAGUACAAUAUCAAACAUUUUUUUCCAGCCCAAAGUGUUCUUAUUUUCUUCUGUAAAUAUGAUUUUAUCUAAAGAUCCAUUAGACAUGAAGUCAUAUACUAGAGCUUGCUUUGAUCCCUCCACACAAAAUCCGAUAAGUUUUGCCACAUUAGCAUGAUGAAUUGUCCCAAUGGAAGCAACUUCGUUUAUGAAAUCUUGGCCAUUACCUUUUGAUUUGCCCAACAAUUUUAUUGCCACAUGAUGGCCGCUACGAAGCUUUCCUUUAAACACUGAGCCAUAACCCCCUUCACCUAAUUUAUCUUUAAAAUUGUUAGUCAUUUUUUUAAUUUCUUUAAAAGAAUACCUUAAUGGCACUAGAUUAUUUUGGCUUUUAAGGAACUCUUCGAUCAUAUCAUCCAUGGAUAAAUGUCUUCUUCUCCAUUUGUACGUGACAAAAGCAAGCAAACAAAUGAUCCCAGGAAAUGACCUCAAGAUAACUCCACCUUUAAAGAAAUACAAUGUAACAUGUUGAAAUUAAUCACAUAAUAUAUAACUUACAUUCUCAGAAAAAAGGAUAUAGUGUGAUAGUUUUAUGUUAACUAGUAUUUGAGAGAGUGGCAUAUUUCACUAGUCUAUGGACUUAACCGAGAGUAGUCUGAAUUAUAUGCAUUGUUUUUGUCAUUAGCAGGUAUAUCUCAACAAAUUAAAAUUCAGAAUUUCAAACACAAAAGGAGUAAAUCGUGCAAAGUGGAUACCAAUUAUUCUAACCUCAAACAUUCCAAUAGAUUUGACAGGGUCAUGACAUUCAGCCAAAUUAACACAUUCGUAACCCCAUCCAAUUAGCAAAUUCUAAAGAAAGAACAUGAUUCUUAACCAUGAAGGAUACUCAACUGUUGUUUCUAUUCAUGCCAAAUAAACUUGAAGAAGGACAAAUUAAAAAUAUAAUAACCUUCAAAUUUCAUAAAUGAAACAAAAUCUAACCACCAAAAGAUGCAAGAGAACCCCCCAAAAAACAGAUUUGAUAAAUUCAAGAGCUAACUUUGUUGAAUGUUUUAGCAAAAUGAAUAUCCACCAAACUUAUAACCUGUGAAAGUUCUAAACAAUACCAUUAUGGAAACAAGCUUAACUAAAACUCUAACAUCUUUCUUAACUUGACAAAAAAUUUCUUUCAUAUAGAAGAAGAUUGUAUUCUGCAUUCAAACUCCGUAAAGAGUGUCAUAGCUUUCUUAGUUUUGUAGUGAAAUUAAAUAUAAACUUGUAUAAUAUGAUAGGCUCCUUAUUCUUUUUUUCCCCCAGAAUAUAGCUAAUAUUUGUUCUCAACUAGUGAAAAUGCAAAUCUGCAAAUCUAAAAUUAAAUAUACCUGUUAUUAGCAAACAGAGACGACAAGCUCCGAGCAAUCUGGAUUAUAUAUUCAACAAAUCAAAGUAAAAUUAAUAAAGGGGUGUAAAGGAAAAUUCCAAAUUUGUGUAAAAAAAUCAAUGGAAGGUAAUUUAAAACAUUAUAUUAUGUUUUGUGGUAUAUACUCAAAAAAAAAAUACAACAAUUCUUUACAUAUGUUUGCUUGUAAAAAGUAUGCAACAUGUAUUACAGUAUAAGAGUUUUUAGGUAACUAAAAUGAUUUAAUAUAAUCAAAGGUGAGACAAAUUUUAUUCAAAUUAAUUAAUCCAAAAAGUAUAUAUUAUUGCAUUAAAAAGAGUUUUUGCGAAAAAAAUAAACUCAUCCACAAUGGUGGAAUAUUUACGUACUACCAACUAAAUUGAAUAGACAUCAAAAAUAAAAAGAAAAUAAAAAGAUAGACAUAAUCAAAUAUAAUUGUCCAAAAAGAAGACAAAACAGCAGAGAAAGCAGAGGCAGAUACUAAAUUAGAAAUGCUUUUAGUUCAUUUGAUUGUUAGAUGUUGAUCAAUUUUAGAUGCAAAAUCAUCAUACUUAUUUACCAUCAUAAAAUUUAAUUGCCAAAAAAGUAACAUAAAAUAAAACAAAACAUAAAGUAGAUGUUGUAACUAAAAAUUCCAGUAUGAUGCACACUCAAAAUGCAAACUUUAAUUAUUAAAGAAACUUACAUUUCUUUCAACGAAACUUUGUUUUGGUAAUCGCAUCUUUUCCAUUCGACCCAAAAACCCUCUAAUAGUUUUUUGUAGAUAUCCAGCGUAGACAUGCCUAUUAUAUUAUCAACCAUAAUUGGAACCGCCGCUUCGAUAGUGCAAGCUUGAUUGAUAUAAGAUAGCUGGGUGUUUCCAUUUAAAAAAUAGAAAUGGGAAGUUGGCAGGGAAGAGGAGGUAUUGGAUUUGAUGGUACAACGAGAAGCCUCAAUAUAAAGUGACGAUUUUAUAGGUUUCGUGCAAUUCAUAACAUAAAUAAUGCUAUAAUCUAACCUUUUAUAACCAGAAAGAAAAUAAUUAUUAUUAUAAAAAAAAAAUUAUUAUUAUUUUUAUUAAUACCAUUAUAAGAAAAAUAAUCUACAGAAGUAAGAGGAAGGGAGUUGCAAUCAUCCGUGUCUAAACUCGCAUCGACCAUUCGUAUUGUAGAAUUUUCGUAAAAGAUUUGUUGGACAGAGAAUUUCCCUCCUCUCCCAACCAAAGUGGUGCGAUUAUUGUUCUCACACUCAAGUUCCAUGACAGGAGAACCACAGUGGGGAGGUUGGUUUUUUAAUCGGAAUGGAAAACUGAUAUUCAAAUUCCCACAGAAAGUAUAGCCGCAGUCUUGGUUAAUAAGACUCCUAGCAAAACAAACAGCAGGAAAUAGAACUACAAAUAAAGCAAAAGAGGGCAUUAGGUGACCCAACAAUGGCAGUUUUGCUUUUAAUUUUGGCAUGCUAAAAUUUUGGGUAGGGAAGAAGAACAACAAUGAGGGUUAACGAUUAAGUUUCUAACUAAACCAGGGAAAUAUAUAAGAAAGCUUCAGUGGGAGAACAAGCAUUAAUGGGGACAGAAGACUUUGACUAGUCUUCAGCUUUAUUUGGGAUGACUAUUUUAUUUUCAAUAAAUUGUUUACACCUUUUAUUCUUUUAUCUUUUUUCUGGGAAACACCUCAAUCAAAGCACAUCUAAUUCCAAGAAUAGAGCCAUGGUUAUCACAAGCAAAAAAAGGAAUUUUAAUAUUAUUCAAAAAAUUUUAAAUAAAUUUGGACCAUAUACUUGUAGAUCAACCGUUAUCACCUAAAUAAAUUCCAAUUACAAUGAGGAGGACCAAGACAAUGCAAGUCUUAAGUCUUCUUUGAAACACAAAAACAUCACUGCAAAAUAGACUUUUAGCGGCAUUUUUUAGGCCUAUAGCGGCGCUUUUAGGCGUCGCUGGAAAUAGAGCGUCGCUAAAACUAUUUCCGGCGCUUUCACAAGCACCACAAAAAUGCCGCUAUAAACAUCGCCGCUAAAUUUUGCGGCGUUUAUAUGAAAAAACGCCGCUAUAGAACAUGAUCUUUAACGACGCUUUUAUCACAAACGCCGCUAAAGAACAUGGCCUUUAGCAGCGUUUUUAUCACAAACACCGCUAAAGGUAAUAAUCUUUAGUGGCACUUUUAUCACAAACGCCGCUAAAAUAAUAUGAUCUUUAGCGGCGCUUUACCCACAAACGCCACUAAAGAUCAUUACCUUUAGCGGCGCUUUUAUAAAAAACGCCACUAGCUUUUAAAAAUAUUAAAUAUUAAAAAUCACACAUUAUUAAUAUUACAAAUUAAUUAGUAUUGGAUAUAUACUUCUAGUCAAAAAGAUGGUAUUUAAUCAUAUAAUAAAUUAAUAUUUUUUAGUCAAAAUAUUGAAAAAUCAUGUUAAUAUUUAAAUAGCAAAAUUACAAGUUCAAAUAGUGCAACUAAUUGAUUGGAAAAAAAAUGCACAAGUUCAAAAUGUGCAGUAAUAAACUUAAAAAUUUAUAGGCUAAAAUGGAAAUUACCUUUUGAAAUUAGACUAAAAUAGGUUUACUACAUUCACUAUUUACUACAUGGGUUUAUUGCUUCUAUAAACUCCAAUUAGGCAUUGAAACAGGGGUGUUUAUAUAUUACAAAAAAGCAUGAAAAAAUAGGAGUCCAUCUCCACACCUCAGAAACCAGGGCAAAUGCAUACCCCAACAUUGCCCUCGUAUUCAGCAUCCAUCUCCAGCUGCUUCGACGAAUACGGAACGAGAAUACAUGUUGCAAGUUCCGUAUUCUAAUGCAGUGGGUAGCUUGAUGUAUGCAAUGGUGUGUACAAGACCCGACAUUUCACAGGCAGUUAGUAUAGUGAGCAGGUAUAUGCAUAAUCCUGGAAAAGGACAUUGGCAAGCUGUGAAAUGGAUUCUACGGUAUAUUCAGAAGACCGUGGAUGUUGGAUUACUGUUCAAGCAGGAUAAUACACUUGGUAAAGGUGUUAUUGGGUACGUUGAUUCUGACUAUGCCGGUGAUUUGGACAAGCGAAGAUCAACCACCGGUUAUGUGUUUACACUUGCUGGAGGACCAAUAAGUUGGAAGUCUACACUACAGUCUACAGUUGCAUUGUCAACCACAGAAGCCGAGUACAUGGCUGUAACAGAGGCUGUAAAGGAGGCUGUUUGGUUAUAAGGUAUGGCUAAAACCUUGGGGUUGGUUCAGGAGCAUAUUAACGUGUAUUGUGAUAGUCAAAGUGCUAUUCAUUUAGCAAAGAAUCAAGUCUAUCAUGCACGUACAAAACAUAUCGACGUACGAUUCCAUUUUGUGCGAGAAAUUAUUGAAGAGGGGAAAAUUUGUCUUCAGAAGAUCAAGACUGCAGAUAAUCCCGCAGAUAUGAUGACCAAGGUGGUAACAGCAACCAAGUUCGAACAUUGUUUGAACUUGAUUAAUAUCCUGCAAGUUUAACAGUUGAAGAAGGCACUAUCAAGUAUUGUGGCUAGGAAAGACUUGGUAUUUAAGUGAUCUUCGUGAUCUACCUCUCUUUCCUGGGAAUUGAACUUAGUGUGAUUUUUCAGUACAAUAAUUUUACUCUUUCACACGCUUCCGCGCAACACACAAUCUUGGUUAAUAAGUUGCCUAGCAAGACAAACACCAGGGAAUAGAAUUACAAAUAAAGCAAAAUGGGGCAUUAGGUGGCCCAACAAUGGCAGUUUUGCUUUUAAUUUGGGCAUGCUAAAAUUUUGGGUAGGGAAGAAGAACAACAAUGAGGGUUAACGAUUAAGUUUCUAACUAAACCAGGGAAAUAUAUAAGAAAGCUUCAAUGGGAGAAGAAGCAUUAAUGGGGACAGAAGACUUUGACUACUCUUCAGCUUUAUUUGGGAUGAAUAUUUCAUUUUCAAUAAAUUGUUUACACCUUUUAUUCUUUUAUCUUUUUUCUGGGAAACACCUUAAUCAAAGCACAUCUAAUUCCAAGAACAGAGCCGCGGUUAUCUCAAGCAAAAGAAAAAGAAGAUUUUAAUAUUAUUCAAAAAUUUUAAAUAAAUUUGGACCAUAUACUUGUAGAUCAACCUUUAUCACCUUAAUAAAUUCCAAUUACAAUGAGGAACAAGACAAUGCAAGUCUUAAGUCUUCUUUGAAACACAAAAACAUUUAAGUGGCUGAGAGCAACAACUGUUAUUGCUUUGGUCCUUUUGUGUUAAGUAAGACAACAGUUUGUUGGAUAUUUCUAAAAAGCAAGUUCAUAGUUAGAACUGUCAAGCAAGGCGACUCAAUGCCCAAUUGUAUAGAUUUUUUUUUCUUCCACGAAUAAUACUUAACCACUUUUCAAAUAAUUUUAUUAAUAUAAUUACAUGUUUUUAUCCAUUCGACUGUGAUACUCGAACUUGACAACUAGUUAUAUUUUGGUUCCUAAACUUAAAAAAUAUGAAAGUUUUAUGAUGCAACUCUCUAAUAUUGUGCUACAUCAUCACUUGAAAAUUAAAAAAAAAAUUAUAUAAAUUUUUAGAGAAUGGCAUGAUACAAUCUCUAAGUGUCACGUUCAUUAUUUUAAUAAUCAAGUUGAUGAUUGAACCAGUCAGACCACUAUUACUCGAUUCAAUUAGUUUGAUCAGUUCGACUGCUAGACCAACAAUAAUUAAAUAAAUCAUUAAACAUUCAUAAAAUUCUAAAAAGGUAGAAAACAAAAUUUAUUAAACUGAUUAAACAUGGUCAACAGCUGGGGUUUUUUUAAAAUUUUUUUAAUUUUUACCAAUUUCAAGUAAUUUUUAUAUUUAAUUGAUUCAACAUCUUUGUUCAAACUAUUAUACCGAUCGAUUCUCGGUCCAAUCAAUCUAACCAUCCAAUCCACUCCUAUACUAGUAACACUAAUCAUAUUAUCAAAUCUUGAUGGAAUUCAAGUUUAAGUUUAAGGGACUAUAGUAGACUUAGCUGCCAAGUUUAGAUAUCAAAGUGGACCAAAAUUUUCGCUUAUUUUAAAGAGAUCUUAUUUUUCUAAAAGUUUUUACUCUUUUUUUUAAUUACUAUAUAAUUUGUACUAAUUAUUUAAAACAUGUGUUAAAUCAUUUUUAACCAUACUCAAAACCAUUUUUUUAAUCAAAUAUAAGUACUUAAUAUUUAAUUAAAUUAAAAAGAUCAAAGAGAUAAAUUUCAAAAUUAUAUAUGAACUUUAAUUUAAUGUACUGCAAUUGUAUAUAUGAAUUUUAAUUUGGUGCAAUUAUACACUUGUAACUCUAAUUGUGGUUCAAAUAUAUACUUUAAACUUUAUAUAUACAAUUACACAUUAAACCAUAGUGUAUGUAUACAUAAUUCAUAAGUUGUACAUAAGAAGUAAGUUUUGGUUAGUGUAAUAUAACUGUGAUUCAAGAUUACGCAUUCAUUUCAGACAAAGCACACCCUUUGAAAUUCAAGUUUUGAUUCUGAUUCUUUCUUCUUCUUUUUUUAAUAAAACCUCUAUGAAAGAAUUUUUUUUUUAAUUCCUUAACGGUAGUGAUUUUGGGUUAUGGAGAAAAAAGGAGUGAAAAGUUGUGAUUUAUGUGGAAGUAGGGAUUUUUCUGUUUUAAUAGUUUUAGAAAUGGAUUUGAUGGAGAUUUCAAUAAUGCUUCAUGUUGGAUUAGUUUUGUUGCUACUUUGGAUGCUUUCUCAAUUCAAUCUUUGCCAUCCACUUCCUUAUUUCCUGUCUCUCAUCUACCUCUAUUUGGCAAUUCAUUCAUCUUCUGCUGAGAAUAAAAAAUGAAACUUUUUUUCUUUAUUUUUGAGCUUGGAUAUUGAACUUUUUUUUUAUUGUUUUUGUUACAGAAAUUCCUUUUAUUUCUUUGUUCAUCAAAGGUUCAUGAAAUGUAUGUGACGAGAUUGAGGAAGAAAUUGGAGUUGGAGGAAAUAAUGCACAAAGAAACUAGACAUGUCAACAACAAAACAAUAAUGCCAACAUUCUCAAAAGCAACAACAAAAAUGUUUUAAAAAAGGAAAUAGACAUCACACUUAGAGUAUAGAAAUACUUGGAUUGUAACCAUGAAAAACGAAAUAAGAUAUCCAACAUCCUCAUCACAAUGGAUUCUCCUCUGAUUCAUUACUAGCCUCUGCAAUGUAAUAACACGAUUAAAAGUUAUUGUAGCAGUAACUCUUAUAAAUAUUAAAAAACUAACUUGUAAAUACAUCGAUCAUGUCUAAAUCUAAUCUAAGUCAAGGUUGAUCUAAACAUGAAAAUUCUAACAAAUUCAUCUCAAUUCAGUCCAACUAAACCUAAACUAAAUUGACACAAAAAUCUAUUUAUAUAAUUUACUUUUAAUUUAUAUAUAACUUUACUUAUGAUUUAAAUUUAUACAUUUAAUAUUGAACAAAUAGUCAAAUUAAAAAAUUUUGGUAAUUAUGAACAAUAACUUAAGACAUAGGUAAUUAAAGAAAAUACUAAUAUAUAUUUAUAUUUAUAUAUAAGGCAAAAUAAUAUAAAGCUAAAAAGUGAGAUAAUGAAGUAAAAUGUUUCUAACCUUAUGCAAUAUUUGAAUUCGCUAUAGUAACACUAUCCAAUGGUGUACUUGGCUCGUUAUUAGAGUUCUCACAAUUAUGAACCUCCAUUGAUGUUUCAAGAGGAAGUUGAUGGAAUGGCUUAGGAGUUCAACAUCAGAUUCAAGUAUCUUCAAGAUUUUACUCAUUGAAGGGCAAUUAUUAUCUUCUUCACCGUUACUUUUUCAUCGUCAGAAAUAUCUCCGAACUCCAAGUCCUCUCCUUGAUCCAAUCGGUCAUAAAUCCAAGAUGGAAAAUAUAUUUGACUAGUGCGGUCAGCAAAUGCAUUCACAUUCUUUCUCCUUCCAACUAUUUCUAUCAAUACAUUCCAAAACUAUAAACAUCGGCUUUGUAUGAGAUGCCUCAAUAUAAAGUGAUAAUUUUAUAAAUUUCGUGCAAUUCAUAACAUAAAUAAUGCUAACCUCUAACCUUCCAUCAUAAUAAUUACCAUAAGGAUAAAUAUAAGAAUAAGAAUCUACAGAAGUAAUUAAGAGGAAGGGAGUUGCAAUCAUCCGUGUCCAACAAUCAACCCCUCCCAUAGUAGGCUGUCGAGGAGCCUCCUGCACAUCAUAAAUAGCACGAGUUGUACGCCCCAAAGCAUUUGCCAAGGACCAUCAAGACGAAGGUCAAUAACAUUUGUGUAAAUUUGGAGUGCUACCUUACAGCCAAAACUAACAGAAUAGUGACUGCUGUUUGGAUUGAAAUGUCAAAUGAGUCAGUUCGGAGUCGGAUACAAGCAAAGUAGCAUUCGAAGCAUCCGUUGCGCAUCAUAGGGGAUAGAAGACCUUGAGUUACAUGAUUUCAUUUUGAGUAUUGAAAAUUGAAAAUAGGAUAACUACCAACCACUAAUAUAUUAUCAGCAAAAUCUCCCAAUUGAAAGAACAAAAGAUGCAUCUAUACUAUGUUUAAAAGUUUAAUAGAGUUUAUGGUUAUCUAUCAAUGAGGUAUCAACUCAAUUGUAAAAUCAUUAAAAUCUUAUUAUUUUUAAAAACAAAAAAUAUUAUUUUGAAGGUAUUUUUAUUUUUAAUUAAACUUUAUAAAAUACAUCAAUUUAAUAGAAUUUGAACCCAAAACAUCAUAAUCCUUAUUACCUAAAUUUUACCAUAUUAAACAAAGCCACAUUUAGCUUUUAUAUCAUUUUUUAAAUAAGCUUGUUAUAUCAUUUUUUUUCACCCAUGUGAGGGUGCCAUAAUCUAAUAUAUCUUUAUUUAAUAAGUAAUAAUCCCAUAUGCAUUAGAGAGUAUUAAGUUGAGUUAUUAAAUUUAGGGUUUGUUAUAUUCUAACGAGUUAUUUUCAAUUCCAUUGAAAUGAUUUAUAGGUGAUAAAUUUUACAAUUUAAUACGAUUAAUUUUAUUAUAUUACAAUGAAAAACAAAAGAAAAAGAAGAAUUUAAUAUGGUUCAAAGUUUUUAAAUAAAUCUGGACCAGACAAACCUUUACCAUUAAUCUAUUCCAACUUCAAUGAGAACGACCACGACGAUGCAAGUCUCAAGUCCUGUUUGAAACGCAAAAGCUUUCAAGUGGUUGAGAGCAGCAAGCCCGAUCCCUUUUGUCCGUUUGUGUUAUGUAAGUCAAUUGUAGAGAACGAUUGUUGGAUAAUUCUAAACGCAAGUUAAUAGUUAGAAUCCUUGAGCAACGCACAUUCCGCCCCAACCCAUGCAUAACGUUAGACGAGACUCAAUGACUAAUUGUAUAUAUUUUUAAUUUUGUUCAACAACUACAUAAGUAUAUUUUUAAAUGAUUGUUAAUAUAAUUACAUGUAUUUUCAUCUAUUUUAUAUGAAUUUAAAAUAUUACAAAUUAAAUAUAAUAUAAGAUACAAGUUCUAUUCAAUUAAAUUUAAAUUUAAAUUCAAAAUUUAAAUUAUCCAACAAUAUAAAUAGUAGACAUAAAUUCAAAGAAAAAAAUUUAGGGUUUAGCUGGAAGAUUACCUCUCAAAUUCGACUAAAAUAAAUAAACAGAAUUUAACUCGGAGAUUACCUCUCAAAUUUAACUGAAAUAUGAAACAUACUCAAUAAUAAAGGUAACAAUUCAAAGGUAUGAAGCUACAUAAAUUCUUAGUUAUGUCUUUGAAAUAUUUUCAUAAAGGCAUGUGCAAAAACUUUUUGAUUCUAAACAAAUUCAUUGUCUCAAUAUUACUUAUUUAAAAUCAAAUCCACGUUUAUUUUUAAACAACUUCCAACAAUGUAUUUGGCUUGUAAUACCCAAUUUUAGCUCGGGCUCACAUAUGGAAACAUAAUCUUCAAGGAUAUGUAAUCUUAGAUAUGAUAUGUGCAAUCUUGGAUAUGAUAUGUGCAAUCUUGGAUAUGAUAUGCAAUCUUAGAAGAUAUGAUUUUGUAAUAUUAGAGAUUUAAUUUGUAGAUACCCUUUAAUCUUAGCCGUUGAUGUAAUUGGUCUGUACCGUUGGAUUUGGGGAGGCUCAACUAUAAAUAGAGGCCUCUCCCUUUAUUGUAAAGGGGGGAGAAAAAACAAUAAAAAAGGGAGAACGAUUGGCAGUUUUUUAAAGGUGACUUACUGUUUUUUUUUCAAUUAUUUAUUUAUGAUUUUAAAAAAGGAAGAAGGUGAUACCACUACGAAUUUUAUUUAUUUAUUUUUAUUUAGCCCUAAUAAAGUGACGCGUUUCAAAGGAUGGGAAUAUUUUUCCAUUCGAGGCCUAUGAGUUAUUCGCGCCUUUUAAUUGGGCCCUACAUUUUUUUCCCUUUAAUUAUGUUUUUGUUGCAAUUUAAUCCCUUUUGUAUUUGUGCUUUUACUAAUUAAUUGAUUAUUAUUAUUAUUUAUUAAUCCUAUUAUUAUUUCUACUAUUAUUGUUAUUAUUAUUUUCAUUAUUUCUUCUUAUCAAUUUACUUAAAUUUCAUGCGCAUAGCUUUAUCUUACUUUGUAUUUUAAUUUAUAUUACUAUUAUAUGUCAUUAUUUAAUUUUAUAAUAUAUUUUUCCUAUUCCUUUUAUAUAUUUGCCUCCAAAUAUGGUAUAUCUUCAACGAUUUUGGUUUUAUUUUUUAUUCAUUUAAAUAUAUUUCUAUAUUUUAAUAGAUUUAUAUAAUAAUAUUUUUUUACAAUACCAUGCUUUGUAUAUAUACAUGAUUGAUAUUAAAUUAUUCUUGUUAUAAAUUAUAGAUUUCAUUUUCGUCUUAUUACCAUAUAUAACUUUCCUCUUAAAAAACUAUUUUAUUAUAUUUUACCUAUUUUAUUGUAUUUCGUUUACUUCAAAUUCUUUUUACAUAUAUUAUUGUAUAUUAUUAUAAAGUCUUCUACUUUUCUAAAUAUACGUAUUUUACAUAUAUCACUUUUUUUCCCUAUUUAUUGCCAAUAUGGUGCAAGAUUGUUGUACUUGUUAUUGCGACAUUAUUACACACAUUCAGUAUCACAUUACAUCAUCUUCUUAUUCAAAUUUAAAAAAAAUAGGAAUUUUAAAAAUUGAGAUAAUGCUCGUAUUUAGGAUUUUCAAGGAAAUUGAGCCCUAACGUACAUUGGGUUUCGAUUUUUUUUGUUAAAUCUAACGAUCGAGAGUUGCUCAUUAAUCAUAAAAAAAAUAAAAUGAAAAGCUUGUUGUCGGGAAUUUAAUAUGUUGUGUCCUAACGUAUUGGAUGUGAUGUAUUUUUUUCUCGAUACAAAGAUUUUUUUUUAAAUAAUAACAAAGGAAGUAUUCCAAGUUUAGGAUUUUGAGAAAUUGUGCCCUAACGUAUUGGCCCGCGAUUUCUUAAAUCUUAAACAAAUGAAUAUUCUUUUAAAUUUUAUCGCUCGAGUAUUUUGGCCUAAUUCAUUUUUGAGGGAUUAGAAUGUCGUGCCCUAACGCAUUGGGUGUGACAUUUUUUUUCCUCCGAAAUGAUAAGAGUCUUAAUAAGUAACGUUUUUAAGUUUUUGCUAAGGAUUAUAUUUUUCAAAAUUUUUGACAUUAAGACACUAAUUAAUUAACUAGGUACCAAUUUUAGGCGUUACGAGGGUGUUAAUCCUUCCUCGUACGUAACCGACUCCCGGAUCCAUUUUUCUAAAACUCGUAGACCAAAUCUAUUUUUUUAGGUGAUCCAAUCACACCUCAAUAAAAUAUUGGUGGCAACUCCCAAUUUUUUGUUUUUUAAAAGUCGACAAAUAAAUUUUUGUUUUUCAAAAAAAUGGUUUCGACAUGGCUCAUCCAACAAAUUAUUUUUAAACAACAUUUAUUUAAAAAGAACCAAAUGAGAAUCAUUAUACAACUUUAUAAAGUCGAUGACACAUCCAACAUUUAAAGCACAAAGAAACUAGAUAGGCCAACAACAACAAAAAUAAUACCAACAUUCUCAAAUAUCGCAACAAAUUUGUUCUAAAAACAAAAGAUAGCGCAUCUCACCUAGAGCGUAGAAAUACUUAGAUUCAAUCAUUGUAACAACGAAAAAGGAAACAAGACAUCUAACAUCCUCAUCACAAUUGAUUCUCCUCUGACCCUCCAACAGCGUCUGCAUUAAUGCAAUAAAACAAGAAGAGGCUAUUGUGAUAGCAACUCUUAUAAAUAUUCCAAAAUUAACUUUUAGAUGCAUCAGGUCUUAAUCUAAGGCAAAGGGUUUAUCCAAACAUGAAAAAUCUAACCAACUCAAUUCAAUUCAACCCAACCUCAACCUAUCUAUGUACUUUACUUUUAAUUUAUAUGUAAUUUCAAUUAUGGUUUAAUUUAAAUAUUUUUUAACAAAAAUUUUAAAUACUUAAUAUUGAACAAAUAGCGAUAUUAAUGAAAAUUUGUAAUUAUGAACAAUAACUUAACACAUAGGUAGGUAAAAGUGUUUUUUUUUUACUUAAUAAUAUUAUUAGCAUUAGUACGUUAUUAAUUGUAUAUGAAAAUAGUGAAGCUUAAAAGUUAAAUUUUAAAGGUAAUGUCAUUGUCAAAUUUACUCAAAAUUUAUUUUUAACUAUAGUUAUCUAUGUACAUAUGUGACACACAUAAUAAGAUGCUAAUAUAUAUGUAAGGCACACUACACCAAAACAGGUUUUUAGCGGCAUUUUUUUAUGCCUUUAGCGGCGCUUUUUAGCGUUGCUAAAAGUAUUUGUGGCGUUUUUGGAAGCGCCGCAAAAAAUGCCGCUGUUCUCAACGCCGCAAACGUUUGUGGCUUUUUUAUAAAUAAACGCCGCUAUAGAUUAAGACCUUUAGCGGCGCUUUUUCAACAAACGCCGUUAUAGAUCAGGAUCUUUAGCGGCGCUUUUUUACAAACGCCGCUAUAGCUCAAGACCUUUAGCGGCGCUUUUUCAAAAAACGCUGCUAUAGAUUACGACCUUUAGCGGCGUUUUUUUCACAAACGCCGCUAUAGCUCAAGACCUUUAGCGACGCUUCUCGCAAAAACGCCACUAAAAACAUAACAUUUAAAAAAAGUAUUUUAAUCAAAUAAUAUUUAUUUUUAUGAUAAAUAUUAUAUUAUGUUUUAUUUUUUAAAUUUGAACUUUAAAUAUACUUUUAAGGAUAAAAAGUAUUAUUUAAUAGAAAAUUUUAACUUUAAAACUAAAUAUAAAAAUUAAUGAAUUUAGUUUUAGAAUUUAAAAUAAUAAAUUAAUAACACAAUUAAAAUCCAAAAGUUAGAACUCAAGUUGUCGUAAAUAUUAAAGUAAUAUUUACACAUUGCAAGGUAAUAAAAAAUACAAUGCAUUUUCUUAAUCAAGUAAAUCUUGGUAAUAAAAAAUACAAUGCAAACUACAUCUGCUACAUUCCUGGUUAUCCAAUCUUCAUGUACCCUGCAGAAUUGGGAAAAUAAUUAUAGUGCAUUAAAACAAAAAUUGAUAUUGACAAGUUAAAUGUGAAAGGAAAACAACAUGAAUGCAAAAAUUAAUACUCGAGGAAAUUGACAACUUAGCUAUCUCAACCAUGGAAAUGAAUUAGAUAUUGAAUAAGAGAGAUUACAGCAAUGAAACCAAUGAAUUCCUAGUUUACAUAUGUAUGUGCCACUGGACUUGUUAAGUGAAGAAUGAGAACCAAAUUUUUUUCAAUGACUACAGGACAUAAGACCAAGAGCAUCAAAAGUUUCCAAACAUGAAACAACUAAUCUAUUAAGCAAGUCAGAAAAUCAACGAGCUUAUUGUUUUAGCUAAUAGUGGAACAAGGAGACAAUUGAGAUCAAUUGAGACUAACCUCGGCUGAGAUGCAGAAGUUUCACGACAAUCAGAAAAGAUCACCUUGAUAUACUUAUAAUCUUCGCACCAUAAAUAAUCAAAGUAAUAAUCAUCGAUAUUAUUCACCUUGUUGCCUAACCUCACAUAAUAAUCAAAAUAAAUUUUAAAACCGCUCAAAAAUUUUAAAUAGAUUACAUCAACAUAUAUUGAGCAUAGCAACCUUCUAAAGAGAAAAUCAAACAAAUCAACUAAACGAACAUAGAAAAAUUGAUGCUUCAAACCAAAACACCAGAAUUUACUUUACCUCCAUCCCAUGGGGUGUCAUCAAGUCUGCAAAUCCAUCAAGUAAAGACAUUAGCACAAUUUAAUAGAACUUUAAUCUAAAAAGAAAGUACAUAAAGAUUCUCUAGUCUUAUUUCAUAAUAUACCCAAAUAUAACAGCAUUCCAAAGCAUAAUGUUGUUAUCUUGAGGUGCACCACUAAUUCCUGCACAAAAUAAAUGAUAAAAAAGGCCACAGUUCUUUAGCAUAAACAGCAAACAAAUUAGAUGAAAACCGGACUUCUACAACUAAACCGAGUUGUAGUAACAGUAUCCAAACGCCGCUAAAAGCCUGUUUUGGUGUAGUGGCAAAAUAUUAUAAAGUUAAACAGUGAGAUAAUGAAGUGAAAUGUCUCUAACCUUAUGCAAUUUUGAACUUGUUAUAGUAACAGUAUCCAAUGAUGCACUUGGCUUAUCAUUAGAGUUCUCAUAGCUAUGAACCUCCAUUGAUGUUUCAAGAGGAAGUUGAUGGAAUGGCUUAGGAGACAUCACAAGGAGUUCAACAUCAGAUUCAAGCAUCUUCAAAACUUUACUCAUUGAAGGACGAUCAGAAGGCAGUAAUUGUAUACACCAAAAGGCUAUUAUUACCAUUUUCUUUACCAUUGCUUUUUCAUCGUCAGAAACAUCUCCCAACUCCAAGUCCUUUCCUUGAUCUAAUCGGUCAUAAAUCCAAGAUGGAAACUAUAUUUGACUAGUGUGGUCAGCAAAUGCAUUCACAUUCUUUCUCCUUCCAACCAUUUCCAUCAGUAACAUUCUAGAACUAUAAAUGUCAGCUUUGUAUGAGAUGCCUCCAAGAUUUUUGUAAACCAAUUCAGGAGCAAUAUAUCCUAUCGUUCCUCGUGCCGCAGUGAGAGAGACAAUGCUGUCAUCUACUGAAUACAAUUUAGCAAGACCAAAAUCAGAAACUUUUGGAUUAAAAUUCUCAUCAAGAAGAAUAUUGUGUGGCUUGAUAUCAAAAUGUAGAAUUUGCAUGUCACAUCCUUGAUGUAAGUAGUGAAUUCCUUGAGCCACCCCAAGUACAAUAUCAAACAUUUUUUCCAGCCCAAAGUGUUCUUAUUUUCUUCUGUAAAUAUGAUUUUAUCUAAAGAUCCAUUAGACAUGAAGUCAUAUACCAGAGCUUGCUUUGAUCCCUCCACACAAAAUCCGAUAAGUUUUGCCACGUUAGCAUGAUGAAUUGUCCCAAUGGAAGCAACUUCAUUUAUGAAAUCUUGGCCAUUACCCUUUGACUUGCCCAACAAUUUUAUUGCCACAUGAUGCCCACUACGAAGCUUUCCUUUAAACAAUGAGCCAUAACCUCCUUCACCUAAUUUAUCUUUAAAAUUUUUAGUCAUUUUUUUAACUUCUUUAAAAGAAUACCUUAUCGGCACUAGAUUAUUUUGGCUUUGAAGGAACUCUUCAAUUGUAUCAUCCAUAGAUAAAUGUCUUCUUCUCCAUUCGUACGUGACAAGAGCAAACAAACAAAUUAUCUCAGGAAAUGACCUCAAAAAGAUAACUCCACCUUUAAAGAAAUACAAUGUAACACGUUGAAAUUAAUCACAUAAUAUAUAACUUACAUUCUCAGAAAAAAGGAUAUAGUGUGAUAGUUUUAUGUUAACUAGUAUUUGAGAGAGUGGCAUAUUUCACUAGUCUAUGGACUUAAUCGAGAGUAGUCUGAAUUAUAUGUUAUGUUUUGGUCAUUAGCAGGUAUAUCUCAACAAAUUAAAAUUCAGAAUUUCAAACACAAAAGGAGUAAAUCAUGCGAAGUGGAUACCAAUUAUUCUAACCUCACACAUUCCAAUAGAUUUGACAGGGUCAUGACAUUCACCCAAAUUAACACAUUCGUAACCCCGUCCAAUUAGCAAAUUCUAAAGAAAGCACAUGUUUCUUAACCAUGAAGGAUACUCAACGGUUGUCUCUAUUCAUGCCAAAUAAACUUGAGGAUGGACAAAUUAAAAAAUUAAUUAAACUGAAUUUUAGUAUUUUUAUUUUAAUAAUUUAUUUAAUCAAUAAGAUUAAUUAGAAUUAGAGGUGUUCAUGGGCCGGGCGGCCCGGCCCGGCCCGGUCCGGUCCAACAGCCCGUCCGAAAUAUGGGAGGGUUUGGGUAAAAAUAUAGGCCCGAAAUAUGGGCUUGGGCAAAAAAACGAGGCCCGAUUAAAAAACGGGCCGGGCCUCGGGCACAACUUUUUUUGGCCCGGGCCUGGCCCGGCCCGAAUAUAAUAAAUAUUUUAUUAUUUUUUUAAUUUUAAAAUACUUUAAAAAUACUUUUAUUAAAUUUUUUAAAUUUUAAAAUUUUUUUAAAAUGCUUUUUUAAUUUUUUUAAUUUUAAAAUAUUUUUAAAAUACUUUUUUUAAUUUUUAUUUUAAUUUUUAAAAUAAAUUUUUGGUAUUUAUUUAAAAAAUAGGAUAGGCCCGGGCUACAAAAUUUUUUCCUGGGCCCGACCCGAACCCGACCCAUGAGCACCUCUAAUUAGAACAAUGAACCAAUGAUUUAAAUUUCAUCAUAAUCUAACUCUAAAAAUUGUGGAUUUGAGCGCUCCCAAAUUUUCCUUCGCUUUCUCUCUCUCUCUGUUCUUCAACAUCGUGUUUAGAUCCGUCCCUCCCAGCCUUGAAAGAUUCCGUCUUUGACCCUUCUUCGUUGAAUCUAUCAAACAAAUUAGGGUUCCGAUCUGUUACCUGUUGUGUUCGUUUAAAAUUUUUUUUUCUUUGCCUCAAAAUUUCAUCUUCAGAAAGAGAGAGAGAGAGAGAGAGUUUUCGAUUUUCCUUGAUUUUGCUUGAGAUUUAUGUUCUAAUCUGAAAUUCAUUACCUUAAUGAUUUGCUAUAUCGGUUCGAUCUCCAUUACGAUUGCUUGCUUUUUGUAUCGGAUUUGGGGUUAAAUCCAAGCUUGCGUGUUUUUACAUUAAAUCAGUAACCAUCGGCUCAAACUCUACCCCUCUUUCUAUCUGGAAAAUUUUUACAUUAAAACAAACGGAGUUUGAAAGUUAAAAAUUGACAUUCCAUUGAGUUUAAGUUUGAAAGUUUGGCUCAACUCACCGAUUACAGCCGCUUACAUGAAGUAGAAGCCCUUAUUACAUCAAUACAUCUGUGUGUGUGUUUUUUUCCGCUUCCUCUUCUUUCUUUUGGCCUUUUUUUUCCUCUAAAAGCCGCACCUACAGCUUACUCCGUUCCCUGACAUUUGCCCUUAAAAUUACACUGAAAAUGCCCACAUGUUCCCCAAACUUCAUAUAUUACUCAAGUUUCGAUUCCUUGUCUCCGCAUCGAACCGCCACUUUACACAGUCAAACUCUGUGUUACGAAUUACCGCCUGCGCCACCUAUUGGACGAUAUGCCCAAACCAAGUUGAAAGCCCGAAUGAAGAAGCUAUAGAGCAUCCGAGAGUCUCCAUCGAUAUUUUCAACCAAUGGGGUUGCUGUGAAAACGAUUUGUUGAAGAUCUUUUCACGCCAACCUUCUUUGCGCAACGCUCAAGCUACUCCCCUUUUAUCCAAACUCAACUUGCUGAGUAGCUUGGGACUCACCGGUUCCGACAUUGUCAAGAUGGUCAAUUGUCGUCCUCGUUUCUUUUGUUCUCGUAUCAAUAAUUGCUUCGACGAGCGGAUUGAGUUCCUCGUUAACCUGUUCGGGUCGCGAGAAAUGCUUCGUAAAGCACUUGUUAGGAACCCUUCCCCCUUGACCUAUGAUUUUCACAAUGCCAUGAAACCAGUCAUUGCAUUGUACGAAGAGAUUGGCAUUAGAGGAAAUGAUUUGAUUGCUAUGCUCAUCUCACGUCCCACAUUGAUCCCAAGGACUUCUUUCAAUGAGGAGAAGAUGGAAUACAUAAAGAAAACAGGGGUUUCAAAAGGUUCCAAAAUGUACAAGUACAUAGUUUCACUCAUCGGAAUAUCGCGGAUCGAGACUAUACGUGAAAAGGUGACUAACUUGGAGAAAUUCGGAUGUUCAGAGGAAGAGAUUUGGAGUUUGUUGGGACGUUAUCCUCUUAUUUUGACACUUAUUUUGAAACUCUCGGUUGAUAAGGUUCAAAGGAACAUGACCUUUGUUUUGGGAACCAUGAAGCUGUCUCCAAGAGUGGUGCUUGAGCACCCCUUUUCUUGUUGUUCAGCAACCUCGAAGCCGUAUCGAAACCGCGGAUAUCGUUGGCUAGGAAACUAAAGGAAAUGGAGCUUGAUCCGCAGAUUAAAGGACCGAUCAUGUUGGCGGCAUUGAGGAUGACGGAAAAUCGAUUCUUGAAUGUGUUUAUUAAAUGCCAUCCGCAAGAUGUAGCAAAUGAACUGUUGGAGUUCUAUAAACAUGCCAAAGGUCUCAAGCCAUUGGCCGAAUCAUCGAAAAAAAUACUGCGUAAAGGAUUUCCAUUUUGAACAUUUUCGUUUGUUUGUUUGGUGCUGUCUUCGUUUUCUUUUUGUUCAUUCAUGCCAAGGGAUAUUUCGAUUAAAUUUUCAGAUUUAUAACUUUUAUUCUCAAAGGGAUAAUGUGAGACUCAAAAUUUUGGGAUAUAAAAAGGGAUGCCUCUUCGUGUUUCAUUGGUGUUCUCUCUCUGCUUAUAUUCCUUUUACUCCCCGUGAUGAAGAGUUGAAAUUUUUUCUAUGUAUGAUGGCUGGAGGGAAUAUAGAUUAUGGAACUCCACCAUUAUUAACUUUGUAGGCUCAAUUGGCACCAUUGUUGUGGUGCAACUAGAAAUAUGUGGGUUAAAACGUGUUUAAAGGCGUAUUUUCUUUUUAUUUAAGAGUUUAAAGGAGAUUAUAAUUUGUGAACAGUAAUUUUUUAAGGUAAAUCUUAUUCUAUAUAUUUUGACCGAUGAUUAUUUUUAUCCUUAAUAUAAAUUUGUGUUAAUUUUGGUUUGGAUGAUGUUUAUUAUUAUUUUUAAUUACUUUUCAAUGCGGAUAAAAUCUUGCACCAAUUAAAAUUCAUAUAUUAUUAUUAAAAAAGAUAAAUAAACAAAUUAAAUCUUUUUAAACUUCUUAUUUAUUUUCAAAGUUUAUUAAAUAGUAUUAUUUUAUUUUAUAUAAUUAAUGUAAAGUAAUAUAUGGGGCAAAAUAAUAUAAAGCUAAAAUGAAGUGAAAUGUUUCAAACCUCAUACAAUAUUUGAACUUGUUAUCGUACCAAUAUCCAAUGAUUUACUUGACUCAUCAUUAGAGUUCUCACAUGAUGUUUCAAGAGGAAGUUGAUGGAAUGGCUUAGGAGGCAACUCAGGGAGUUCAACAUCAGAUUCAAGCAUCUUCAAGACUUUACUCAUUGAAGGAUGAUUAGAAGGCAAUAAUUGUAUACACCAAAAGGCAGUUAUUCAUCUUCUUCACCAUUACUUUUUCAUCGUCAGAAACAUCUCCUAGCUCUAUGUCCUCUCCUUGAUUUAAUCGGUCAUAAAUCCAAGAUGGAAAAUAGAUCUGACUAGUGUGGUCAGCAAAUGCAUUCACAUUCUUUCUCCUUCCUACCAUUUCCAUCAGUAACAUUGCAAAACUAUAACCAAUUCAGGAGCAAUAUAUCUUAUCGUUCCUCGUGCCGCAGUGAGAGAGACAAUGCUAUCAUCUACUGAAUACAAUUUAGCAAGACCAAAAUCGGAAACUUUUGGAUUAAAAUUCUCAUCAAGAAGAAUAUUGUGUGGCUUGAUAUCAAAAUGUAGAAUUUGCAUGUCACAUCCUUGAUGCAAGUAGUGAAUUCCUUGAGCCACCCCAAGCACAAUAUCAAACAUUUUUUUCCAGCCCAAAGUGUUCUUAUUUUCUUCUGUAAAUAUGAGUUUAUCUAAAGAUCCAUUAGACAUGAAGUCAUAUACCAGAGCUUGCUUUGAUCCCUCCACACAAAAUCCAAUAAGUUUUGCCACAUUGGCAUGAUGAAUUCUACCAAUAGAAGCAACUUCAUUUAUGAAAUCUUGGCCAUUACCUUUUGACUUACCCAACAAUUUUAUUGUCACAUGAUGCCCGCUACGAAGCUUUCCUUUAAACACUGACCCAUAACCCCCUUCACCUAAUUUAUCUUUAAAAUUUUUAGACAUUUUUUUUAUUUCAUUAAAGGAAUACCUUAUCGGCACUAGAUUAUUUUGACUUUGAAGGAACUCUUCGAUUGUAUCAUCCAUGGAUAAAUGUCUUCUUCUCCAUUUGUACGUAACAAGAGAAAACAAACAAACAAAUUAUCCUAGGAAAUGACCUGAAAAAGAUAAUUCCACCUUUAAAGAAAUACAAUGUAAUGCAUCAGUACUUGUGAAAUUAAUCAAAUAAUGUAUAACUUACAUUCUCAAAAAAGUAAAUAAUGUGAUUGUUUUAUGCUGUUUUAUAAUUAACUACUACUUAAAAGAGGGGCAUAUUAUGUAAUGGCCUAAAUUUUCAGUGGUGUCGGAAUGGUGAUUCGAGAUCACUAAAUCUAAAAAAAAUGAGUAGAAAAUAUUAUUAAUUUAGUGAGAAUAAGUAAAUGUGAAGUUGGGAAAAUUUUUGAAAUAGUGAAUAGUGUACUAAGAAUAAAUAUUAAAAUAAUUAAAAUAAAAAAUGAGGUAUCGAGACCUUGAAGAUUUUAAACCGAGCCAUAAAUAUUUUUAGAAAUAUUUUUAGAGUGUCAUUGAGUUGGUAUUAAAGUUUCGUUAGAAAAUUUUAACGUUUGGAUAGUCAAUUAACUAAAAAGGACUAAAUUGAAAAUAGUGUAAAAUUUGUUAAAUUGUGAUUAAAUAGCCUAAGUGAUUAAAAAUGAGGGAUUUAAAAGACAAUUAGGCCCAAACUAUAUGGGCUGGACGGUUGGGCAAGAAAAAUCUGGAAAAGUGAUGUAAUAAGGGUAAAAUUGGAAAUUUUGUAAAAGUUAACAAAUAAAAAUCUCAAUUAAAAGAGUUUCUAGGCAAUUCUUCAUAAUUAUCAGCCAAAAAAUGCCAUUUAAGUGUCCUUCCAAGCCGGUUUUUCAUAUAUUUGAAUCAUGUAAGUUUAAUUCUUGAUUAUUUCUUCUAAUUUUUGUGGUUUUGAUACUUUUACAAUUAGGUCCAACUAAUUGUUUCAUUAGUUAUUGAUUUUAUGGAUGAUUUUGAAAGUUACCAUUGAUGAGUACUGAAUUUUUAUGAUGAAUAAACAUGGAAUUAAAGCUUUGAUUUUGUUAUAUGAUGAUUCUAUUAAAGUAAUUUUGAUAGAAAUUGAUUUUAGGGACCUAAUUGUAAAAAGUUGGGAAUUAGGGUUUGGGGUUGCGGUUUUGAAUAUGGAAGGCUAUGUAGUAGUCUAAAAUAGUUGGAAAAUGUGUUAAUUGAGAAAAAUUAGAUCAAUUGAGGGGUUAAUUGAGUAGAGACCAAAUUGUAAAAAUUGUAAAGCUUGGGGUAAAAGUGUAAUUUUGAGAAUUUAAGGGCAGAAACUGUGAAAUGAAUUAGAAUAGAAUUAAAUGCUGAUGAAUGAAUAAAUUUUAAUUUUAGAUCGAGAACCUGAAACAAGUCGAGGAAAAGAAAAAGUAGCUAAUUAGUCCCUGAACUUUUACAAAUUAAGCAAAUCAACCCAGGUAAGUUCAUAUGGCUGAAAUUUAAUGAUUAAAUGUUAAUUUCAUGAAUUAUGCAAUGUAUGAUGAAAUGUAUUUAUUGUUGAAAUGAGAAUAAAAUAAAAAUGUAAAAAUCGAAUAAAUGAUCAAAUUAAGUGGAACGCCGGAUUUAAGUACUUCUGAUCAAGAGAUAAAGUGAUAAGUGGUAGCUUUAGCUACACUUAUCUGAUCAAGUGAAAAAGUGAUAAGUGCUACACUUAUCUGAUCAAGAGACAAAGUGAUAAGUGGUAGCUUUAGCUACAAUUAUCUGAUCAAGUGAAAAAGUGAUAAGUGCUACACUUAUCUGAUCAAGUGAAAAAGUGAUAAGUGCUAUACUUAUCUGAUAAAGUGAGAAAGUGAUAAGUGCUACACUUAUCUGAUCAAGCGACAAAGUGAUAAGUGAUAGCUUGCUACACUUAUCUGAUCAGGGACGUAAGACCAUAGUUAUACUAUGGCAAAGUGAAAGUGAAGUACUCAAUUUUCUGUAACUGUUCUUUAAUUUUGAUCAAGGAUGGUAAGUGACAAACGGGCCCAAAGGAAUUAUGGUAAAAGAAUAAGUAGUAGUGAGUUCAUACCAAGGAAUUCACCAAAGAUUGUGGUUGACAGGUAAACUUAGUAAUUGUGUAUAUUGUAAGUGUACAAAUGUUUGGUAAGAUUUAUGUUUUAUGCCUAUGAACUUACUAAGCUUUUCUAUAAGCUUACAUGUGUGUGUUUAUUGUCUUUGUAGAUUAACAUAUUUAUACAUUCGGAGGAUCGGAUCUACAUCGAGAAUCACACUAUCCAGAUAUACUCCGGUAGAUUAUGUUAAGCAGCUUUUUGGAUUUAUAUGGCAUGUAUAGGGAAUUGAAGUAAAAAAAGUAAUAGAAUGAAUGACUAAGUAUGCAAAGUAAAUUUGAAUGUGAUGAUUGUGUUAGACAUUGAAAAAUACAUGUUUUUAGUUUGAAAUGGUUGAUUGGUUGAACUUCAUUAGUAUUCAAGCUAAGUAGUUGAAAUACUGAAAUUGGUUGUGAUUUGAAAUUUGCAGGGAAGGUUAGGUAAUUAUAAAGGGGUUAUAUUGAAAUUUUUUUUAAAAUUUCAAUGGAAUUGUUUUUGGACAGCAGCAUUGAUGUAACUUUGAAAAAUCACUAAAAAUAGUGGAAAUAGAAUUAGAAGUUGAGUGAGAUAUGAAAUUAAAGCUGAAUGAGUCUACUUUCACAUAAAAGAAGUAAAGUAAGCAAAAGAAUUAUAUACUUUUAGAUAUUUGAAUUUUAGUGAAACAGGGAAAAAAUGUUUUUGAAGUCCCUUAUUCUGACUUUAAAAAUUCAUUAAAAAUUGUACAGAAGUAAUUAUGAGUUAUAAUUUAUAUUUAUAGACUCCUUAAUGAGUCUAUUUUCAGUAGAAAUAAGUGGAAGCACCAUAUGAAGUCUGUAAUAAGAGAUAAUUGAAUUUUAGUGAUGAGUGGUCAAGAUAGUUGAUCAGUGAAACAGGGGAGACUUCAACUAAUAAAAUUUACUAAUUGGAUAAACCAAAAAUUCUGAAAAAUUUAUGGUGAAUAGAUAUAUGAGUCUAGUUUGAAGAAAAAUUUACGGAUCUAAAUUUCAAGUUUCGUAGCUUGAGUUAUAAUUAUUUUAGUGACUGCUGCGCAGGUGGAUAGCUUUAUUAUGAAUGGUGAAAUUAAUUUUGAAAGUAAAUUUUUAUGCCCGAACUUUUAAGUUAAGUCAAGUAACGCCUCAUGCUCGACUCCGGCAACGGUCUCGGGUAAGGGGUGUUACAUAUUAAUUUCACUACUUUAUGGAAUUAAUUUAGAAAUAACAGUGAUGCCUUGUGUUUACCCUUCUUUACCAAAUGAAAAACUUUGAAAGGUCAUUGAGAACCCAAGAAAAAUAAUUCCGAAUUAUAUGUUAUAGUUUUAUAUUCUAGCAGGUGCACCUCAACAAAUUCAAACUUAGAACUGCACACACAAAGGAGUAAAUCAUUUAAAUUGGAUACCAAUUAUUCUAACCUCACCAUGGUCCAUCAAGGAUACUCAACUUUUAUAUUCAUGUCAAAUAUACUUGAAGAAGGACAAAGUACAUAUCUAAUAACCUUCAAUCUUUUUAAAUGAAACGAAGUCUAUAAUCACCAAAAAAUGCAAAACAACCAAAAAAAAAAUUUUGGGCCGAUUGAAGAGCUAACUUUGUUGAAUGUUUUAGCAAUAUGAAUAUUCACCAAACUUACAACCUUUGGAAGUUCUAAACAAGACCAUUAUGAACACAAACUUAACCAAAACUUCAACAUCAUUAUUUACUUGACAAAAAAAAUUUUCUUUCGUAUAACAGAAGAAGAUUGUUUUCAGCAUUCAAACUCCUUAAAGAGUGCUAGAUUUCUUAGUUUUGCAGUGAAAUUAAAUAUGAACUUGUAUAGUAUGAUAGGCUCCUUAUUCUUCCCCCCCCCCCUCCCCCAAAGAAUAUUGCUAAUAUCUUUUCUUAACUAGUGCUAGAAUUUGUAUCGGAAAAAAUGCAAAUCCAAAAUUAACAAUACCUGUUAUUGCCAAACAGAGAAUAUAAGUUCCUGUAAAAAAACCACGAAUAAAAACGAAAUAUCAUUAUUUCAAGAGAGCAGCGAAAUAGUAAAAUCAAAGCACUUCUAAAUUCUAAUGAAUUUUGGGAAGCAUACUUCUUGGUAUAUAGAAUGAUUGACAAACGUGCUUUUGGCUGAAAAGAACAGAAAUUUGAUUUCUCAAUUUUUUCCACAAACGUGCUUCAGGGUCGAAGGAAGCAUAUGGAAGAUCUCACUGUCUGCAUGCUCGAUCUCCACAUUCCCUUCCCGAGUAUCUCUCUUUCUUCAUAUCUUUUUUUUUUGUGCGGCUUCGUGGUUUUAUUAGAAUGCGUUCAUAGGGGAAUUAGUCUUACGAUUAAUAUUUUCUCUUGUAAAAAGGAUAAAUUGAUGUUGCAAUUUAAUGACAGUUUUUAUGCUAUGGAUUGAGAAUGAGAUUCUAGGGUUUUUCAUUGAAUGAAUUUGCUUUUGGUUGUUUUAUUAACAAACUUUAUCGCUUCGUUUAAGAAAAAAAAUCCUUCUUUUAAGAUUGAAUUUAUGAAGUUUUGUCGGUUAAUUAAAUGCUUAGCUCUUUUCUAAUGACUGUAACCAAUGUAGCAAUGAUAUUAACGUAACCAAAGAAGGUUGAGUUAUAAAAGUGGAGAGAUAUUAUGCUAAACCGAACUACUAACUUCAAUAGUUUACUUCUUAGUGUUCUUAUAGAGGCAAUUUUGUUUGAAAAGGAUCUUUCUAAACAAUGUAAGAUUUGGUAUUUUUACUUAUUUUGUGAUGGUUGAAGAAGUUUGUGCGUAUCACUGAUUUAGUAACUUUGUCUAACGUCUCAUCCUAUGUUUUAUUUUUAAUACAUAAAUUUUUGAUACAUUGGAGCAGGAAAAAUUGGGUUAAGGAAGUUUCAGUCGGAGUUGUUGCAGUUUUUGAUGGUCAUAAUGGUGCUGAAGCUAGUGAGAUGGCUUCAAAACUUUUACUGGAGUAUUUUGCUCUAUAUACAUAUUUCCUUUUGGAUGCAACUUUUUCCUUUGUAUUGAAGAAGCAGUCAAGUAGGUUGCCAAAUGUAGGAGAAGGGGAUAUUGUUUUCCAAGUGCUUAAUUGGGACAAAGAGAUUGGAAAGCGUGGCUUGAACUUUGAAAGGUGAUAUCAUGUGUAACUCAGACCAUAUUUAUGUUUGAGUUCCUUGUUUUAGAAAAUGGAUAUAGCUGUUGCUUGCUGUUGACGAUUCUUAACCCAAAGUAUUAAUGCUUGCUCAGAUUAUUAACCCAAUGUUUAUUUCAUCAUCUUAAAGUUGCUUCCUGUUUGCUUCUACCUGCUAUUCAGCUGGUUGUGGGAAUUAGCCAUCCCUCGUGGAUUUCUCUGACAUUUUUCAUUGGAAGCUGUAUUAGGCUAGUGGAUUGGUCUUUGACUAGCAAUUUUCUAGGACUAUUCAGGUGAUUGCUUCUUGACUCUUUGUACAUUGUUCUAUUUCAUUUUCUUUGUCAAUGAGUUUGGUUUUAUCAUUGGUUAAUGUUUUUAGUAACUUAUGUUCUGUUUCUUUUUUGUCAAGGUUGUGGAAGGCUCUCCAGUUUUAUGCAGGCUUCAGCAUUUUCAUGCUUUAUGUGUAUCAACUCCGUAUAGAGUUCUCAAGUAUGUUACAGUGGAUAGCUGAUUUUGUUGGUCUAUUCAAAAUAUGUUCAACAUCUGAGUGGACUGAAAUUUGCUCUUCUGUUUCUCUUGUACUUUAUUACAUCAUGGUAUGUACUAGUUUUAUUACUAUAGGUCUGAUUCUGUUUAAAAAAUUUAGCUGAACCUUUUAAUGAAAUGCAAUACACUCUUCCCUCUUCCUAGAAUCUUAUAUUAUGAAAUUGACUUCAUUUGAGUCUUUCCUGUGUCUGACAUUUGUCUAUCUAAUAGUCUUUUCCCCAUAUUACUAAUUUAAGAUGGUUUGAAGUGUUUUCUUUCUAUAAGAAAAAUUUCCUGGACAGAUAUGAAGUAUUUAGUUGCAAACUAGACUUUGGAGAUUGAUGACAAUUUUGCCAUUCUGGAUGCAAUUUUUAUUCAAUUUGCUCAAUGAAAUUGCAGUUGAAAAUUUGAGAGCUUCCUAGUUAGAAACCACAUAUUUAUAUAAUAUAUGUUUUUAAUAGUUUUGAACAAGUUAAAUUAAUUAUAAAGAAAUAAUAUAAUUGAGAACAAGAUUAGAGUAGCUCGUUUGUACAUCUCAAUCUUAAUAUUAAGUGAUUGAUGACUCUAAGCUACUUAAAAACAAGAAGACAAUCAAUCUUCACUUUAAUUUGUAUGACGCAAAGUUUUUAAAACCAUUUCAAAGAACCGUUAAGAAAUAAUAGAUACAAGAUCUAAUCAAAACAUCAAGUAACGACCCAACCAAAACCCACCAAAGAGAUAUCCAAAGUCUCAAAUUUGGAAUUAAAGGUCAACGUAAACACAAAAUUCUCCAAAAGUAUUAUGAGUUCUAACUUUUUAAUGGGUAUAAUUUCUAAGGUAUUUACAUGCAAAAUUUGUAGCCCAAAUAAUAAUAAAAUAAUAUAAACUAAUCAAAGUUUAACUAAAAUAAAUAAAUAGAAUUUAGCUGAAAGAUUACCUCUCAAAUUUAAUCGAAAUAUGAGGCAUGCUCAAUAAUAAAGGUAUCACUUCAAUGGUAUAAAGCUACAUAAAAUCUUAGUUAUGUCUUUGAAAUAUUUUGAUAAAGGCAUGUGCAAAAACUUUUUGAUUCUAAACAAAUUCAUUCCCUCAAUAUUAUUUAUUUAAAAUCAAAACCACAUUUAUUUUUAAACAACAUCUAACAAUGUAUUUGGCUCAUCCAACAAUUUAUUUUUAAACGACAUCUAUUUAAAAAGAACCAAAUGAGAAUCAUUAUACAACUUCAUAAAGUUGAUGACACAUCCAACAUUUAAAGCACAAAGAAAUUAGAUAGGCCAACAACAAAACAAUAAUGCCAACAUUCUCAACUACGGCAACAAAUUUGUUCUAAAAACAAAAGUAAGCGCAUCGCACCUAGAGCGUAGAAAUAUUUGAAUUCAAUCAUUGUAACAACGAAAAAGGAAACAAGACAUCCAACAUCCUCAUCACAAUAGAUUCUCCUCUGACCCGCCAACAGCGUUUGCAAUGCAAUAAAACAAAAAGAGGUUAUUGUGAUAGCAAAUCUUAUAAAUAUUCCAAAAUUAACUUUUAGAUGCAUCAAGUCUUAAUCUAAGGGAAAGGGUUUAUCCAAACAUGAAAAAUCUAACCAACUCAAUUCAAUUCAACCCAACCUCAACCUAUCUAUAUAGUUUACUUUUAAUUUAUAUCUAAUUUCAAUUAUGGUUUAAAUUUAAAUAUUUUUUAACAAAAAUUUUAAAUACUUAAUAUUGAACAAAUAGUCAUAUUAAUGAAAAUAUGUAAUUAUGAACAAUAACUUAACACAUAGGUAAAAGUAUUUUUUUUUACUUAAUAAUAUUAUUAGCAAUAGUACGUUAUUAAUUGUAUAUAUGAAAAUAAUGAAGCUUAAAAAUUAAAAUUUAAAGACAAUGUCAUUGUCAAAUUUACUCAAAAUUUAUUUUUAACUAUAGUUAUCUAUGUACAUAUGUGACACACAUAAUAAGAUGCUAAUAUAUAUAAGGCAAAAUAUUAUAAAGUUAAACGGUUAGAUAAUGAAGUGAAAUGUUUCUAACCUUAUGCAAUAUUUGAACUUGUUAAUAUCCAAUGAUGUACUUGGCUCAUCAUUAGAGUUCUCACAGCUAUGAACCUCCAUUGAUGUUUCAAGCGGAAGUUGAUGGAAUGGCUUAGGAGGCAUCUCAAGGAGUUCAACAUCAGAUUCAAGCAUCUUCAAAACUUUACUCAUUGAAGGACGAUCAAAAGGCAGUAAUUGUAUACACCAAAAGGCUGUUAUUACCAUUUUCUUUACCAUUGCUUUUUCAUUGUCAGAAACAUCUCCCAACUCCAAGUCCUCUCCUUGAUCUAAUCGGUCAUAAAUCCAAGAUGGAAAAUAUAUUUGACUAGUGUGGUCUGCAAAUGCAUUCACAUUCUUUCUCCUUCCAACCAUUUCCAUCAGUAACAUUCCAAAACUAUAAAUGUCGGCUUUGUAUGAGAUGCCUCCAAGAUUUUUGUAAACCAAUUCAGGAGCAAUAUAUCCUAUCGUUCCUCGUGCUGCAGUGAGAGAGACAAUGCUAUCAUCUACUGAAUACAAUUUAGCAAGACCAAAAUCGGAAACUUUUGGAUUAAAAUUCUCAUCAAGAAGAAUAUUGUGUGGCUUGAUAUCAAAAUGUAAAAUUUGCAUGUCACAUCCUUGAUGUAAGUAGUGAAUUCCUUGAGCCACCCCAAGUACAAUAUCAAACAUUUUUUUCCAGCCCAAAGUGUUCUUAUUUUCUUCUGUAAAUAUGAUUUUAUCUAAAGAUCCAUUAGACAUGAAGUCAUAUACCAGAGCUUGCUUUGAUCCCUCCACACAAAAUCUAAUAAGUUUUGCCACAUUAGCAUGAUGAAUUCUCCCAAUAGAAGCAACUUCAUUUAUGAAAUCUUGGCCAUUACCCUUUGACUUGCCCAACAAUUUUAUUGCCACAUGAUGGCCACUACGAAGCUUUCCUUUAAACACUGAGCCAUAACCCCCUUCACCUAAUUUAUCUUUAAAAUUUUUAGUCAUUUUUUUAGUUUCUUUAAAAGAAUACCUUAUUGGCACCAAAUUAUUUAGGCUUUGAAGGAACUCUUCGAUCGUAUCAUCCAUGGAUAAAUGUCUUCUUCUCCAUUUGUAUGUGACAAGAGCAAGCAAACAAAUGAUCCCAGCAAACAACCUCAAAAAGAUAACUCCACCUUUAAAGAAAUACAAUGUAACACGUUGAAAUUAAACAAAUAAUAAAUAACUUACAUUCUAAGGAAAAAGUAAAUACUGUGAUAGUUUUAUGUUAACUAGUAUUUGAGACUAGUCUAUGGACUAAGCGAGAGUAGUCUGAAUUAUAUGUAAUGUUUUUGUCAUUAGCAGGCAUAUCUCAACAAAUUAAAAUUCAGAAUUUCAAACACAAAAGGAGUAAAUCAUGCAAAGUGGAUACCAAUUAUUCUAACCUCACACAUUCCAAUAGAUUUGACAGGGUCAUGACAUUCACCCAAAUUAACACAUUCGUAACCCCCUCCAAUUAGCAAAUUCUAAAGAAAGAACAAGAUUCUUAACCAUGAAGGAUACUCAACUGUUGUCUCUAUUCAUGCCAAAUAAACUUGAAGAAGGACAAAUUAAAAAUAUAAUAACCUUCAAAUUUCAUAAAUGAAACAAAAUCUAGAACCACCAAAAGAUGCAAGAGAACCCCCAAAAAACAGAUUUGAUAAAUUCAAGAGCUAAUUUUCUUUACUUGACAAAAAAAUAUUCUUUCGUAUAAUAGAAGAAGAUUGUUUUCAGCAUUCAAACUCC